rnacentral:lncRNA from 1 species
CCCUUAUUUUAUUAUUCAUAUCCAUAAAAGUAACCAUUAUGCUGGUCCCCCGAACUUAGCAUAAGACAGUAAUUUAAAAAAAGAAAAAAAAGGACGUUUUUAGAUACCAAAACAAGCACAAAGCGAGACAUACAAACAAAUGUUAUGCUACUGCAUUCAAGCAGAAGCCACCAACUGUUCACGACGGCGUUUGAAAACAACCAACAUUUCAUCCUGAUUGGGAAGGUUUUCUUCAAUUAUGGGGACUUGCUUGAAAUUUUCAAGCCAGGCAUGCAAGCGAGGGAAUUUGUGUGAUUCAAAUAGUUUAACUCCCACUGCAUCUUCAAUGACUUGCAACCAAUAAACAAUUGAACCAAACGCUAGGUCCACUAAACCAAUAUUGUCUCCAUUGAAAAAUUUUUUCUCUCCCAAGCCAUGCUCUUCAACGGUUUGUAGCAUUUCCAAGGCUUCCUUCAUUGUGUUUUGUAGUUCUUGUCCAGUGCUACGAAACAUUUUCCAAACCGCAACACCCUGCCACAAAUAUUUUACAUCUGAUUUUAUCACCGACAUGGUUAAUUAAUAAUAAUAUGUAUAUAAAAGCGAAAUAUCGUUAGACAAUAUGCACACGUGUCGCAAUAAACUUUAAUUAGAGGUUUAAUAAGUUAAUUAAGAGAGUUCAACCACUGAGUUGUAAAAUCUGUCAUUAGCUAGUAAAUUCACUUUUUCCCAAUGCUUCAAAAGUCAUCAAAAUUCCCCGUGAAGUUAAAAACGGUUGUGUUAACUUUAACUUAUUACAUCUUUUCAUAUUUAAGGAUAAAACAUUGAAGACACCAGAAAUUAACAGUUUAGAGAACUUUUUACAAAUAAAUAUGAAAAAGACCCCUGGGUGGCUGGGCUCGACUGGCUAUGAAUUCACUUUCACUUUGCGCCAUCACCCGAGUUCGAGUACAUAUAGAGAAUAAGAGUUAGUGUUUGGCGGGUGGAUUUUCUUAUCCUCGUCACCUCAUCUAGAUCUUAAAAUAAAUCAAUAAAUAAACAAAUUUGAAAAGAAUGAACUUAAUCAUAAACGUGUUUGCCAGAGUUGUGAGCGAACCUUGUCUUCAGCGAAUUUGAUCCAGAAUCGAGCAUGAGCUCUAUCAUAAGGAUUAUUUGGCAUCAAGGAGGGAUUCUGUGGCCACGUCUCUUCAAUGUAUUGUAGAAUAACCAUGGACUCACAAACUGGUUUUCCGCCAUGGACGAGCACUGGGAUCUUCUUGUGAACCGGAUUAUACUUCAAAAGCAAUGCACUUUUGUUUGAGAGAUCUUCGGAAACAAAUUCAUAUGGCACGCCUUUCAAUUUCAGAGCCCAAAUCACCCUGUAAACAAAUGGACUCAGCAGGGUCCCAUGAAGCUUCACUUCAGCCAUGAUAAUUCUAAGAUUGAAUUUGAAUUAUCGGUUUUUGUGAUCGAUGUUGUGUAUGGCUGUUAACUCAUUACAUAUGUUUCUGAAUUUAUAGUGAUUUAUGGUAUGCACUUUCUUGAGCAGAAAGCUUCAAUUUUCCAUUAAUAAAACGAUUAAUGAUGAAUUCAAAGAACUAGUGCGAUGACUUUAAUUAAAUAUUUUUUACGUUGUGUGCAACCGCAUUUUGAGGUUAAUUUAAAGGAUAUUAUUUUCUCCUCAUCAAAAUUUUUAUAUAAAAAAAUAUAAUUAUGUGAUUGGUAAUUAUUAAAUAAAAUAAAAUAAAAAAUAAAUUUUGACCGUAAAUAAAUAAAAGUUCAUACAGGUUAGAAAGAGUUUUUAACACUCAAAUAAAUGGACCCAAUUCCUAAUUUAAAAGGCUAACCGAUGAGAUCAAUAAUUUGGUCAACCAGUCAGAGAUAACCAUACAAUAAUUAAUAAAAAAUUUGCCAUUUGUUUUACAUUUAAGACCUUUGCGUCAUGCAUGAUGAUCAAUUGAUCAUGGAUCAAUUAGUCAACAAGACAUUUGCCUUUUGUGCAUGUAUCCACAUUGGACGCAAAUAUAAUUUGUUAUAAAAAAAUUGGACUAAAUUAUUUUUUAAUAUAUUUUUUAAAAAUAAUACAUCUGAUCCUAGAGGGCCUGUUAUUUAGUUCGUGAAUCUUAUAACAGGACAGGACCCAUGAUUUUUUUUACAAAAAAAAUCUUAUGGGUCCCCUAUUAUUUAAUUUGUGGAAUUGACGGAGGUAGCUUAGAGUUUCAUUUUUGUAAUUUACAGCUUUCAAUAAAUUCUGAUAAUAUUAGGCGGUAAAAGUCGGCAAGGCUGGAGGAGUAGAUCUAUAAAAUUUGCUAGCACUUUGCACUAUCUGUUUGGUGCCCAAAAACACACAUAUAUAUCAUCCACUUUUUAUUUAACGCUGGGUUUUUUUCGACCCAUAAUAAUUUCUCUUUGCACAUCAACUUGUUAAUAAAAACUUUUAUUGUCAAGAUAAAUUGUUAGUAAUUACUUCACUAAUCCUCCUUUUUUUUUGGGCCAAUUUCUCUUUCGCAACUGAAAAAAUUUAAUUCACAUCAUGUGAUAGUAUGAUUGCAAAUAAAUUUGAAGUUAUCUCUAGCAAGUUGUUCAAAAAUACAUUGACAUGUCUUGUGUAUAAAACUAAAGAACAAUAGCAAACCACUAUCCUAUAGCCGACCGCUGCUAUUAGGACGGAAAAAUUAGUCGUAAAUAUGUAAAUUUGUCUAAACCCAUUUACAAAAAUAUGUCCACUGCGAAUAAUUUUGUAGAUUGCGGAUAAGUUUGGUAUUUUAAAUUUAAGUUCGUUGUAGGUUACGGAUGGAUUCAAUAUUGAGAAAAAAUUUGGUAGGUGUCUGCCGACUAGCAUUUUUUAAAUUAUUUAUGUUUUUAAUUUUAAUCACAAAGAUUGUCUUAAAAAAAUUUAAUCAUAAAACAGUUAGGAAUGGCAAGUGCUCUGGAAACAUUAUGUGGGCAAGCAUAUGGAGCUCAGCAAUAUCAAAGAAUUGGAACUCAAAUUUACACUGCAAUAUUUUGUUUAUUCUUAGUAUGUUUUCCGCUUUCCUUUCUAGGGAUUUACAUGGGAAGGCUGCUAGUUUUGGUAGGCCAAGACCCCCAGAUUUCACACGAAGUAGGCAAGUUUAUAAUCUGGCUUCUUCCAGCUCUGUUUGCUUAUGCAGCAAUGCAGGCGCUUAUUCGAUAUUUUCAGUCUCAAAGUUUGAUCAUUCCCAUGUUCUUAAGCUCCUAUGCCGCUCUUUGUUUGCAUAUUCCCAUCUGUUGGGGUUUGGUAUUCAAGUCUGGACUGGGAAACCUUGGAGGAGCAUUGGCAAUUGGUAUAUCGUAUUGGUUGAAUGUAACUUUCUUGGCAAUUUACAUGAAGUUCUCCACUGCUUAUGCAGAAUCCAGGGCUCCAAUUUCAAUGGAGUUGUUCCGAGGAAUUGGAGAGUUCUUCCACUUUGCUAUCCCUUCUGCAGUAAUGGUUUGGUAUGUUAAUUAUCUUCUGGAGUUUCAUUUUCCCUUCUCAUAGAUAUCGUAGACACGUCAUAAAUUUUCAUGCAUCUUCUUUUGUUUAUAAUUUUGCAGCCUAGAAUGGUGGUCAUUUGAAUUGCUCAUUUUAAUGUCAGGGCUGUUGCCUAACCCACAGCUUGAAACUUCAGUCCUAUCUGUAUGGUAUGUUGACAUAGACUUUGUAUGUGAAAGUUCUAUACAGAGAAGCACCUACCAAAGGAAAUAGAUUUUUUUUCUUUUUUUCUUUUUUUUCCCGACUGCUCAUUAUUUGUCAACUUCUUUGGGCAGUCUCAGUACUAUUCAAACCCUCUCUGCAAUCCCUUAUGGACUUGGUGUGCAGUGAGGUUUGUUCAUAACAAUCAUUUAAAUAAUAAUUGUUUUAUAUCAACUAAUUAGCAGAUUAACCAUUAUUUCCUUCUAUAGUACUAGAGUUUCAAAUGGACUAGGAGCUGGGAAUGUGCAAAGAGCCCGUGUAGCUGUCUAUGCUGUGGUCUUUAUGGCAGUCAUGGAGACUAUCAUAGUAAGUGCAUCUCUCUUUGCCAGCCGGCGUGUUUUUGGUUAUGUUUUCAGCAAUGAGGGACAAGUUGUGGAUUAUGUCACAACCAUGGCUCCUCUGGUUUGUUUGUCUGUCAUCAUGGAUAGCUUACAAGGAGUCUUUUCAGGUUAAAUUAACUUCUUCAACUCUCUCAAUUGCUAAAUAGUUCUCUUUAAGUAGAAAUAAUUUUUUUCAGGUUUCUAAAUUCUUUUUAUUAUUUUUAAUGUGUUGCAAGAGGAUGUGGGUGGCAGAAUAUAACUGCUUUUGUGAAUCUUGGGGCUUAUUAUUUGUGUGCAGUCCCAACUGCUGCCAUUUUGGGUUUCUGGUUAAAGUCUAGAGGAAGGGGCCUAUGGAUCGGGAUACAAGCCGGUGCUUUUACACAAACACUUCUGCUUGGCAUCAUAACAACAUUUACAGAUUGGGAAAAACAGGUCUGUUUCUCAACAUUUAAUCCCUUAAAAAUUAGAGAAGCUUAUUGGACUAUAUAUGUAAAUAUGUAGCAAUUUUUUUUCCCAACCAAGUAUAUGAUACCUUCUGACUGAAAGUUCAAGAUUAAAAUCAUUCAGCUUGAUCUGAAAUGGUUAGUAUUAUCAUCUUAUGCAGAAAUGGUUUUGCUCAUUGGGAAAAUGAUAUUCAAUAACAGACGUGCAAACUCAUUUGAAAAUUUGCUUUUUUGGAAGAAUUAUAACCAUUUUCUAGUUUGUUAAUUGUUACAAGUUCUGUGUUUCUAAGGGGUUUCUCAUGUUGCAGGCAAGUAAAGCAAGGAAAAGAUUAUCAAAGGGAAGAUCUUUAGCAGAUAACAGAGCAGUAUGCGAGUGAGCAGAGUCAAUCAAUGAGCUGAUAUAUACAUUUUCCAGUUGAAAGAGAUAAUCAUUGCUUGAGAAAAUGAGCUGAUCAUAUGUCAAUUGAUGGCCAAGAAGGUCCCCCAAUCUGAUCUAUGGAGCAUGACAUUUCAUAAAACUCUGUUUCUAGAGAAAAAAAAAAAAAUUAACAGCUUCUUAGGAUUGCAGCAUCAGGUGACUUAGCAUUUCCAGUAUGAAUGAAUUAUAAGAUAGAUGAUGCUGCAAAAAUGAAUAGAGAUAAAAAUUAAGCAAGAGAAAAUGUUUGAAUGUUAUUAUUUAAACCUUUUGUAGUGUUUAAGAGUGACUAACUAUCCCAAUCAACUCAAAACACUUCCCAAGAUCACAACCAAACAAACAAGAUGCACCAAGAAUCAAUCCAGCAGAAUACACACAGAUUAUUAGAACUGAAAGAAAUAAAGAAAAGAACAAGAAUUAACGUGGUUCAGCUAGCUUCAGUCUAGCUUACAUCCACGGGAGAAACAGAACCCAAUUCUAUUGAUUGUUCAAAGAAGUUACAGAGAGUUUAUCAAGCUUGUUACAGAGUCUCUCAAGAAGCCUUUGGUUUCCAGUCUUCUCAACUCACAAUAGCUCUUUCAUCACCCCUCUCUGUUGCCAGAAUCAGCUGUAUAUAACAGCUCGUUAACGAAUCAGCAACCAACCCAGAAAACCACGUGACAGUCAUGUGAGUUAACUGAUUCUAACGAACCAAGAACGCAACUUAUCCGUGCACGUGAAACUCUCGUGCAUCACUUAACCAAAACGACCUUCAUACAUGUCGUUCCAGGAGAUACGAGUUUGACUUUCCAAAACGCAGCAUCAGCUGACGUUUUCAACAACAGAUUUGCUUCACAUCACAACACCUUUUCCAGUGAUUGUAGAGAUAAUUUCUUUGUAUUGAACACUUUCACCAUCUGAAAGAUAAGGAAAAUAUUAAAAGAAAAAAGAAAAUUCUUAAAUCUUUUCCAUGUCAUUCUAGCAAAGUUGAAUUGUGAUUCUUAACCCUACACCACAAUGUAAGGUGGCCUGUGGCCUGUGGGUAACACACAAUUUGACAACCCCAUAUAUUAAGUAAUCUAGAUGGAGGACAUUAUAUUUUUCAAUUUUUUAAUUUUUGUUCUUUUUUUUUUAAUUCAAACGACACCUCUUUCAUUGUGGCAUUGGAAUGUAUAGAGAUUUGCACACUGAUUUUGGACCAUACUUCACAAAUAAUGCGACGCACAUCUUUCUUUCAGUACUUCUUCAGGAGGAUAAGCUACAGACGUUGUUGUCCUUUUACCUGAAGCAAGUGCAUGUGCAUGAAUUGUUGUUGUCUGUUAAUCUGCUGCCACUUUGCUGCCAAAAACUUGAAAAAUAAACCGGGAAAAUUUUCAAUAAGCAAAGUCAAACAACUAACCCCUGUUUUAAGUUAUAUUCCUAAGAAAACUUUUAACACUCAAAUAAAGCACACAGCUAAAGUAUUUCUAUCACAUUAGGUUUCGAGUGAGGUUUGAUUUACAUUUAUAUCAGAUAUACCAAGUGUUUUUUCUUCUUUUAAUUAAUGUAUAUUCCUAAGAAAACUUCUAAUUGAUUAUCCACAUAUAUAAACAAACCUAGCUCGCAAUGUGAAAUAUAUUAAAACAGCAACCAUAAGAUUUUCAAACAUUUAAAUUAACGGUGAUGAUAUUUCCACCCCAUGAAUUUUAUAAACCCACCCAUUUUUAAAAAAAAUAUUAUAAUCAGUUCACAUUAUUUUUAAAAAAUUUAAAUUAAGAAGAAAUUAAAAAAUUGAUCAAUAAAUUCAUAUUCAUUUCUUUUUUAAACUGUGUUUCUUUAUUAUAUUUAAUCAAUAAGAUUGCUUUAACAUAAAUUAGUAUGACUAUUUUACCCUCAUAAGGUAAAAGUACCAAAAUAUCUAAAAAUUUACUUUAACUUUAAUAAAUUUUUAUGCAAUUUUUUUAUAUUUUAAUGAUGUAUUAGUAAUUGUUAGUACAAUUAUUAUUACUCCACUAAACUAACAAGAUAUAAUUAGGACAUGUGGUGAAUUGAAAAUAAUUAAAUUUUAUAUAAUACAUAUUGGAUUAUAAAAUAUAAAAAAAAUGUCUAAGCAAUUAGUUACAAUAAUAUAUAUAUAUAUAUAUAUAUAUAUAUAUAUAUUUCUUAGAGUAAUUUGGUAAUUUUAUAUUACAAGGGAAAAAUAAUCAAAUUAAAUUUAUCUUGAAGCGCUUCAAAAGUUAAAGAUUGUUAAAAGACUAAGUCGGAAAAAAUAAGAAAAAAUAUUAUAAAAUUAAUUUAAUUAAUUAAUUAUUUAAAUUUUUUAUUAAUUUAUAAUUUUAUAAAAUAAUAUGAACUUAUUGUAAUUAUUUUAUAUAGGUGGACUGGGUUUAUAAAAAUAGCGGGGUGGAUAUACUUACACCCUUGAAUUAAUAGUUAGUAUAAAUUUUAGAUAUCUCCCCUAAAAUUUGACUUUGCUACACUUAGAGAGAAUGUAAACAUAUAUUGACAAUAUACCCCUUGGUCGUGUAUAAGGGUUAGGCACUGGUUAGGUAGUUGAGGGCAAUAACGUACAUGUUGCAUAUUUUUUUAUUUUUAAAUCUUACAAAAGCUGUUAUACUGUAACUAAUUAGACAAGAGCAGCGAAAAUGCAUACAGUGCUUUGAAGCUAGGGAAGCCCAAGGGGAUAGUAACCCAUUUUCAUUGUCAAUGCCUAGCUUCAUUUCUUCUUUUUUCUCAGCAUAACUUGAUGAGUGCUUAGCUUCAUUUCGAAGGUCGUGACACCAACUGAUUUUAGCAAAAGCAGAGAUACUUUGUGAUGCAGUAAGCUAACAAGUUUCUGAAAUCAACUAUGUUUUAAACCAAAUUCCGGCGACGACCAGCAGCUGAAAAAGCCGGUGAUUAAAGGUCAAUCUANNNNNNNNNNNNNNNNNNNNNNNNNNNNNNNNNNNNNNNNNNNNNNNNNNNNNNNNNNNNNNNNNNNNNNNNNNNNNNNNNNNNNNNNNNNNNNNNNNNNGGCAUUUUGGUCUUUUCACACUCAAUUGAGUUUUGUCUUAUUAUAAGAAUUUGUAAUGUCAACAACAAUUAUCAUAAGGGUAUAAUAGCCUUUCACCCCCCCAGGCGCAAAAAAAAAAAUUGCCCCAAAUAUAAAGAUCAUCUACAGUGUCAAUUAAUUAUGAAGGGCAUUAUUGCACAUUCACUCAACUACCUAACGGGUGCCUAACCUUCAUACAUGGCCGGGGGUAUGUUGUCAAUAUAUGGAUACAUUCUCUCUAAGUGUAGCAAAGCCAAACCUCAGGGGUGGUUUCUAAAAGUUUUCCUAAAUAGUUAAUAAUUUUAUACAACAGAUUCUUGGAUACCCCUCAAGUUCACUUAUUCUACGUUAUGGCUGACUUUCAAGAAAUUAAAUUCUACAUUAUGACCCCUAGGGAAACAACGUAGCCAAUAAAAUUAUAAAAUAUAUGUGUGUAAUAGUUGUCAAACCUGAACCUAUGUCGUUUAGCAAUUUACAAAAUGAGAAAGACGACAAAAGCCAAGUGUUAAGAGUGGCAGUGAGCCAACGAGACAAGCUCAAGUUCACUGUGUUUUUGUUGAACCUUCUGAAGACCCGAAACUCGAGGUUUGUUUUUCACGUUCCCUAAUCGUUUGACUACAUUUUAAUUCUGUGCUACGCUCGUUAAGAACUGUUCAGGCUUAUGAACUGUUCAGGCUAAGUGUUCGACGAAAUUCCUAAGUGAGUAUAUAUAAUGGUUUGCUCUUGUAUUUAUUCUGUUAUAGAAGGUUUUGCUUUGGGUGGUUAAAUAGAGGAGAUUAGACAUUGAACUUUAUGCACUUGUAUGUUUUCAAGUAAUUGUUUGCUGAGGCACAUGUACUUUGAAUGGCUUCAUUCAUCUACAGAGAUAUCAUAACAUUUUUGCUUAAUGUGAGUCUUAUUGUUGUUAAUUUGUCCAAAGUGAAGGCUUUUUUAACUUUUAUUUCUUUGAUUUAUUUAUUUAUUGGUGUGUCGAAGUUCUGUGUCUCAACUUUAUUUGAUAAGUUCUUUCAGACUACUAAUUAGAAGAAACAAAUGCUAGAGAGUGAGUAUGAGAGGGAAUGAUGUUUGGGCAAGGGGUGAUUUGUUCACUUGGCUCAUGAAGGACCCCAACUAUAAUGACAUGUAUCAAUUUCGCAGCCUAAUUGGAAGGUAAGCUCAUUUCUUGAUUUCCUUCAAUUUUCACUUUCAUUUUACUGUUUUCAAGUAGUAGGUAAUCUAAAUAAAAGUAAAAUCAGUAGUGAUUUGCUUCAAGUGCAUAUGGAUAGUAUAUCACAUGUGAGAAGAUUGUAUUUGUUAUAUGAAAAUCCUUAAUAACUGUAAUGAAAAAAUAUAUUCUCAAACCUGAUCGUGGAAUGUACUAUUUCUUAAUAUCUGAGUUUGGAUCCACACAUUUUUUGCCAUGCAAUUUGACAAGUUGUCAUGUCCUCAUAUUCUGCGCUAUCAUAAGUUUUGCCAAUCUGCAUAGGUGUUUAAUAGAUUGAGUUAAUCUAGUUUCGAGAGCAUGCCUUACUAAAGGGCAUCGAGUUUCUAAGUGAGGGCAAGCACAACUAUAAUUAUCUAUUUCAUAUCCUCCCUAUCAGCGGGGCAGGUCUGUUACCUCUAAAUUCUUUCAAUAACUUGGGGACGUUAAUCCUAUUAAUGACAGCCACAUAUUAUAAGUCAAGAAAACUGAUUUUUUGAUUAUUGAAAAAUCAAAUUUUUUGUAUUAUUCUAUUUAUGAUCUCAGUAACCUACAUGUUGCGAUUGUCUUGUAUGGAUCAUUGUUUCUCUUUUAAGCUGUUAUAGUGACAAUUUUUAGCUCUUAUUGCAGUUCUUAAAGUCAUUGCAAGCACAUGUUCUGUCGAUCUCCAUAAAUUCAGAUACAUAUGCAUAGUUAGCUAUUCAAACAACCACACUGGCAUUUAACUUCGAUAUUCAGAAAUAUGGCUGAAGUGAAGCUUCAUGGGGCAUGAGCGAGUGAAUUUUGUUACAGAGUGAUAUGGGCUCUGAAAUUGAAAGGCAUAGCAUAUGAUUACAUUGAAGAAGAUCUCUCUAACAAAAGUGCUUUGCUUUUGAAGCAUAAUCCAGUUCACAAGAAGGUCCCAGUGCUUGUUCAUGACAAAAAAUCAGUUUGCGAGUCCAUUGUUAUCCUUGAAUACAUUGAGGAGAUGUGGCCACAGAAUCCCUUAAUGCCAAAUGAUCCUUAUGAUAGGGCUCUGGCUCAUUUUUGGAUUAAAUUUGCCGAAGAUAGGGUUUUGCUUCAGAACUCUAGCUAAUGCCUUUAUAAGUUCAUUAUUUUCAUGUUUAUUAGUUAUUAGAGAAAAUGAUCAGUAUCCCCCAUUGUAUGUCAAAAUUAAUUAUUUGUUCUUUUAUGUUUUAAAACCUAUCAAAAUCUCCAUUGUCGUUCAAAAGAUUCUGUUAACCUUCAAUUUUUUUGUCUUUUACUAAUUUUACCUCUGGAAAAAUUUUUAUUAAUAGGAAGUUGAAAGUUUAAUAGAAUUUUUUUAACGGCAAGGGAAAUUUUGAUGGCUUUUGAAAUAUGAGAGAGAAAAGGAUUAAUUUACCAAAACAACAUUGUGGUUUUGUUGUUCAUUUACCCUUUGUCAUUCAAUGUAGUUGUUAACCUCUAGUAUAAGGGUGCUUGACAAAUGACAAGGAUAUGUAUUGGCUAAGUCUUUUAGUUCAUACAUAUUAUUAAUCAUGUGAUGAUAUUUUGGCGGGGAGCUACUGUUUGGAAAAUGUUUCGUAGCGUACAAGAUCAAGAGAAUACAAUGAAAGAAAUCUUGGAAAUGCUAAAAACCGUUGAAGAACAUGGCUUAGGAGAGAAGUAAUUUUUUCAUGGAGACAAGAUUGGCUUAGUGGACAUAGCAUUUGUUUCCAUUGUUUAUUGGUUGCAAAUCAUUGAAGAUGUAGCAGGAGUGAAACUAUUUGAAUUUCACAAAUUCACUCGCUUGCACGCAUGGUUUGAAAAAUUUAAACGAGUCCCAGAAAUUGAAGAGAACCUUCCUAAUUGGGGUGAACUAUUGGUUUUUUUCAAACGUCGCCGUGAAAAGUUGGUGGCCUCUUCCUCAUUGCAUUAGCACAAAAUUCGUGCAAUUGUAUUGUUGUCAAGAGGCCGCUCUUUGCUUAGUUUUUGAUUAUCUUGUGUGCUCAAUUGGGAGGCCCCGCUUUGCUGGGUACUUUCGUAUGGAUUUGAGUAAUAAUGGGGACUUGACUUUAUAUUUAUGAAUUAUUGCAUGUAUUUCGUUAAUUAUUAAUGGACUACUGACGGUUAUGUAUUGUUUGGGAAUUGUUUGGGAGGAAGUUUAAAAGCUGAUAUAUACUAAUGACUUGAAGAAAAGUCAACUUAUUUGAAGUAAUAUAACUCUAAAAAAUCAGAAGAAAAACUCUUUGUGGAAAAAGAUAGUUCUGGUAAACAUGCCCAGUAUUAAAGGGUAUUAUCGAAACUUAAAUGUGAAUGGUUAGAGCCAACAUGUGAACAGUACACCAUUAUGAAAAGAUUUUUUUUUUUCGCUAAGAAUAACAAGCCAAUAGGACUUUAGUGAUUUUUUUUAGAUCUAAUUUCUUGAGAGACUUCUUCAUCUUCUUCUUCCUUUAUGGUUGGGGUUUCUUUCUCCAUUUUAACACCACCAUAGGAAAUUUUAACCAUCUAUCUCCCAAAGAAGCCUUUUCCCUUACUCUUCUCCUGGAAAACUCUCUAAUCUCUAUAAAACUCAUAUCUCCCUCAUGUCAUUAUUCCUCAUAACCAACCUUUAAUAAAGUUUUGUCCAUAUUAUAAUGCAAAUUAUGUAAUACUUCAUUUAUAUAGUGGAUUGGAGAUGAGUUACUCUUAUGGAUGUAGAUCAAAGGGCCGAACAAUGUAAAAUCUUAUGUGUUCUCUAUUGUUUAUGCUUAUUUUCUAUUUAUUAGGAUGAUGAUAAUACUCAAAUCGUAUUCCAUACAUGAGCUCAUAUAGAGGCAUAGCACGAGCUCUAUUGAGCUCCCCAGAUAAGCUCUAUAGUUAAAGCUAUCCUCGAAUUCGCUAGAGCUACUUCCUAAACUCUCUUGAGCUCCCCAAAUCAAUUCUUUAAACUAAAUCCCAUGAGCUCCAUAGAGAUUACCUCCCAAAACACUUCAAUUUACCUCUCAAAUUACCUCAGUUCACCUUCCAGAUCACCUUAGUUAUUUCUUUUGUCCUUAACAGUAGAAAAACACACCUAGAUUUUUACUAGCUCAAUCUCCCCUCAAAUAUAAAUUUAUUUAUUUAAAUUAUAUUUAACCUUGUUCUGGUGAGGACAACCACUAAAUGAUUCAAAUCAGAUCCUAGAGAAAAUCCGAUGAAAACAUGUAUCUAUGUAUAAUAUUUAACAUCACCCUAACAAUCAAUACGAAUGCACUUGGAUUUAUUCUUAAUAGUACACAAAGUGGAAAAAGCAUGACAAGCAACACUUGCACACUCGAGGCUCAAUAUAAGCACAAACGUCAUAAUUCCAAGCAACAAACAAUGACCAUCAUUACUAAUUUUUUCUGAAAGCCACCAAAUUGGAAAAGUACUGCCAAGCAAUUAAUUAACGACUGCGACUUGCCAGCCUAAGCUUAUCCAAUGCUGAGAGUUCAUUAUUCUUCAAGGUUUGGUUAAUGUAAAUAUCUUUUAGAGUAAUUUCAGGGUAGAGCGGAGGAUUUUCUUCUGAUAGCAACUGUUUAAUUGGACCAUAUCGUCUCGAGCAACUAUUAUUCAUGAAAAACUUCCGAUUGAAAUUCUGGAGCCUUCCUUAUUUGAUAACACUCUAUAAUAGGCACUCUUGAACUUAUCAUUGGUAAUCAGCUGCAUAAACACAAACACGUUGGUAAUCAGCUGCAAAAACUCACACUUCAUAUAAACCAUAAUUAAGUUAUCUGAUAGAGAUUCAUGCUUGGGUGUUGACGUUCACAUGAAAUUUUGUAAGGACGAUUCUUUCACAGUAUUGUGAAAGAACGUUUCCGUACAAAAUUUAGUGCGAACGUCCCACUUGAGAAUUUUCAAUCUGAUGGAUAGUAUUUCUUAAUAAGUUAUCUAACACACACUUGCCUGCAUCAUGUAGCCUAAGUUUACAACUAGAGUUCCCGGAACAGGGGCAAUGUCAAACCAUUGAUCUUCGUGAAAGACUUGGAGGCCACCAAUUUGAUCUUGUAUGAGCACAGUGACAAAUUUAGGGUCAGAAUGUGUUGCUAUGCCGAUGGACAAUUCUGGUUGAGGGUAUUCAGGGUAAUAACCAUUCCCAAUAGUCAUUUCCUCUACACAACCUAUGUCUUUCAGGUAAUUGAGGUCAAGCCCUAAAGCUUCGGAUAGAAGUUCAAACAGAGUAUCCCCUGUUUUCCACAUUAGGUUGUUGUAUGCGAUCAUUAUCUCUCUGCAAAUUAAUAAAGACAAAAAAUAAUCACUACUAAAAGAAAGGGAGAAUGGCAUUUCGACUUUUAGAAAUUUUUUUUUUAUUGGGUUAACAACUAGAUGAAAUGAGAGUAAUAAAAACUUAUUAGGAACCCAAGUGAUGCAAAACGUUUUAAGAAAGAUGCGAGUGUUAUCCACUGUAAAAGAAAUAAAAUCUAUUGGUCAUCGUCCACAUACCUGCAAGCUUCAGGCAAAUCUUCAGGAUUUGAAAAAUCGCGACCCAUAACACAACUCAAAGUAUCUUUCAGUUAAGGAAGCUCAUUGUGCUAAGUUUAUGAAGAACAUGAAGGCAAAGAAGUUCUCAGUCUUAGUCAGUGAAGCAAGUCAAUAGUGCCAGCUCAUCAGUGCCAGAUCAGCAGAAUUAGUUACGGGAAUUAACAAGUCAGCAUAAGUUGUUAAUGCUUGUUACUAGUUUCUUUAGCAUGUGUAUGUAAAUAUCUUCAAGUAUAUAAGCUGUAGAAGUUCAGUUGGUAUGUAACGAAAAAGAAUUAAGAAAUAAGAACUUUGAUUUUUCAUCUGUAAAUUUUCUCUUGAAACCAACAGCCUUUAACUUUCUUUCAUGGUAUCAGAGCCAACCAUGGCUAGUUCCAGUACACCUAAUCAAGUUCAUUCCACAAACAAUCAAUUUCAAUCUACGCAAACUUCAUUUACUUUUGCUGCGACUGUAAACUCGAUCGAUCGAAUUUUCUUCUUUGGCGCAAACAAGUACUGACGUCAAUCAGAGGAAAUCGACUUGAAGGAUUAAUCUCAGAAGGUCAGAAUAUUCCAGAAUAGUAUCUAUCUCAAUCAAGAGCUGACAGAUCUAUGGAGAAGAUUGAGAAUCCAGCUUAUGUUAAUUGGAGAGCUCAGGAUCAGACUCUGCUUAGCUGGCUUCUUUCAACAAUAAGUGAAAGUAUUCUAAGCUCAGUUCUCAAUUAUGAUACUUCCUUCGAUAUUUGGAGAUCCAUUGAAAAACAAUUUAGAGUUCAAUCCGAAGCAAAAAUAAUGCAACUUAGAUAUGAAUUGGACACUUUGAGAAAAGAAUCAAUGUCAGUUGAAGAAUAUUGCUCAAAAAUGAAAACUCUUGUGAAUAAGCUUGCUUGUGCUGGUGAUAAUAUAACUGAAAAAGAUCUGUUGAUUAGGACUCUUAAUGGAUUAGGAUCUGGUUAUUUGGAUCUAGCUUCCAUAAUCAUAGCUAAUAAAAUGAACUUUGAUGAUGCGUAUGCACUGUUGUUGACACAUGAAGCUCGAUUAGAACAGAAUUAGAAUCCACAGCCUAUGUUUAAUGCCAACUAUAGUAUGGUGAAUGCAAAUUAUGCAAAUUCUUCGCAUAUGAGAGGUUUUCCUAGGAAAUGCUUCUAAUGGUCAAUAUGGAGGAAGAGUUCAGUAUUUUGGUCAUGGUAUGUUCUCUACUUCUUAUCCUAGAGGUUUUCCAGCUGGUAAUGGUGGUUUUGGUAGAGGGAAUGAUGUUGCAAGUUUUGGCAGAAAUCAGUUUCAACAUUUUCACAGACCACCACACAUCAGAAAUAUGUUUUCUCACGCACAUAAUCAAAACAAUUCUACUGGUGAACAUAAUGAACUGACACCUAUAUGCCAAAUAUGUCAUAAGCAAGGUCACACUGCUGAUGCUUGCUGGUAUCGAUAUGGUGAUAAUUACCUUCUUAAGAAUUUUGGCAUAGGUAAAAUGAUGGGAUCAAAGGCUGCUUAUAUGGCUAAUUUUGAGUCAUUUCCUUAUCAACAGUCAACAGAGGAAGAUUCUUAUGGAGUUGCAGAUAUUAACUACAGCUAUCAACCAGUGAAUUACUCACCUGUCUCUUCUUAUCAAUCUGAAGCUUUUACUUUCUCGGAAGCUUAUGUUGCUAACCUUGAAGGCUCAUCAGAUGAAGGGUGGUAUCUUGAUAGUCGGGCCACACAUCACAUUACAAAUAACAUGGGAAACAUGCAUGUGAGAGAAGAGUUCAGAGGUGCAGACCAGCUGACCAUUGGCAAUGGACAAGGUGUGAUUAUUACUCAUAUUGGUGAUGCUUGCUUUAGCUAUAAAAGUCUUAAUGCUGCCCACAAACACACACCUAUAGCACUUAAGGAUAUCUUAUUAGUUCCUUCUAUUACUAAGAACUUAAUAAGUAUAUCUAAGUUAACCACUGAUAAUAACCUUUCCAUUGAAUUUGUUGGUAAUGUGUGUUAUGUAAAGAAUUCACUGAAGGGACAAGUACUUCUGCAAGGUCUUGCUGAAAAAGGAUUAUACAAGUUGCUGUUACAAUCAUCUCAGUCAUCUCCUUCCUCUUUCUUGAGUCAAAUUUCUUCAAACAAGCCUCUGUCUAUGCUUUCUACAUGUCAUCUUCAAUUUCCUGUUAUAACGGAUGUCCAGAAUAAAGAUUCAAAGUCUGUAGCUUGUUAUCAAACUGCUGUCAAUUCUUUCUUUCCUUGUAAUGAAUUAGUUAAUAAAGUCAACUUGUUUCAUAGAUGAUUUGGUCAUCCUCAUUAUGAUGUACUAGUGCAUUUACUUAAGAAUGAUCAGUCUAUCAAUAUCUCUACUUCCAUUAUUAAACAAGCUGCACAACAAAUAUGUGAGGUAUCUCAAAUGGGUAAGGUUCAUAGGCUUCACUUCCCUGCAACUAAAACCAAAACUUCCCACAUACUUAAACUUAUUCUUACUGAUUUGUGGGGUCCUUCCCCUUAUUCUUCCAGAGUUGGUUAUGUUUAUUACAUCAGCUUUGUUGAUGAUUUCAGUAGGUACACUUGAAUCUAUCCACUGAAACUGAAAUCAGAAGCCUUACAAAUUUUCAAACUCUUCAAACUGCAAGUUGAAAAACAAUUCCAGUGUUCCAUUAAAAAGUUACAAUCUGACUGGGGGGGAGAAUAUCGAGCAUUCACUGAAUUUUUGAACCAAAAUGGAAUUAUUUUUAGACACUCUUGUCCAUACACACAUCAUCAAAAUGAGGUAGUUGAGAGAAAGCACAGACACAUUGUUGAGUUAGGACUUACACUUCUAACUCAAGCUAAAUUACCCUUAAACUUUUGGUGGGAAGCUUUCCAAACCUCAGUCUAUCAUAUUAAUAGGUUGCCUUUUGCAACUUUGAAAUUUCUUACUCCCUAUGAAAAGCUCUUCAAUCAUAAGCCAGAUUACAAAAUGCUCAAGUGCUUUGGUUGUGCAUGCUAUCCUUACUUGAGAGAUUAUAAUAAGUAUAAGUUUGCCUAUCAUUCUAACAAGUAUGUCUUUAUUGGUUACAGUCCUUCUCAUAAAAGGGUAUAAAUGUUUGCAUCCAUAUGGUCAGGUCUAUAUAGCUAGACAUGUCAUAUUUGAUGAGCAUUCCUUUUCUUACUCAUCAGAUUCUGUUUUCACUUCAAAUAAUUCAUGUCAACCUCUGUCAUUUACUCCUCAACAAGUGUAUCAUCUAUUCACUUUGUCAAUACCUUCUAAUUCAAAUGACAGUAACUCUUAUAAUCCUGUUUCUGUAAGUUCUACCAGCAGCAGUUCUCAUCAUUCAGUGAAUCAUACACAUAACAAUGACUCUCAGCCUUUGCCACAAAUAUUUGAGCCACAUACAGAAUCUCAUCAUUCCCUGCCUACUCAAUCAUUCACUACCAACACACUCUCUCCAUCACAAAUUUUAACCAACAUCAUUUCCACAACACUUUUGCUCCNNNNNNNNNNNNNNNNNNNNNNNNNNNNNNNNNNNNNNNNNNNNNNNNNNNNNNNNNNNNNNNNNNNNNNNNNNNNNNNNNNNNNNNNNNNNNNNNNNNNNNNNNNNNNNNNNNNNNNNNNNNNNNNNNNNNNNNNNNNNNNNNNNNNNNNNNNNNNNNNNNNNNNNNNNNNNNNNNNNNNNNNNNNNNNNNNNNNNNNNNNNNNNNNNNNNNNNNNNNNNNNNNNNNNNNNNNNNNNNNNNNNNNNNNNNNNNNNNNNNNNNNNNNNNNNNNNNNNNNNNNNNNNNNNNNNNNNNNNNNNNNNNNNNNNNNNNNNNNNNNNNNNNNNNNNNNNNNNNNNNNNNNNNNNNNNNNNNNNNNNNNNNNNNNNNNNNNNNNNNNNNNNNNNNNNNNNNNNNNNNNNNNNNNNNNNNNNNNNNNNNNNNNNNNNNNNNNNNNNNNNNNNNNNNNNNNNNNNNNNNNNNNNNNNNNNNNNNNNNNNNNNNNNNNNNNNNNNNNNNNNNNNNNNNNNNNNNNNNNNNNNNNNNNNNNNNNNNNNNNNNNNNNNNNNNNNNNNNNNNNNNNNNNNNNNNNNNNNNNNNNNNNNNNNNNNNNNNNNNNNNNNNNNNNNNNNNNNNNNNNNNNNNNNNNNNNNNNNNNNNNNNNNNNNNNNNNNNNNNNNNNNNNNNNNNNNNNNNNNNNNNNNNNNNNNNNNNNNNNNNNNNNNNNNNNNNNNNNNNNNNNNNNNNNNNNNNNNNNNNNNNNNNNNNNNNNNNNNNNNNNNNNNNNNNNNNNNNNNNNNNNNNNNNNNNNNNNNNNNNNNNNNNNNNNNNNNNNNNNNNNNNNNNNNNNNNNNNNNNNNNNNNNNNNNNNNNNNNNNNNNNNNNNNNNNNNNNNNNNNNNNNNNNNNNNNNNNNNNNNNNNNNNNNNNNNNNNNNNNNNNNNNNNNNNNNNNNNNNNNNNNNNNNNNNNNNNNNNNNNNNNNNNNNNNNNNNNNNNNNNNNNNNNNNNNNNNNNNNNNNNNNNNNNNNNNNNNNNNNNNNNNNNNNNNNNNNNNNNNNNNNNNNNNNNNNNNNNNNNNNNNNNNNNNNNNNNNNNNNNNNNNNNNNNNNNNNNNNNNNNNNNNNNNNNNNNNNNNNNNNNNNNNNNNNNNNNNNNNNNNNNNNNNNNNNNNNNNNNNNNNNNNNNNNNNNNNNNNNNNNNNNNNNNNNNNNNNNNNNNNNNNNNNNNNNNNNNNNNNNNNNNNNNNNNNNNNNNNNNNNNNNNNNNNNNNNNNNNNNNNNNNNNNNNNNNNNNNNNNNNNNNNNNNNNNNNNNNNNNNNNNNNNNNNNNNNNNNNNNNNNNNNNNNNNNNNNNNNNNNNNNNNNNNNNNNNNNNNNNNNNNNNNNNNNNNNNNNNNNNNNNNNNNNNNNNNNNNNNNNNNNNNNNNNNNNNNNNNNNNNNNNNNNNNNNNNNNNNNNNNNNNNNNNNNNNNNNNNNNNNNNNNNNNNNNNNNNNNNNNNNNNNNNNNNNNNNNNNNNNNNNNNNNNNNNNNNNNNNNNNNNNNNNNNNNNNNNNNNNNNNNNNNNNNNNNNNNNNNNNNNNNNNNNNNNNNNNNNNNNNNNNNNNNNNNNNNNNNNNNNNNNNNNNNNNNNNNNNNNNNNNNNNNNNNNNNNNNNNNNNNNNNNNNNNNNNNNNNNNNNNNNNNNNNNNNNNNNNNNNNNNNNNNNNNNNNNNNNNNNNNNNNNNNNNNNNNNNNNNNNNNNNNNNNNNNNNNNNNNNNNNNNNNNNNNNNNNNNNNNNNNNNNNNNNNNNNNNNNNNNNNNNNNNNNNNNNNNNNNNNNNNNNNNNNNNNNNNNNNNNNNNNNNNNNNNNNNNNNNNNNNNNNNNNNNNNNNNNNNNNNNNNNNNNNNNNNNNNNNNNNNNNNNNNNNNNNNNNNNNNNNNNNNNNNNNNNNNNNNNNNNNNNNNNNNNNNNNNNNNNNNNNNNNNNNNNNNNNNNNNNNNNNNNNNNNNNNNNNNNNNNNNNNNNNNNNNNNNNNNNNNNNNNNNNNNNNNNNNNNNNNNNNNNNNNNNNNNNNNNNNNNNNNNNNNNNNNNNNNNNNNNNNNNNNNNNNNNNNNNNNNNNNNNNNNNNNNNNNNNNNNNNNNNNNNNNNNNNNNNNNNNNNNNNNNNNNNNNNNNNNNNNNNNNNNNNNNNNNNNNNNNNNNNNNNNNNNNNNNNNNNNNNNNNNNNNNNNNNNNNNNNNNNNNNNNNNNNNNNNNNNNNNNNNNNNNNNNNNNNNNNNNNNNNNNNNNNNNNNNNNNNNNNNNNNNNNNNNNNNNNNNNNNNNNNNNNNNNNNNNNNNNNNNNNNNNNNNNNNNNNNNNNNNNNNNNNNNNNNNNNNNNNNNNNNNNNNNNNNNNNNNNNNNNNNNNNNNNNNNNNNNNNNNNNNNNNNNNNNNNNNNNNNNNNNNNNNNNNNNNNNNNNNNNNNNNNNNNNNNNNNNNNNNNNNNNNNNNNNNNNNNNNNNNNNNNNNNNNNNNNNNNNNNNNNNNNNNNNNNNNNNNNNNNNNNNNNNNNNNNNNNNNNNNNNNNNNNNNNNNNNNNNNNNNNNNNNNNNNNNNNNNNNNNNNNNNNNNNNNNNNNNNNNNNNNNNNNNNNNNNNNNNNNNNNNNNNNNNNNNNNNNNNNNNNNNNNNNNNNNNNNNNNNNNNNNNNNNNNNNNNNNNNNNNNNNNNNNNNNNNNNNNNNNNNNNNNNNNNNNNNNNNNNNNNNNNNNNNNNNNNNNNNNNNNNNNNNNNNNNNNNNNNNNNNNNNNNNNNNNNNNNNNNNNNNNNNNNNNNNNNNNNNNNNNNNNNNNNNNNNNNNNNNNNNNNNNNNNNNNNNNNNNNNNNNNNNNNNNNNNNNNNNNNNNNNNNNNNNNNNNNNNNNNNNNNNNNNNNNNNNNNNNNNNNNNNNNNNNNNNNNNNNNNNNNNNNNNNNNNNNNNNNNNNNNNNNNNNNNNNNNNNNNNNNNNNNNNNNNNNNNNNNNNNNNNNNNNNNNNNNNNNNNNNNNNNNNNNNNNNNNNNNNNNNNNNNNNNNNNNNNNNNNNNNNNNNNNNNNNNNNNNNNNNNNNNNNNNNNNNNNNNNNNNNNNNNNNNNNNNNNNNNNNNNNNNNNNNNNNNNNNNNNNNNNNNNNNNNNNNNNNNNNNNNNNNNNNNNNNNNNNNNNNNNNNNNNNNNNNNNNNNNNNNNNNNNNNNNNNNNNNNNNNNNNNNNNNNNNNNNNNNNNNNNNNNNNNNNNNNNNNNNNNNNNNNNNNNNNNNNNNNNNNNNNNNNNNNNNNNNNNNNNNNNNNNNNNNNNNNNNNNNNNNNNNNNNNNNNNNNNNNNNNNNNNNNNNNNNNNNNNNNNNNNNNNNNNNNNNNNNNNNNNNNNNNNNNNNNNNNNNNNNNNNNNNNNNNNNNNNNNNNNNNNNNNNNNNNNNNNNNNNNNNNNNNNNNNNNNNNNNNNNNNNNNNNNNNNNNNNNNNNNNNNNNNNNNNNNNNNNNNNNNNNNNNNNNNNNNNNNNNNNNNNNNNNNNNNNNNNNNNNNNNNNNNNNNNNNNNNNNNNNNNNNNNNNNNNNNNNNNNNNNNNNNNNNNNNNNNNNNNNNNNNNNNNNNNNNNNNNNNNNNNNNNNNNNNNNNNNNNNNNNNNNNNNNNNNNNNNNNNNNNNNNNNNNNNNNNNNNNNNNNNNNNNNUUGGUUCACUUCAACUAUCUAAGGAACAAACUCAAUGUGCAGCCUUGCCCCUUGAGUUUGAGGGGGGCUGUUAAGGAAGCUCAUUGUGCUGAGUUUAUGAAGAACAUGAAGGCAAAGAAGUUCUCAGUCUUAGUCAGUGAAGCAAGUCAAUAGUGCCAGCUCAUUAGUGCCAGAUCAGCAGAAUUAGUUACGGGAAUUAACUAGUCAGCAUAAGUUGUUAAUGUUUGUUACUAGUUUCUUUAGCAUGUGUAUGUAAAUAUCUUCAAGUAUAUAAGCUGUAGAAGUUCAGUUGGUAUGUAACGAAAACGAAUUAAGAAAUAAGAACCUUGAUUUUUCCUCUGUAAAUUUUCUCUUGAAACAAACAGCCUUUAACUUUCUUUCACUUUCCAAAAGAGGGUUGGUGCACUAUACAAAUUUAAAUUUGAACAAUAUUUAAUUUUUUUGGAGUAAUCACGAGAAUAAUAUUUCUGCUUAACCUCAACAUCUUGUUGAAAAAAAGCUACGGAUCCCAUCAAUGGCCUGAUCCAAAAUGCUUGUUGGGAUUCCAUGAUUGAUCACUUGAAAGAAACCCCACUUCUCACAAGCACUUCUAAUUUGGUCAAUUACCUGAGAACGCAAACUUGAAUCCUUGAGUAUUCUUUGAAGGUCUAUGAUAGGGAUGCUGAUUUUGGGGUCCCUGCAGAUUGGCUUAUCAUCAAACUUAUGUUUAGUGUGACGAUCUUGAAUGAUGAUCUGUGGAAUGGUUGUGAUCCCAGCAUCUACGAGUCCCUUAACACCAGCUUUCGUGUCAUCAAAAGCUUUCAACUCGCUAACUCUGUCACAAGUAAUGCUUCCCAUUGCUUGGUGAAUUAUCUUUUACCUGGUGAAUUAUGAAGUACAAAUGCUGACUUGCGGGUGAUUGCUUUUGGUAUAUGCCGUUUAUAUGAAUAUGAUUCCUAGCUUGCCACGUGCAACAUGUUGAAAUAUAGCGAUAGCAUGAAGAUGUGGAAAUUUGUAAAAUUUGAUCCUGCGUUAUUUAUCAUGAUUAAAUUAAUUAUAAAUUAUCAAUAAUAGUCAAUUCCGGGGACCACCAAUUACUGGGUGGCACAUCACAAUAAUAAAUUAUCAAUAAUAGUCAAUUCUGCAUUAUUUAAUAUUUAUGUGGAUAAAAUUUCAAUUAGCUACACUACAUUGUUGUUUGAUAGUUAACGGUUCACCUUCUCCAUUUGUAAAUAUUAUUAUGGACUUAUAGUGUGGCUUAAAAGCUAGAUCUUAAAUGAAAAGAAAGCUUUAAUGGUGAAAUAAAAAUUUAAAUAAAUGAUAAAGGGAUUAAAGGUUAACCUAAUGUUAACAAAAAUAAUUGUAAAAUAUACAUGUUUUAUCAUGUUAAUUGAUGUUUUUCCAGUAUGCACAUAAAAAAGAUCUAUUUUACAAUUGUUUCUGUUGGCGUUGGGGCAGAUUUUUUUUUAGUCUAAUUAAGUAUAUCAUAAGUUAAUAAUAGUGCGUAUUUUAACUUUAAUAAAUUUGGCCACUUAGAUUUUUAAUUCUGACUCCUUCCCUAAUCAAUCAAGAAAAAGAAUGCUUUUCUCCAUAAAAAUUAAAAUAGAAAAUUCAGCAAGGACAUAACUGCGGAGAUGUUUGAUCCUGGAUUUAUAUAUCAAAGCAACAUCAAAAUUAUAAUACUUCCUUGCCACCGAGAAGAGAUAUAUUCAAGAGCACUGGCCUUAUAAAGCCUAAACCAUACUAAACUACCUACAUGGAAUCUAAUGCGUACAUGCAAUGCUUUCUAAAGUGAAACUGUCGCUUGAAAAUAGAAUUCAUGUUCAGCAGCCUCUCUCUAUCCGGGCUCCAAUUUUAUAACAAGGCAGCUAAAUAAGAUGAUUUAGAUGGCAUCGGCAUCUGUAGUAUCGUUUGUCUGUAGUCCCUCAUUAUCUACGAUCUGAUCGCUCCCUAUAGUAUUGUUUGCCUGUAGUCCCUCAUUAUCUACGCUCUGAUCACUCCCUAUGUAGAGAAUCGACAAGAGCAAAUUGAAGCACACGUUCACAGCACUAAUAACUGUUAAACUCUUAUAGUACUUGUCAAGCCUACUAUCAUCCAGGGUUUCAGCAAAGUCGCCUUUGUUUGCCAAAAUGAAAAAGAUGUUAAAAAUGCUUCCUAUUCCGACGAAAAAAUAACUUAUUGCUGAUACAUGGUACUCCAUCCGUUCAGGAAAAUGAGAGCUCGAGUAUUCAUCACAUCCAUACCAGGCAAGCCCUUCCAUAAGACCUAAUAGACAGAAUUGUGGAACAAGCCAAAACAUGCUCAUAUUUUACAGUAAAUGUUAAAUUUCACAGCAUGUAAAAUAUAUAUAUAUAUAUACACACACACACACAUACCUAAUAAGAGGAUAUUAGGAGCUUUACCCUUAUAAAAAUAAUGCUAGAGAUCUCAAUAGUUAAGUUACAAUUGAUGUGACAUUAAUUCAUUUUGGCUCCACUUUGAUUAUAAUAAUGAUUAAGAAAAGCAUUUCUAGGAUCAUAAUGUCAUGCUAUACAAUUAGUUCCAACAAUUUUCGUUUCAGGCAUUGGGGCUAUUGUUCUGUACAGCGUCCAGAGAAUUUUCAGAAACCAACUUUGAGCUACUCAACAUGAUAGGAAUUAUCCUGUUAGCAGUGGGUGAAGUUGGAGCGGCGCCUCUUUUGGGACCAUUUCUUGCCGAUCAAUUAAGAGAACAUGGUAAAGGAGGGAGAACAGAAAAUUCAAAUGAGGAUCAAGUAAUGGCUCAGAAAAGAGUGUGGUGGCGGUUUGCCUGGUGCUGUGGUUCAGCUGCGGCAUUCUAUGCAAAUAAUAUUAAGACAUGGAAGAAGACUUUCAUGUUCACAUUGUUGUUUAUGGGGGGCAGUUUGAUCCUCUUGUUGUUGGGUAUUCCCUUUUAUCAUAGUAGACAAAUACCUCCUAUUGACCGUUUUGCUAUAAUCCGCGUUGUUAAAACCUCCCUGAAGAAAAAGCAUCUCAAUUAUCCUCUUUCUCCGGAGCUGUUCUUCAGUAAUGAUGAGGGAAACGUAUUACACUUGUCACCAAGAAUCAAAUUACUCAGGUAUAUGCCCAACAUGUAUACACCCACACCCGGCCCGUGGUCUGGCAAAAUUGUUGGGGAGACCCUCUUAUUUUUAUUAAUAAUUAUAUAAACCUCUUUAUGGACACAUUAAUACCCUUUUGUGUUCGGGAAUAGUCACACCGACCUCCAAGAUUUGUCCAAAAGGGCGUAUUUAUAAACGCGUCUGUGUGAUCAUUUUGCCAAACCAUGAGCUGUCGCUUUCUCUUUUCCUAAAAAAUUACCAAUAAAUUAAUUCUUUGAAUUGCAGAUGGAUAGACAAAGCGGCAAUUAUAGAGACAUCAAGUACUUCUAACGAACAAGAAGAGGCAGGCACACUUUGCACUGUGGCCCAGGUCAGGGAGUCAAAAUCUCUUCUUAAUGCGUACAUGCAAUGCUUUCUAAAGUGAAACUGUCGCUUGAAAAUAGAAUUCAUGUUCAGCAGCCUCUCUCUAUCCGGGCUCCAAUUUUAUAACAAGGCAGCUAAAAAAGAUGAUUUAGAUGGCAUCGGCAUCUGUAGUAUCGUUUGUCUGUAGUCCCUCAUUAUCUACGAUCUGAUCGCUCCCUAUAGUAUUGUUUGCCUGUAGUCCCUCAUUAUCUACGCUCUGAUCACUCCCUAUGUAGAGAAUCGACAAGAGCAAAUUGAAGCACACGUUCACAGCACUAAUAACUGUUAAACUCUUAUAGUACUUGUCAAGCCUACUAUCAUCCAGGGUUUCAGCAAAGUCGCCUUUGUUUGCCAAAAUGAAAAAGAUGUUAAAAAUGCUUCCUAUUCCGACGAAAAAAUAACUUAUUGCUGAUACAUGGUACUCCAUCCGUUCAGGAAAAUGAGAGCUCGAGUAUUCAUCACAUCCAUACCAGGCAAGCCCUUCCAUAAGACCUAAUAGACAGAAUUGUGGAACAAGCCAAAACAUGCUCAUAUUUUCCAAUUGUUUGAGCUUUUCCAACCUGCGAACCUCAACCUGCCAUGCCACUACACAGCAAACUGUAGUCAUCACCAUUCCAAUAAAUGUUCUCAACACUUGAGCUUGUCUCUUUUUAGUUUUUGGAACAAAAUUGGAAAUUAAAUUUUUUGACAGAUAAGAGAUCGUUGCACGAAUUAUCCCUUUAAAAGUUCGUAGAAAGAUUAAGUAUCUUUCAGAAAUCAUGUUGGCUCCCUGCCCAGGAAAAAAUGUAUUUCCUGCUGACAGAACCAAUCCAAACACAAUGAAGCUAGACCACAAUGGCAACAAUUUAAGAAGAGAUUUUGACUCCCUGACCUGGGCCACAGUGCAAAGUGUGCCUGCCUCUUCUUGUUCGUUAGAAGUACUUGAUGUCUCUAUAAUUGCCGCUUUGUCUAUCCAUCUGCAAUUCAAAGAAUUAAUUUAUUGGUAAUUGUUUAGGAAAAAAGAAAGCGACAGCUCAUGGUUUGGCAAAAUGAUCACACAGACGCGUUUAUAAAUACGCCCUUUUGGACAAAUCUUGGAGGCCGGUGUGACUAUUCCCGAACACAAAAGGGUAUUAAUGUGUCCAUAAAGAGGUUUAUAUAAUUAUUAAUAAAAAAAGAGGGUCUCCCCGACAAUUUUGCCAGACCACGGGCCGGGUGUGGGUGUAUACAUGUUAGGCAUAUACCUGAGUAAUUUGAUUCUGGGUGACAAGUGUAAUACGUUUCCCUCAUCAUUACUGAAGAACAGCUCCGGAGAAAGAGGAUAAUUGAGAUGCUUUUUCUUCAGGGAGGUUUUAAUAACGCGGAUUAUAGCAAAACGGUCAAUAGGAGGUAUUUGUCUACUAUGAUAAAAGGGAAUACCCAACAACAAGAGGAUCAAACUGCCCCCCAUAAACAACAAUGUGAACAUGAAAGUCUUCUUCCAUGUCUUAAUAUUAUUUGCAUAGAAUGCCGCAGCUGCACCACAGCACCAGGCAAACCGCCACCACACUCUUUUCUGAGCCAUUACUUGAUCCUCAUUUGAAUUUUCUGUUCUCCCUCCUUUACCAUGUUCUCUUAAUUGAUCGGCAAGAAAUGGUCCCAAAAGAGGCGCCGCUCCAACUUCACCCACUGCUAACAGGAUAAUUCCUAUCAUGUUGAGUAGCUCAAAUUUGGUUUCUGAAAAUUCUCUGGACGCUGUACAGAACAAUAGCCCCAAUGCCUGAAACGAAAAUUGUUGGAACUAAUUGUAUAGCAUGACAUUAUGAUCCUAGAAAUGCUUUUCUUAAUCAUUAUUAUAAUCAAAGUGGAGCUAAAAUGAAUUAAUGUUACAUCAAUUGUAACUUAACUAUUGAGAUCUCUAGCAUUAUUUUUAUAAGGGUAAAGCUCCUAAUAUCCUCUUAUUAGGUAUGUGUGUGUGUAUAUAUAUAUAUAUAUUUUUUUUUUUUUUACAUGCUGUGAAAUUUAACAUUUACUGCAAAAUAAUAAAUUUUUAAUUUAGCCCAAAGUACUAUAAAGUCCUGGGUCCGCCCCUGAAUAUAUAUAUUGCUUGCAAUGAUAGACAUAUGUUUUAAUUUCGUCUCUGUUUAGAAGUUUAGCAAAUUCAAAACAUAUUAACUUACAAGGAUGUAGGAGACAGUUGAAAAAAUGAGGAUUCUGAGAGGACGAAUGGCAUAACACGAAAUCCAGGCGGCAACAACCGUAAGAGUUGCUAAUAUUACAUCCUGAAUACUCGUAAAUAUUGCAGCUUUCUGAAGUGUGAAUACUUUUGAAUAUUCGGAGUUGGAGAAGUAAGUUAUCAAGACGCCCACUAUAGCCAAGUCUACGAGUUUGCGGCUUAUCAACAAACCUGGAAUCAAAAUAAUCAUUAGAAAAAAUGUUCGUGCUCACUAAAAAAAGCUUACACAUGAGGACUGCAAGAACAACGUGAGAGAACUAUUGUCAUGUUUUAUAAUUUAGCCCAACCUAAUCAAAGAUCUUAAGUACACCUCUCUUAACUGAAAUUAUUCUAGGGGAUUAUCUAUUUAGGAAUCUCAAAGUUCAUGAGCUCUUAAUACAUACACACAUACAUAUACAUACAUACAUCAUCAUGUUGUUAAAGUAAUGAUGUUAGUAAAAUACAAAAAAAAUAUAUGUACAUGUAUUAAAUUGUAUGAUUUAACAGAAUUAGUACAAAUAAAUAAAUUACAUGAUUUUGUAGUGCAUUGAAAAUUAAUUUUAUUAAACUAUACAAUUUACUAGUGUGUCUCCAUUAAAAAAAAUAAAGACCCUCAUAUAUAUAUAUAUAUAUAUAUAUAUAUAUAUAUGUAUACAAGUUUAUGUUCUGAAUAAAUACAUUUUUAAAAGAUAGGAUUACCUAAGGCCCCACACGCAAAAUUACCUGACAGAAAUGCAGCAGCCUUACAAAAGCAGACGUAAUAUCGUACCCAAGUUAUGAACCUGUUUUGAAGCUUCAACAGCUGAGAAAAUGGAAACAUUGUAGUUUCUGAAACUGCUUUUAUCUGCAAAGACUUCUACUUGUGAGUUGUGAAUCCCGAGACGAUGAAGAUUUUGUAAUUAUGCCAAAGUCUUUUAGGUAGUUUAUUCAAAUUAAAAAAUAAUAAGUCGCACUUCAAGACCACCUAUUGGUCACAUCAAGACCACCAUUUGGUCACAUAAGUCUUCUUUUUUUUCUUCUAACUUUAAUCCAGCUAGUCAGCUACGGUCCAACAGGUGCACCGUGCCCUCUUUUUGACAGCACCCCUUACUUUCUUCUAUAUUUACAGUUUAUUAAAGUAAUUUCUUUUUCCUCUUUCUUUCACCCCUCACCUUUACAAUCUUCCAAUUUUUUCCAUUUUCAAUUAAACCUGUAAUCAACCAAUUGCAAGCAAUAAGAAAAAAGUUGGCAAGCUAUUUGCUCUAUAAUACACAAGUAAUUAGGGGUGGGCAAAAUACCCGACCCGAUCCGACCCGAAAAAUUUCAGGUUCGGAUUGGAUCGGGUUAUUAAUAUAAUCCGAUCGGAUGAAAUAUUACAAACCCGAUCGGGUUGUGAUCGGAUCGGAUAAAACCCGAUCCGAUCCGAAAACCCGAUCGGGUUGCUAAAAAAAAUAUAUAUAUAUCUAUGGCCAAACACACACACACGGCACACAGCACACCACACAUAAUCACACAAAUCAGUGAAAUCACAUACUCAAAAGGUUACACUUUACAGUUUACACAAACACAAAACACACAAAAACAAAAAAAUCACAACACCCAACCCGUGAACCCACCCUCAAGAAGCAAGAAAACAUUCUCUCCUUCCCGCAAUCUGCUGCUGCCGUGUUGCGAGUCCGGCCAUCUGCUGCUGCGUCAGCGAUCUGCUGUUGCCGUGCUGUUGUCAUGCUGCUGCCGUGUUGCGUCCAGCCAUCUACUGCUGCGUCCACGAUCUGCUGCCGCCGUGCUGCGUCCACGAUCUGCUGCCGCCGUGCUGCGUCCAGCCAUCGCGAGGAAACUGCUGCUGCGUCCACGAUCUGCUGCCGCCGUGCUGCGUCCAGCCAUCGCGAGGAAACUGCUGCGCGUCCAGCCAUGCGCAAGCUGCUGCUGCACGCCCACCGAUCUGCUGCCGAAAACCCAGCCGCCGAUCUGCUGCUCCAAGGCUCAAGCUCCAACCCGACCCGAGUUUCUCCCUUAGUCCCUUAUGUGUUUUGAAUUUUGAAGCUUUCAUGGUGUAUUGGUAUAUAUGUUUUGAAUUGACCCGUUUAAUUUGACCCGAAUUGGUUUAAUUUGACCCGAAUUUAAUAUGAUCCAUUUUUAAUUCGAACCGAUUCAACCCAAAUUCAACCCGAUUUUUUACCCGAUCCGAACCGAUCCGAAUAUAUAUCGGAUCGGAUCGGGUCGGGUUGUAAGUUCGGGUUGUAUUCGGAUCAAUGUUUGCACAACCCGAAUAACUCGAAACUCGAUCGGGUUGACCCGAACCCGAUUUUGCCCACCCCUACAAGUAAUAAUGAAUUGAAGUUUUUAUAUAAAAAAAUUACAUAGAUGUAAUUUUUUUACGCACACUAUUUAUCAUCUACAAUGAAAUUAACAUGUAAGUAAAUUUAUUUUUUUAUCUUUUAUUAUAUGUAUUCUUCCCCUUUCUCCCCCGUAUGUCUUUUCAUUUUCUCUUUGAAUAAUCUAACCUAAGGCUUUCUAAUAAUUGGUUUAUUGUUAUUAUUUUUAUAAGUAAACCUUCUCUUUGUUAUGUCAAUAGGUUUAUUUUAUAAAAAAAAAUUCGUAAAUGACCAAAAGUGAGAACCUUAAUAAAAAUUCAAAACCUAUCUUAGUUUUUGUUGUCUUUGUUGAUGCAUCUUGCAUGUUUGAUGUCUUAAUUAUAACUUGUGAGAGUAAGUACUGUAAUACAAUGAUGAUUAAUGAUUAUUACUAAGAGUAUUCAGAGAAAAAGAAGUUGGUGUAAAAUUUUAUAAACUUUGAGUUUUCUAAAUUUUCACUAAACAAUAGGGAUUGCAUUAUUAAUAACUAAAUAAACACAUCCAUAACCUUGAAACUACAUUUGUGUAAGUUCUUUCUCUUUGUAAUGGUUACGAAGACUGACAAUUUUCUAUUGAAGUUAUUUAUACAUGUAUUUCUUUUUCAGCAUGUAAUACAUUUAGGAAAUGAGUAAUGAUUAAGUACAAACACUUUUAGAUAAACAAUGUUGUACGAACUUAUGUGAUAUUUUUUAGAAAAAAGGAUCUGAACAUCCUUAAGAUUUUAAAAAAUGGUCAUUUAUACUUUGAGUUUUCAAUACAGAACAUCAAGACACUUUUUUACUAUAGUAUUCUUAAUAGAUAAUAACAAAAAUUAUUGAAUUUAAACAUUUUAAUAAAUAUAAAUAAAAUUUAAAUAGUUUAAUAUGUCUAGUAGACUAAUAAUAUUAGAAAUUUCUAGUAGACUAAUAAUAUUAGAACAUUUCUUAAUAUGUAAAUAAUUUUUAAAAGAUAAAUUAGUAUAUUUAUUUUAAUAAUAUAUUUUUACUUAUUAUAAAAAUUGUAAAUAAAUCUUUAGGUUAGAUAGAUUUUAAAUUUAAUAAAAUACAUGUCAUGUACUAAUAAUAUUAAAACUAUUUUAUAUAAUAUUGAAAAUAAUUUAAAUUUUAAAUUUUAAUAUUAUCUUUCGAUUUAUUUUGAAAUUUAGUUUAAUAUAAUUUAAUGUUGUAAAGUAUUAAAAUAUUUUAAAAAUAUUGAAAUUAUUUUAAAAUGUAUAUAUUGUUACAUUUAUUUUAAUAUUAUACUUCUAUUUAUUAUAAAAUAUUAAAAAUAAUAUUUUAAUUAAAAGGGAGUUUUGGUGUCUCUUACUGAAAAAUAGAGUGUACAUAAUCAUUUUUUCAAAUUUUAAAGGGUGUACAUGUCAUUUUUCUUACUUUUUUAUAAUCAAUUGAAUAAAAAAAAAGUCAUCUGGCCACAUAAAUUAUUUCUAAUUUAUAUUUUCAAUCAACAAAUCAUAAUGUGUCAUAUCUAUUUGUAUAAGCAUUUAUGAACAUAAAAAAUUAAGUUUAGGCACUAGUCGGGUUGGAAAUCAACUCAUCCAAACCCAUGUAUAGUGCUAGUUGGGUGAGUUGGACUUAUCUCGAAGACCCAUUUUCUGUCUUUGAAAUAUCAAUAUGAAAUUAAAAUAAUUAAAAAAUAAUUUAAUUGAAACAACUAAAAAUAGAAUACAAAAUUACAAAUAAUAACUAUCCCUGAAACUUCAUUGUUAAUAAAAAUAAUUAUUUGUAUAGGAUCCUAAUUACACCAUAAAAAGUAAUAGGAUGAAUUCAAGAGUUGGGUUUGAAAAUUUUCAACACCUAGUAAAUAUAGUGCAUUUUCUCCACCCCUAUGAAAUUAGGGGUUGGCUUUCUACUUGAUUUUAAGUAGAGAAAAUGAUCAAUCCUACCUUAUUGUUUGUUGAAACUAUAGGGUGAAUUUAAGAGUUGGGUUUGAAAGAUGCAAUAUGUUCAUAUGUAUAUAUGAACAUAUUGCAUCUUCACUAUCUUAUCCCCAGAAUUUUUGCACCAAAUCAUGGUACAAGAAUAAAAAUUCGCAACUCGAAUCAACAAAGUAUAUCACUUAAGUUAUUCUGCAAGCCGCCAAAUUGGAAAAUGUCCCAAAUAAUUAAUUAACCACAUCGACUUGAUAGCUUAACUUUUUCCAACGCUGAGAGUCCUUCAUUCUUCCCUAUUGAGGAUUGGUUAUUGUAAACGUCUGUUGGAGUAACAUGGGGAUAGUGCGGAUGAUUUUUUUCGGAUAGCAACUAUUUAAUUGGACCAUAUUGUCUCGAGCAACUGUUGUUCAUAUAAAAAACUUCCAAUUGAAAUCGUUGAGCCUCGCCUUCUUGACAACACUCUGUGAUAGGCACUCUUGAACGCGACACUGGUAAUUAGCUGCAUAAACAUAUAAAAGAACACUAUAAUUAAGUUAUAUGAUGGAUUCAUAAUAGUCAAAGUUGUGCAUAACAUCUACUUGCCUGCAUCAUGUAGCCUAAGUUUACAACUAGAGCCCCGGAAACUGGGGUAAUAUCAAACCAUUGAUCUUCACAAAAGACUUGGAGGCCACAAUUCGAUCUUGUAUGAGCAUAGUGACAAAUCCAGGGUCAGAACGUAUUGUUACGCCAAUUGUCAAUUUCGGAUGAGGGCUAUCUGGGUAGUGACUAUUCCUAAUAGUCAUUUCCUCUACAGAACCUGUGUCUUUCAGGUAACUGGGGCCAAACCCUAAAGCUUCAGACAAAAGUUCAAACAGAGUGAAUUAGCAAUUGACGUUGUUGGAGAAAAAUCAAUUUUUAUUUUUUUUAAAAAAAAAACUUUUUAGAGUCGAUCUCAUAUAAUAUAUAAGAAUUCAUAAUUUAGAAAUUAUACCUUGAAAAUAUGAGAAAAUGAACAAUCUUUGCUUUUUCUACUGAAGUGAAACAAGGCUCCCAUAUCACGAUUUGUCACCACCACACCUGUUAGAUUACAAUCUGUCACCACCACGCUUGUUAGAUCACGAACUAUCACCAAUGAUUUUCUAGAUUAUGACUCAGGUUUGAUCUGCACUUGACGUGUGGGUGCUUUUAUCACUACCAAUAGCAACUAGUAUGAGAAAAAUUUUCUCUCAAGAUUAAAGAGAAAAAUUCUUUUUCUCUUAUCUGUAUAAUGUGGCCUUAUAUCUUUUCAAGAGAAAAUAAGCCCUUUUAUAUCUUAUCUAGUGGAAAUCCUAAGCUCUAUAUUUUUUAUUUUUUAAUUCUAUUAACACAAGGCCCCUUACACAUAAGCAUAUUACAUGGAGCCUCCCACUAAAUAAUAUAUUUAGGCUUUUAACCCAAAUAGCUAGUUAUUUUACUUAUUAAUCCAGUAGCGGCGCAGUCAAUUAAAUGAGCUAACCCAAAUAUCAUUUGAGAACAUACAAUAGUGGCUACAAUAAUUAGGCAUGUAAUCAAACUAGCCCAAUUAUUUAAUUCUAAAUCUACUCCACUAAAAGAUUGGAACUGACCUCCACAAUUGUAUGCUUGAAUAAUAAUUCAUCCCAAACAACAUUGAUUUCUUUACUGCACAAUCUUUUGUACCACAUCAUUAAUUAAAUUGAUAUCUCACCUGUCCAAUCAAUUUAACUACAUUUUGUUCCUUGAUUCUUACUGGUUUUCUCUAAUGAUCAUUUUCAACAUACUAAAUAUGUCGACACACUCUGACCAAAGAAUUCUAUGAUCAAGUGCCGAAAACCCAUCAAGAGAUGUGUUGUACAAAUUCUAUAUUGUCAAUUUAUAACUCCAAUACUCAUAAUUGGUCUCAUCAAGAUACCGGAUAAUCUUGACUACAAGUAUGUGUCGUGCCCAUUGGUAAUUCAAAUGGAAUAACAAUUAUAAUCAUGAAAUCAUAAUUAACUCAAGAUUAAGAUUGCAGUAAAAUCCAUGUCUAUGAGAUUUAAUAAGUCUGACAGUAAUUACAAAGUUAAUUAAAUCUCAUAUGUUAUCUUGUUCAAUGUAGUCUUACUACAUCAAUAAAUUUUUACAUGAAUAAGACAAAUCAUUCAAUGAAUUCAUUACAGUCUAUACCUAAAUAAAGUGCCCAACUUUAUUUAUCAACUGCGAAUUAAAUUUAUUUAAUCAUAAGAUAACUUGUAUUUAUGUCUUCUGUAAUCCACAUGGUGAUUCUUGUGCAAAUUUAUUGAACUCGCAAGUGCACGAAUAUAUUGUAGAAUAGAUUAAUGGUGACAAGUGUCGAUCCCACGAGAAAGUGGAUUUUAAUUAUGUGUAAAUUUAAUUUUCUAUGAGGGUGGUUGGAUUUGUGGUGAAAAUGAUUUGGAAUAUUCUAAACAUUAAAUUAGAAUGGCAGGAAUAAAUUAAAGCAAAAUCUAUUGAAAUAAAGCACUUGGGUAUCUGGAUCUGCAUUAACAUGCACCAUGUGCUAAAUAUUCCUUAGUAAUGCCAAUUAAAUCAUGAGGGGGGUUUCUACUCCUCAUGAACCACACUCUAAUCAAUAUGGUGUUAAGGACUUAUUGUGGCAAACAAUAAUAACCUUGUACUAGGGAGUCGGUUAAAUCAGCGCAGUAUCCAGACAAGAUUAUUACUAUUUGUCGACGAAAAGUCAAAAUAUCAAUAAUAAUUAGAGGAGAAGAGAAAGUAAAUUUACUAAAUAAAGCCCACGACACAUGUUGAGACUUCACCAACCCAAACUUGAAAGAAAAUUAGCUACUUAUAAUUGAACUAAGGGUAAAAUGAGAAUUUAUUAAAAUACAUAGAAAAUACAAGAUGGAGAAUGAAUUACAGAAAAUAGGCUCAAAAAUGAAUUCAAAAAUGCCAAAUUAGGGAGGAGCCCCCCUUUUAAUAGAUACACUGAGUAAAUCAUGGCCAUCAUAUUAAAAACAUUUUGGACGCUCAAGAUUGCGCCACGUCAUCGGUCAACAGUACGUGGUUUGGUUGUAAAUAAUCUCGUGUAUAUGCAUGUACCGUACGCACUAUUUUUGAUCCACUAACAUGCUGCCACGUCACAGAUCAACAGUACAUAAGAAUUUUAGUCUAAUAAAAUCGUGACAUCUCAUCAGUCAAUACCACAUCAUCAGUCAAUGCCACGUCAUCGUUUUGUAUAUGUGAAUAGUGUCGUGAACAGUAACAUGGAUAGUAUCGUAUCUGUGAAUAGUACCGUACAUGUGAACAAUUCCAUUUUUCCUUUUAAACUCCUCCUAAGAUUUUCGACUGUCCUGAUCUCAAAAGUGAUGUCUGUUUUGCUGUAUGAUCUCUCGUUCAUUGUGAAAUGACCAUGAUGCCCCUAAAAUACAUAAAAUAUUUAAUUAUAAUAUAAUACACAUAAUUAAAUCACAAGGAACUUAAAUACAUAAAAGUAUGAAUGUUAGUGAAACUUGAAGUGUAAAAUGACGAUUUUCUCCUUCAUAAAUAUACACUUUCUAACACUCAAAAGUGAUCACAUAAAUACAUAUAAUAUGAUUAAAUGGACUUUAAUCAAAAUAUUAAUGCAAUUAAGAUAUUUGAAUAAAAUACCUUAUUUAUUUUAUUAAUCAGAAAAAUUAUUUAUUACAAUUAAAUAAACACUUAUGCUUUUAAAGAGCAUAUUUUCCCAACAGGCGUAUCUCAUAAAGGCAACUUCGGUGGUUGAGGUAUCCUGCCGUGCAACACUGUAUCUCUUAUAGUCAACUUUUACGACUUGGACAAUUUGUAUUUUACCGAUUGUCCAUUGAAUUAAUUUGUUUUUGCUGAAAAUGAAUAUUAAAAAAAGAUUAAAAUAAAUAAAAUUAUAAAUAAUUAAAAUCACAGAUUGUCCCAAACCACCAAUAAAACCUCUAAAACUAAAAUUAUAAGCUCCUCCGUAAGAUCCACCAUUAUAUUUCUUAUUACCACUAGCAUUCUUUCAAGGAUUAAAAUGGUUUUGAGUUACAUUAGCUAACAAGUUAUGUGUGACAUCACUAGCAAUUUUACCUCUUGUCUGUUCAACUCUAUUCUCCUGAUUUAGCAGUAAAGAGUAAAAUUCAUCAAGACUGAUCUUAUCACCUCCAGCUAACACACUGAUAACUAAAGACUCAUAAUCAGAUGAAUCUAGUCUAGUCAAAAUAUAUUGAACAAAAUCACUUAACUCAACAGAUUUUCUAGCUAAAGCCAGACUGUCAGACAAUCUCUUCAUUUUAACAAAGUAAUCAAUCAUAGACAUUGAUCUUUUUUUGAGUGUUUGAAUAUGCAUCUUAAAGGCAUUAUUCUAGCUUGAGAUUGUAAAGUAAACAUACUUGUGAGUGUAUCCAAAAGCUCUUUAGCAAUGGAGCAAUGAACGAUUGUAGCGAGUAGAUUUUGCUGAAUAGAUGACAACAUCCAACUCAAAACUAAUUGAUCUGUCUUCAUCCAGGCUGUGUAUGCUGGAUUGACCUUUCGAUUUUCAGUAAUAGUUGAGGACCAACUUCAGUGCUAGCUGGUGUGAGAAAUUACUCCGAACAAGUUUGAUCACCAUUAAUGAAAUUAUCCAGAUCGUUUCCUUUGAUGGAUGUUAAAACCUGAGUUUGUCAGACAAUGAAAUUAUUAUGAUCUAGCUUAACAGGAUUGAUAAAACUAUAGGAUCCAGAAAAUUGAUUAGAACUGACCAUUGUAGGCUCUGAGAUCAUGAUAGAAUUUGUAAUAUAUAUGUCUGGAAAGCAAGAAAAUUAAGGAGAAAAAGAUAGAAAGAAAAGAAGAAGAAUUUAGAAUAUGUUAAUUGUUCAUUACAUUACAAAUGUGAUUAUAGCCUUUGUAUUUAUAUUAAGUGAAAUGCUUAACUAUAAUUUGUUAUAACUGGAAUAGGUGCUAAACAGUUCUUUAGCUAGAAGGCUGAGAUGGCUAACUAAUUAUUCCACGUUAGCAAGAGCACUCAUGUAUGGUCCUCAUCCGUACUGUAAUUAUCAUACUCUGUAACAGUUCUUCUACAUCUUCUUGCUCUUCAGGACCAAGUGUACUUCGUGGGUCUAUAAUUGCUGCUUUGUCUAUCUAUUUGCAAUUCAAAGAAUUAAUUUAUUGGUCAUUUUUUUAGGAAAAAAGAUAACGAAACAUAGUUGUUUGGUAAAAUAGUCAUGUGAACUCUUUCUUCAAAACAUAUAUAAAAACAAACCUUGGAGAUCAGUAUUGUCUAUGUGAUAAUUUCUAAAAAUAAGAGGUCUAGCUGACAAUUUUUUCAAACCAUGGGAUGUUGGUAUAUACUCUUUAAGUAUGUACCUUAGUAAUUUGAUUCUAGGUGACAAGGGUAAUUCAUUUUCAUCAUCUUUACAGGAGAAUUGAUCUGCAAAAGAAGGAAAAUUUAGAUGCCUUUUCUUCAGGGCAGCUUUAAAAAGACAGAUUAUAGCAAAACCGUGAAUAAGAGGUAAUUGUUUACUAUGGUAAAAGGGAAUACCCGACAGCAACAAGGCCAAACUGCUCCCAUAACCAAUAUUGUGAACCUCAAAGUCCUCCGUCAUGUUUCCAGAUUAUUUGCAGGGAAUGCUGCAACUACAUUAUAACACCAGGCAAGCUGCAGCUAUACUUCUUUUUGAGCCUUUACUUAUUUCUCAUUUGGAUUUUUUGUUCUCCCUUCAUCACCAUGUGCUCUUAAUUGAUCGACAAGACAUGGUCCUAAAAGAGGCCCCAUUCCAAAGUCACCCACUGCUAACAAGAUCAUUCCUAUUACGUUGUGUACUUCAAAUUUAGUUUCUAAGAAUUUACUGGACGCUGUAUAAUACAAUAGCCUUAAUGCCUCCAACAACAAUAGUCGGAACUAAUUGUAUGGCAUAACAUUAUGAUCCUAAAUAUGCUUCUUAAUCAUUACUAUAGUUAGGAGCGGAACAAAAUUGAGAUUUAGGGGGCCAAGUGUAAUUAAGGUAAUUAUUUCAGGAUUAGAGAGUAUUAGUUAUUUUCUGGGGUUAGGGGAUGGGGUUCACGUUUAUGAAGCCACCAUAUAAAGAAAAACAACUAGUUUGAAAGUUGAAAUUACAAAUUUAUAUAGUGUGAGAUUAUUUCAACCUACUAAAAUAUAUGUUAUUUUAAAGACUAAUGAGCUUGCGGCUUUGAAAAGGUUGGAAUGUUAUUUGGUUGGAGAGGGACUCGGUUUCAACUUUAACUUGUCUUACGAGUACCAAAUUCAAGCCGUCGUAGCAUCUGCAUAUCAUAUAGUUGAAUUGUUUGAGAGCCUAAAAGUCAAAUAUUGUGGAUCAUAUCAAAUGCCAAAUGUUGGAUAAUCUUUUCCAAAUGUUGGAUAACAAGAAAAGGGUUGCACACAAGACCGCUGACUGAAAAUAGAAAUAAUUGGACAAAUAAAGCCCAAACCACAACUCAUCAUAAUCUUUGUGUUACUAAUGGAAGCUAAAAGCACCUGAGUUAUCAACUAUUCACAUUUUCUAUUAGAUACUGAUGCUUGAUACAUUCAUCAUGAUAUCCAGAAACAAUAAAAUUAAGCUAGUACAAAGAUAUCUAAAUGAAGAUGAUAAUAUCAUAGGCAAAAUAUGGUCCAAUUGAUUAGGAAAAUCAAGCUAAGGUAAUUUUUUUUUAUACUAAAUGCUUAAUUAAAAAGACAUCAUUAUAUGUUUUAUACAUGCACAAAUUGUCAUUUAUUUGAGGCAUGUCUAAUAUUUAGUAGAGUGACAAAUAUACUUGAAAAUGUAUAAAAAUUAUCAAAUAAUAUGUGAGAAAUAUAGUUAUUUUUGUUGUAAUAUUAAUGCAAUAAACUUUUAUUGUAUCAUAUCGGCAUGUUUAAAGAGGAAAAAAAAAACUCAGAGACUCAAAAAUUCCAAACUUUAAUGUGUAGCUGGCAUUUAUUUGUAGGCUCAAUUGAAGUACAGAAGUCACAAUUCCAAACAACAAACAAGCUAUCAUCACUAAUCCACCAAAUUGGAAAACAUCCUCAAUUAAAUUAACCACCGCGCCUUUCCAGCUUGAGUUUUUCCAAUGCUGAUAGUCCUUCUAUUGAGGAUUGGUUAUUGUAAAUAUCUUUUAAGGUAAUUUCAGGAUAGAGCGGAGGAUUUUCUUCGGAUAGCAACUCUUUAAUUGGACCAUAUUGUCUCGAGCAACUGUUGUUCAUAAAAAAACUUUCGAUUGAAAUUCUUGAGCCUUCCUUUUUUGAUAACACUCUGUGAUAGACACUUUUGAACUUGUCAUUGGUGAUUAGCUGCAUAAACACACAAUAAAAAAAUCCACUAUAAUUAAGUUACAUGAUGGAUUAAUAAUAGUCAAAGUGAUGCAUAACAUGUACUUGCCUGCAUCAUGUAACCGAAGUUUACAACUAGAGCUCCGGGAACAGGGGUAAUUACGAUAUGCAGUUUCCUAAUUUAACUCAUGCACGCUCGAGGCUUUUGUUUACCCUAGUUUUCAGUAUAAAAAGAGGCGCGCAUCACAUAAUACGGCGGCAAAGAAUUAUCAUUAGAAAAAUUGGAGAGAAAAAGAAGAAGAAGAUCAUAAUUCAAGGGAACAGCUGCAACAUCAUUGAAGAAUCCAGCAGAGUUAUUUGGAUUCACUUUUUGUCGUUCUCGACUUAUACCUUUCUUCUUUCUCUAACUAAUCUAAUGUAUCUCAUGAACAAUAUGUUGCUGAUUGUUUAUCUCUUUCAGAAUAUGAACUAAACUCGCUUGUAUUUGAGUGACAAACAAUCUAAUGGGUUCUUGACUGUUCUUAUGAGUUGCUAUGUCAUUGCUGUAGCAUUUUACUCUAGUAGCUAUUAUUAUAACUGUUAUUUCGGUUGACCACCCAUUUAAUGGUUCAAGUUAAGAUAGGACCAUAAAAGGGCAUGUCUUACUGGAUAUUAUUAUAGUAAUACUUGAUCUUAAUUUAAGUUUCCUAGAUUACGUUUAUCUUGAAUCCCAUAAGGGCUAUACUUAAAGUUAAGAUUUGUGAUAAACUAGACAUAAGUAUUCACCUUGUAGGGUGGAGAGAAUGGAUGUUCAUAAUAUCAUGCCAUAGGUAAAAUAGCAACUGGCCAUUGUUAAGAUGUUUACGGGUAUGAGACUUCCAAUAUGCGACAACUGAGGAUGCAAAUUAAAUUAUGUCCAGUGCUAUAGAAAUUAUUGUAGCAACUGGUGUUAACUUGAUGAAAAGCAGUUAACCCAUAAAAAGAGUUUGAUCAUUCAACUACCUUAUUCUCAUUUGAUUCUUCGACGCAUUUUAUUUAAUUUGUUUCAUUACUACAUUGUUUAACUUUAUUCUCUCACAAUUAUCAAUUUCAAUAGUAACCAACUUUACAUUUGUUAAUUUAGGAAUUAAGUUAGAUUACACUAUCAUGAUUGCUGUAGCAUUUCUAGUAAUAUCAAUCCUUGUGAAGACGAUCUUAAAUAUUCAUCACUUUAUUACUUGUUCUGUACACUUGCACAUUGACAUAAAUAAAAUUUGAUAAAAAAUACCAACAAUGAGAUAGGGGUAAACUUCAGGAUGUGCUGCGCUUUUUAAUUGUUGUGUAGAUUCUUUUGAUUCCUAUCUCUAGUGGAGAACCAGAUGUGAUUUUGUGAGACCUUUCUCCUGAUGGUAGUUUUUCUUUGAGGACUGCUUCAAAUAUUGUGCAUUGGACAAUGCCAAGUGAUGAGGCUUUUUUUGUUAUUUGACAGCGACAUCUUUUCCUGGAUAUCUUUUUUUCUCUAGAGGUUGUGACACAAAUUCUUGACCACAGAUGAUGCCUCGUGUUCGGGGGAUUUCUGCAUAGUUUCUUAGUAUCUUUGUGGUCGGGCUUAUGAGACUUCUAGGUAUUUUCUUUCUUGGUUGCCCUCGAGUUAGGCCAGUUUGGGUCCAUUUUCUAUGUACUCUUGGUUUGCGCUAUGUUGCUUUUCUAUUCCCCCGCACUUUAUUUUUUAAUUGGUAGUGAUGUGCCCUUUCUUGGAGCCAUAUUCGAGUUCUUCUUCCUUGUUUCAUUUUGUGGCGAGUUUAGAAGGCCUGUAAUGCAUUGAAGUUUGACUCAAUGGCCUUUUUUGUUGAUGCUGUUAUUUAUUGGGCAAUGUUGGAUCUUAGGCUUGCUGGUUCUGCCUUUGGUCUUAAACCAUCCCAACUGUGAGGAGUUCUAGGUUCUCGAUUUGCAAAGUUCUUGAGAGUUGUUGUUUCAUCCAAGAGGCUGAUUCUUUUAGUUUUUUGGCAGUGGUCACCACCUGGGGCGGUGAAGCUGACUAUUGAUGGUUGCUUUAGGAGUAAUCCUAGGAUGGCUGCUUCAGAUAGUAUUUUACGUGAUGAUUAGGGUGUGGCUUUGGCUGCUUUUGGUUCCUUCCUUGGGCGCUCACUGAUCUUUCAUGCAGAAUUCAUGGCUGUUUUUUAGGGGUUAGAGUUGGUGCUCAGCUCCAUUAUUCUGUGCUUGACGUAGAGUUGGACUCAACCAUGGUGGCUUCUUGGAUUCUUUUCUAAGGCCUUGUUCAUAUGGACUAUACCUAUUCUUUGCAUCGGGUGUGUAGUUUGACAUUUUCUUCUACUUCGUGGUUAGUCAUGUGCUUCAGAAGGUUACUUCUACUGCUGAUUUCUUUGGCCUGCACUCUUCAAGGUCAUUUGUGUUUCUUGGGUUCUCAAGAUAUAUUUGCUAGCUUAUCUAAUAAUCUCUGUUUGGAUAUGUGGGUAAUUUCUCGUAUCAGGCAAUAGGAUUGCUUAUUUAUGUAUUCCAUUUUUUAUCUUGUAUUUUUCUCUUUUCCAUUCUUAUGUUCUUGCAAUUGCGGUUUUGAUUUAUAUUCACCUCCUUAUGUAUUUGAUUCAUUCUAUGAUUUAUAUGAAAGAUAGGAGUUCCACCUAACCCCACCUUUUUGUGGUUAAAAAAAAAAAGAUCAGGAAUUCAACCUAGAUCAUCAAGGUGAAACAUCAAAUAGGUUGUAAAUUUAACAUAUGAACGUAAAAGCUUAACAAAACAUUUGAAGUUGCUUGACAACAUAGAAAUACAAGCAAAAAGAGAUGCUAAACAACACAAAAUUUUGAUUGGGUGGGAGUAUUGUUCAUGCUAGCAUAAUAAUGAGGUGCUUGAGAAUACCUAAGACUUUCUUGAUAAAUAAUAUCAUCUAAAAGGUUAGGAAUCAUAGAUAAUUGUCCACGUAUGAACAAACCUAGCUCAAAAUGUGAAAUGUGUUAAGAUUUUCAAACAUUUAAAUCAAUAGUUAAUAAUUUCAGACAAAGGAUUCUUGGAGACCUUAAAGUUCACUGAUUCUAUCUUAUGGCUCAUUGUCUCUCUCAACAAUUUAAUUUCUAGAUUAUUUGGCUCCUAUCUAUUAAAAGACAACACCGUUACUAAAAUUAUAAAUUAUAACAGUUAAACCUAAACCUACGUCGUUUAGCAAUUUACGAAAGAAAAAAAUAUAACAAAAGCCAAUUGUUGGAGUAGCAACGUGCCAACGAGAAAACCUCAAGCCAUGUAAUAUCAUGUGUCAACAACUAAAGAAGAACAAACCACCACCCUCUAGGUCGUCGCUGCACUAACGCUGGGCCCGAUUUGAAUAGUUAGAAGUUGUAACAUUAAUUAGGGAAUGAGGGCAAAAUUUUGGACUUCGAUUUAAUAAAAUUGAUUUAAAUGAGUCCCAAUAGAAAUAUGAUUAUAAAUAUAUCAAUACAAUUAUGACAUGUUUAAAAGAAAAAAAUUAUUUUCACACAAAACAAAAAACACAACCCUUGGAUGUGGGAUGUGUCUAAAAAAUAAUAGGGUGGAAAUAUUAUCACCCUCAAAUUAGAUAUAUAAAUAUUUAAUGUUUUACUCUUAUAAUUUUAUAAUUGUUUUUUUAAAUAUUAGUAAGAGAAAGAUAGAAAUUAAUAUAUAGACAAAUCGAGUCCUUUAUUUUAUUAUUCAUAUCCAUAAAAAGUAACCACUAUGCUAGUCCCACGAACUUAGCAUAAGACGGUAAUUUAGAAAAAAGAAAAAAAAAGGAACGUUUUAGACACCAAAACAAAAGCAAAACAAGCACAAAGCGAGACAUACAAACAAAUUUUAUGCUACUGCAUAGGGGUGUUCGCGGAUCGGAUUUUAUGGAUAUGAUAUCAAUCCAUAUCCGAUCCAUGAUUUUGCAGAUUAUAAUUUUUCAAUCCAAUCCAAUACACAGAUUGAUAAAAUUCAAUCCAAAUCCAAUCCAUACAUCUGCGGAUCGGAUGCGGAUUUGACUCAAUCCAUAUGCAAUCCACCAUUUUGCGCAUUAGUUUUCGAAUUAAAAAUUUUUAGUUCUCUCCAACUAAUGAAAUAAAAAAAAUCUAAUAUAAAAAUAAUUUUGCUACUAAUUAAAUUUAAAAUUGAAUAAAAUUUAAAUAAAUUAAUUGUUUAAAUAAAGCUAAAAUAAUAUAUUUAAAGUUUUAAAAUAUAACACAUCGAGACUAAUUAUUCAAAUAAAGCUACAAUAAUACGUUCAAAGUUUCAAAAUAUAACACACAAAGCUUAAUUGUUCAAAUAAAGUUACAAUAAUACGUUAAUAUAACACCGAAAUUAAUUGUUCAAAUAAAGCCACAAUUAAUUGAAAAUGGCGAAGUUUUGGAAACCAAACACAGUUUGAUCCUUCACCAGGGCUGUUGUGCCUGUCGAAAAGUGGUGAUUACGGAGCCAUCCACGAUGGGAACCAGGAGAAGCCGUACGGGUGGCGAUUUUGAAGGUUGUGAUUGUGAAAUUGUUCAAUUGGAACCAAUGAAUGUGAAGUGGCUCGAUGGACUUGGGAAAGAAGAUGGCUUGCUCUCGCCAGAAUCGUGCAGCCGAUGUCCUUUAAAUCCGUGUCGAGAGUGUAUCCAACCAGUAUUAAGUGUUGUUAGUGUGUAUGACGGCGGGAAAGUUUAGGGUUUUUUGUUUGUAAAUUGGUUGUAACUUUACGUUAUGUUACUUUGCUUUUGCUAGUGCGUGUGACUUUGCUUUUAUUUUGUUUUACAAUUUUUACAAGUUAUAUUUGUAUAUUUGAUUAUUUAAUUAUUUUUCAUUUUAUAUUAUUAUUAGGUAAUGGCUAAGAUAUGUUAUAAUGUUUAGUAACUAUGUAAUGUCAUAUUUAUAAUUUUUUAAUUAUAUAUAUAUAUAUAUAUUUUGCGGAUUCAUGGAUUUCUGCGGAUUUACAGAAGUAAAUCCAUAUCUAAUCCAUCGACUGCGGAUUUUUAAAUUUUCAAUCCAUAUCCAAUCCACCAAUCCACGGAUCGGAUUUAUACGGAUCAGACGGAUUGAGGGGAUCGGAUUGGAUUCUGAACACCCCUACUACUGCAUUCAAGCAGAAGCCACCAAUUGUUCACGACGGCGUUUGAAAACAACCAACAUUUCAUCCUGAUUGGGAAGGUUUUCUUCAAUUAUAGGGACUUGCUUGAAAGUUUCAAGCCAGGCAUGCAAGCGAGGGAAUUUGUGUGAUACAAAUAUUUUAACUCCUACUACAUCUUCAAUGACUUGCAACCAAUAAACAAUUGAACCAAAUGCUAGGUCCACUAAGCCAAUAUUGUCUCCGUUGAAAAAUUUCUUCUCUCCCAAGCCAUGCUCUUCAACGUUUUGUAGCAUUUCCAAGGCUUCCUUCGCUGUGUUUUGUAGUUCUUGUCCAGUGCUACGAAACAUUUUCCAAAUGGCAACACCCUGCCACAAAUAUUUUUACAUCAGAUUUUAUCACCGACAUGAUUAAUUAAUAAUAUGUAUAUAAAAGCGAAAAAUCGUUAGACGAUAUGUACACGUGUCACAAUAUCCUUAAAUUAGAGGUUUAAUAAGUUAAUUAAGAGAGUUCAACCACUGAGUUGUAAAAUCUGUCAUUAGCUAGUAAAUUCACUUUUUCCCAAUGCUUCAAAAGUCAUCAAAUUCCCCGUGAAGUUAAAAACGGUUGUGUUAACUUUAACUUAUUACAACUUUUCAUAUUUUAGGAUAAAACAGUGAAGACACCAGAAAUUAACAGUUUAGAGAACGUUUAACAAAUAAAUAUGAAAAAGACCCCUGGGUGGCUGGGCUCGACUGGCUAUGAAUUCACUUUCACUUUGCGCCAUCACCCGAGUUCGAGUACAUAUAGAGAAUAAGAGUUGCUGUUUGGCGGGUGGAUUUUCUUAUCCUCGUCACCUCAUCUAGAUCUUAAAAUAAAUCAAUAAAUAAACAAAUUUGAAAAGAAUGAACUUAAUCAUAAACGUGUUUGCCAGAGUUGUGAGCGAACCUUGUCUUCAGCGAAUUUGAUCCAGAAUCAAGCAAGAGCCCUAUCAUAAGGAUUAUUUGGCAUCAAGGAGGGAUUCUGUGGCCACGUCUCUUCAAUGUAUUGUAGAAUAACCAUGGACUCACAAACUGGUUUUCCGCCAUGGACGAGCACUGGGAUCUUCUUGUGAACUGGAUUAUACUUCAAAAGCAAUGCACUUUUGUUUGAGAGAUCUUCGGAAACAAAUUCAUAUGGCACGCCUUUCAAUUUCAGAGCCCAAAUCGCCCUGUAAACAAAUGGACUCGGCAGGGCCCCAUGAAGCUUCACUGCAGCCAUGAUAAUUCUAAGAUUGAAUUUGAAUUAUCGGUUUUUCUGAUCGAUGUUGUGUAUGGCUGUUAACUCAUUACAUAUGUUUCUGAAUUUAUAGUGAUUUAUGGAAUGCACUUUCUUGAGCAGAAAGCUUCAAUUUUCCAUUAAUAAAACGAUUAAUGAUGAAUUCAAAGAACUAGUGCAAUGACUUUAAUUAAAUAUUUUUUUACGUUGUGUGCAACCGCUUUUUGAGGUUAAUAUAAAGGAUAUUAUUUUCUCCUGAUCAAAACUUUUAUAUAAAAAAAUAUAAUUAUGUAAUUGGUAGUUAUUAAGUAGAAAUAAAAUAAAAAAUAAAUUUUGACCGUAAAUAAAUAAAAGUUCAUAUAUGUUAUAAAGAUUUUUUAAAACUCAAAUAAGUGCACCCAAUUCCUAAUUUAAAACGCUAGCCAAUGAGAUCAAUAAUUUGGUCAACCAGUCAGAGAUAACCAUACAAUAAUUAAUCAAAAAUUUGCCAUUUGUUUUACAUUUAAGACCUUUGCGUCAUGCAUGAUGAUCAAUUGAUCAUGGAUCAAUUAGUCAACAAGACAUUUGCCUUUUGUGAAUGUGUUCACAUUGGACGCAAAUAUAAUUUGUUAUAAAAAAAUUGGACUAAAUUAUUUUUUAAUAUUUUUUUAAAAAUAAUACAUCUGAUCCUCGAGGGCCUGUUAUUUAGUUCGUGAAUCUUAUAACAGGACCCAUGAUUUAUUUAUUUUUUAAAUCUUAUGGGUCCCCUAUUAUUUAAUUUGUGGAAUUGACGGAGGUAACUUACAGUUUCAUUUUUGUAAUUUACAGCUUUCAAUAAAUUCAGAUAAUAUUAGGCGGUAAAAGUAGGCCAGGCUGGAGGAGUAGAUCUAUAAAAUUUGCAAGCACUUUGCACUGUCUGUUUGGUGCCCAGAAACACACAUAUUUAUCAUCCACUUUUUAUUUAACGCUGGGUUUUUUUCGACCCAUAAUAAUUUCUCUUUGCACAUCAACUUUUUAAUAAAAACUUUUAUUGUCAAUAAAUUGUUAGUAAUUACUUCACUAAUCCUCCUUUUUUUUUUGGGCCAAUUUCUCUUUCGCAACUGACAAAAUUUAAUUCACAUCAUGUGAUAGUAUGAUUGCAAAUAAAUUUGAAGUUAUCUCUCGAAAGUUGUUCACAUAUCUUGUGUAUAGAACUAAAGAACAAUAGCAAAACCACUAUCCUCUAGCCGAUCGCUGCUAUUAGGACGGCAAAAUUAGUUGUAAAUAUGUAAAUUUGUCUAAACCCAUCUACAAAAAUCUGUCCACUGCCAAUAAUUUUGUAGGUUGCGAAUAAGUUUGAUAUUUUAAAUUUAAGUUCGUUGCAGGUUACAGAUGGAUUUAGUAUUGAAAAAAAAUUGGCGGGUAUCUGCCGACUAGCAUUUUUUUAAUUAUUUAUGUUUUUAAUUUUAAUCACAAAGAUUGUCUUUAAAAAAUUAAUCAAAAAAUAUAGUAGUUAAAGUUAUUACUCUAAUCUUCCAAAUUCCUAAACCUAACCUAACUCAUGACAGUUGCACACCCUACUCCUUCAAGUAUGUAUGUAUGUAAAUGUAUACACACGCACACACACACAAAAUAAGCUUUUAAUAAGUAGAUUUAGUAUUUUUGAAGUUUAAUAUUAAUGAUAUGUUAAUUUAAUUAAAUUACUUUUGUUUGUUUCUCUUUAAUGACUUGAACUUAGUGAUUGCUGGCUAAGAUUUGAUUUUUAUUUAUCUAAUUAAUGGUCAAUAGUUGUCCAAAAUAUAUUUGUUAUUAUUAUUGACAAUACUUAUAUAUUGACUAAAAGAUAGAGUAAGGCAUUAAUUUUAGUAAUAAUUAUUUGCCUACAACAAAAAUAUUUUGUGUUAGAAUGAUAUAUUUUGUGUAUUUGUUUUAAUAUUGAAACUUUAAUUUCUCUUUUACAUUGAUGAAAUCUAAAGUUGAGUAGUUUAUGUAGAUUUUUUAGUCUGUUACUAUAAAGUUAUAUUUUGAAUUAUAUAAUUUAAAUUAUUAAAUAUAAUUUUUUAAUAUUUAUGAUUUUAAAUAUAAAAAUUUAUUAAAAAAAACUACUACAUGUUAUGGGUGGAUUUGCUAAUUAUUAAAAAUUAUAGCGAACGAACUAAAAAAAAAAGAAGCAACCGGUUACGGGCGAAUUUAAUAAUGGCAAACUCAUAAUAAGCGAUACCAUUACCAUCGGCAGCUUCUAUAACGCAGGGCCGGGGGCGGUCUUGAAUUGUUAGAAGUUGUAACAUUAAUUAGCAAACUUUUCAGCGGCAUCCCUGAAGUUUAGCAUAGAGUUAGAUAUAUCCCCUUGUUUUCAAAAUUAGUCUCUGAUUCCCAUGUUGUUUACUUUAUUAUUUUUUGUUUUCAUUUCAAUUGGAUUUAUAACUUCGUAAUGUUGCGCCUUGUAAAAUGUAUGCUUAAAACGCGUGCUUCUUAUUUUUUAUAUACUGCUAAGAGAAUUUGAGAAUAGAAAUAUAUAAAAUGGUGUCUCAUUUAUUAAUUAUUUAUAUCCUCUAAAUAGCACCUAACAUGCAGCUCACUUCAAUGGUAAAAUUAAUUAAACAAAAUAAAAAAAAGCAUUUUUAACACCAGUACAAAAACAUAACAAGUGUAAAAGAAGACUCAUUAACUUAUUUUAUGAUAUUAAAUUCACGCAGAUACCACCAAUGUUUCUCGACCAUGUUUGAAAGAGACCACCAACUCAUGCUGACUUGGAAGAUUUUCUUUAAGUAUAUAAGUGAAAGUUAUUACUCUAGUCUUCAAAAUUCUUAAACCUAAUCUAACUCAUUACAGCUGCAUGCCUUGCUCCUUUUAUUAUAUGUAUAUAUUUUAAGAUGAAUACAAUAACUUUUUAAUAAGAAGAAUUUUAUACUUUUCAAGCUUAAUAUUAACGAUAUUUUAUUUUAUUUUAAUUACUUUGAAUUGUUUUGGUUUAAUGACUUGAACAUAUUGAUUGUUUGCUAAAGUUGAAUUUUUAUUUGUCUAAUUAAUUGACGAUAGCAAUUGUAUAAAAUUUACUUAAAAAGAUAAAAUCUUAGUAGAUUACAGAAAGAUUUAGUAAUGACAAACAUGUAGCAGCCAAUACACAUUACCAUCCCCAACGGCUGUAAUAUGGCCAUGGGCAGUCUUAAUUGUUAGAAGGUGCAAAAUUAAUUAGUAAAAUGUUCAGCGGUAUCCUUGAAUUUUAGCAUAGAAUUAGAUAUAUCCCCUAGUUUUCAAAAUUUGUUUUUGAUUCCCCUAUUGUUUAAUUUAUAUAUAUAUAUAUAUAUUUAUUUCACUUGGAUAUAUAACUUUGUAAUGUUGCGCCAUAUAAAAUGUAUGCUUAAAAUGCAUGCUUAUUACUUUUUAUAUGUUGUUAAGAGAAAUUGAGAAUAGAAAUAUGUAAAAUGGAGUUUCAUUUAUUAAUUAUUUAUAUCCAUUAAAUAGCACCCAACGUGCAGUUCGUCUCAAUAGUAAAAUUAAUUAAACAAAGCAGAAAGAUUUGCUUUAGCAUCAGUAAAAAAAAAAAAAAAAGCACAAAGCGAGAAUCACAAACUUAUUUUAUGAUAUUACAUUCACGCAGAUGUCACCAAUAUUUCCCGAUGACGUUUGAAAGCGAUCACCAUCUCAUGCUGAUUUGGAAGAUUUUCUUCAAUUACAGAGACUUUCCUGAAAUUUUCAAACCACUUAUGCAAGCUUGGGAAUUUGUGAGAUUCAAAUAGUUUCAUUGUUAUAGUGCAAUUUAUGCACUAGUUUUGCAUUGUUUACUUCCCUUAAUAUCGAUGUUUUGCACUUAAUAAUAGUGAUUUACUUGUGUUUUACUUUUGUAGGUGCAAUUCUAUUGAUUUGUGAUAAAAUUGAGCUAUAAGAUGAUGUUUAAAGAUGAUUGUUCUCUUGGAGAAAUUUAGGGCGUCAGAAGAACUUUGUUGACAAGGCGUGGGCGCGUACUGUCAACUGCGGACCUGCAAUUUUUAGUUUAACGUGUUUUGUAUUUUUGGUUAUUUUUGUAAUUAUGAAUUUAAUAUUUCAGAUAUUAGUAUUUUAUUUUAAAUAGAACUCUAAAAGAGAAAAGAGAGAGAGUAUUUAAGGGAGGAAUCUAUUGUGAAAACGAAGAGAUUGGGGGAAAAAGAAAGAAACCCUAGAUCUAAACUUUUCUCUUCUCUCUAUGAAGAACUAAACUUAUUUUUCUGGUUGAAGGUUAAUAAAGCUUUGAUUCAUCACUACUGCGAGAUCUUUCUUAUGCUUUAAUUGUUUUAUUACUUUUUGGGUAUUUUUUUUAUUUUCUGAAUUAUUAUUAUGAUUAUGUUUGUUAAUUAGAUAAUUGGCCACUAUUUAAAUAUCAACUUAAUCUAUUGUCAAUUAAAUGAUUUAUCGUAUGAAGAUUUUAAUGUUUGUGACAAAUAACAUAGCAGAGAGUUGUGUUGUGAGAAUAAACAAUCUAAUUUAAAUGAACCAUCGUAUGUGUUUGUUGAUUAGGAUUUGGGUCUCUCUGGUUUUUCAGGCUGUCAAUUGAUUAAAUCCUAUGAUCGUAUCUAGGGUUGUCUAUUGAUUAGGGAAAUAACCAACGGUCGUACCUUGGUUAUCGACUAGUUAAGGAGAGAUUGGCUAUUAGAGGGUCUCAGUAGCUAUAACCGGUCUAUUCAUAAGAAAUAAUAAUUUAUAUUUGAAUCAAUGAUCAGUAGUCGAAUCAAGCUGAGUUAAUUCCUUCAACCAGAGCUUUCUCCAAUUUGAAUUACAACUUUAAUUUGCAUUCUUGUUAUUUUAAUUUGAUUUUUAUUAUUGUCAACAAAACCCCCAUUUUAUGUUUUACGUUUCAAAAGGAUUUAAAUAAUUACCGAUCUCUGUGGACACGACCCUAUUCAAUCACUGUACACAAUUUAUUUAGAGUAAGUAUUUAUUUUUGUUGGCUUCGACAACCAUAAAAUUUUGGCGCCGUUGCUGGGGAUUGGUGUCAUUUAUUUAAUCCUUUUUACGUUUUACUUGGUGUAUGGUUCGUUCUUCUCGUACAGGUACACUUUCGUUUGAUCCUGAAAUUGAGAAGACAGCUCGCCAGCUAAGACAGCAGACGAAGCUAGCUAAGUAACGAUCCUCGUCGCCUUUGAUUUCUGAAACAGAUACGGUGCCUGAUUUGGUUGAAUCAUCUAGCGAUUCAGAAGAACAAGUGAUGGAUAGAUUUGCACCUGUAGAAAGAACUCUUAGAGAGUUAGUUGAACCAGACUUGAAUCAGCAGCCACUCUGCAUUCAAUAUGUAGACUUAGAGGUAAAUUUUGAAUUAAAGUCUGGUCUCAUUCAUUUAUUACCCAAGUUUUAUGGUUUUGCAGGUGAAGAUCCUCAUAAACAUUUCAAGGAGUUUCAUGUUGUAUGUUCAAGUAUGAGACCACAAGGCGUGACUGAAGAGCAGAUUAAGCUGCGUGCUUUUCCUUUCUCUUUAGAUGACUAGCUAAAGACUGGUUGUACUACUUGCCUCCUGGAUCGAUUACAACGUGGAAUGGUUUGAACAAGCAGUUCCUUGAGAAGUACUUUCCUGCUUCAAGAGCUGCCAACAUCAGAAAAGAUAUUUGUGGGAUCAGACAACUUCCUGGGGAGACUUUGUAUGAGUAUUGAGAGCAAUUCAAACAAUUGUGUGCCAGCUGUCCUCAGCAUCAGAUUUCUGAUCAACUUCUUAUUCAGUAUGUUUACGAAAGACUAUCAUUAAUGGAGAGGAGUAUGAUAGAUGCUGCUAGUGGAGGCGUGUUGGUGAACAAGACCCCUACUCAAGCAAGGGAGUUGAUCUCAAAUAUGGCUGCCAAUGCACAACAAUUUGGCAGUAGGCAAGAUCCCACUUCAAGGAAGGUGAAUGAGGUAAAUAUUUCUUCUGUUAAACAACGUUUAGAUAAACUUACUUCUUUUGUGGAAAAGUUUGUUGUAGGUAAUGUGCAAUAGGUAAAGACUUGUGGCAUCUGUUACAAUAUGGGUCAUUCAACUGAUAUGUGUCCUACGCUUCAAGAAGAACCCGUUGAACAAGCCAAUGCAGUUGGAGGAUUUCCAGGCAUGCCUCAGAGGAGGUAUGAUCCUUAUACACAAACAUACAAUCCGGGGCGGAAGGAUCAUCCCAACUUCAGCUAUGGAGUUAGGCCGUCAGGAUUCCCAUAACAGUAUCCACCAAGAUAACUAGCACCUCCACAGUCAAACUCCAAGUCAGGUAUAUCUCUUGAAGAAAUUGUUAAAUCACUUGCGACUAACGCUCAACAAUUUCAACAGGCAACUACAACAAGCAUUCAGAAUUUGGAGAGCCAAGUGAGUCAAUUGGCAACUACGAUGAGCCGUCUAGAGUCUCAAGUAUUAGAGAGAUUGCCUUUACAAUCUGAGGUGAAUCCCAAGCAAAACGCUAGUGCCGUCAUCCUUAGAAGUGGGAAUGAGUUGUAAGAGCUUAGUAAGAAAGUGACAGAGCAUGUAGAACCUGAGCUUGAAAAGAAUGAAUUGAUGCCUAAAUCUCAAUAUACGCAACCCACCAGAGCGAAACCCCUACCUAUUGUGAUACCUCCUCAUUUUCCAAGCCGGUUUGCAAAAUCUAAGAAGGAGGAACAAGUGAAAGACAUCCAUGAGACAUUUCGCAAGGUUGAGGUAAAUAUUCCCUUAUUAGAUGCUAUAAAACAAAUACCUUGAUAUGCUAAAUUCCUUAAGGAACUGUGCACCUCUAAGAGAAAAUUAAGAGGAAAUGAAAGAGUUCACAUGGGGGAGAAUGUUUCAGCAGUUCUCCUAAGUGCAAGGAUCUAGGUAUGUUUACUAUCCCUAGCAAAAUUGGUAGUGUUAGAGUUGAGAAGGCUAUGUUAGAUCUAGGAGCUUCUAUUAAUGUCAUGCCUCGUUCUAUUUGUUCGUAUUUGAAUGUUGGUGCAUUAAAAGAAACUGGCGUGAUAAUUCAAUUAGCUGAUAGGUCUAAUGCAUAUCCUGAUGGGGUAUUAAAAGAUGUCUUAAUACAAGUUAAUGAGUUAGUUUUUCCUGCUGAUUUUUAUGUACUUGAUAUGGAAGAGGAUAACUCCUCUAAUUCUGUCCCAAUUUUGCUAGGAAGACCUUUUCUUAAGACUGCUAGAACUAAAAUGGAUGUACAUAAAGGGACUCUUACUAUAGAGUUUGAUGAAGAGGUUAUAGAGUUCAAUAUGUAUGAUGCCAUGAAAUAUCCCAGUGAGGAACAUUCGGUAUUUUCUAUGGAUGUUAUUAACCCUAUAGUGCAGGAAGUUUUUUAUUUGGAUGUUAAAGAUUCAUUGGUAGCUGCUUUAAAUAACAGUUUGGACCUCAAAGGAUUGCAAAAGGAUGAAAAUGAGUUUGUUUUAAAUUUUGUAUUGCAAGAGAUAAUUUAUUAAUUAAAUUCUUUGAGAACUUUAACUCAUCAUAUGUCUAAUAUUGAAUUACCUUAAUCUCAUGCAAAACUUCUUCCAUCUAUUUUGCAGGCACCGAAAAUAGAGCUUAAACCAUUGCCGAGUCAUCUAAAGUACAUGUUUCUAGGAGAUGAUGAGACACUUCCGGUGAUCAUCUCUUCAAAGCUUAGUACUUUAGAGGAAGAGAAACUUAUUAGAGUGCUGAAGGAUUACAAAAAGGCUAUUGGGUGGACAAUUGCAGAUAUUAAAGGGAUAAGUCCGUCCACGUGCAUGCAUAGAAUACUGCUGGAGGAAGAUGCCAAACCUUCAAUUCAAGCUCAACGUCAUUUGAAUCCACUCAUGAUGGAAGUAGUGAAGAAAUAAAUUCUAAAACUUCUUGAGGCAGGUAUAAUCUAUCCAAUUUCAGAUAGCAAAUGGGUAAGUCCGGUACAAGUGGUACCGAAGAAAGCUGGUAUAACAAUUGUUGAGAAUUCUUAUAGUGAGUUAGUACCUACCCGAGUUUAGAAUGGGUGGAGGGUUUGUAUUGAUUUUAGAAAGCUUAAUUCACUCAGUAGGAAGGAUAAUUUUCCUAUUCCUUUUAUUGAUCAGAUGCUUGAAAGGUUGGCAGGAAAAUCUCACUUUUGUUGUCUUGAUGGCUAUUUAGGUUUUCAUCAGAUACCAGUUGCGCCUGAGGAUCAGGAGAAGACUACCUUCACAUGUCCUUUUGGAACCUUUGCGUACCGACGUAUGCCAUUUGGUCUUUGUAACGCUCUCGCCACUUUUCAAAGGUGCAUGGUCAGUAUUUUUUCAGACUAUGUAGAAAACACUAUAGAGGUAUUUAUGGACGAUUUUACGAUCUAUGCUGAUUCUUUCGAUGAUUGUCUCUAUAAUCUGAAGAAAGUACUUGAAAGAUGCAUUGAAACAAACCUUGUCUUAAAUUAUGAAAAAUGUCAUUUUAUGGUAGAUCAAGGCAUUAUUUUGGGUCAUGUAGUCUCUGCUAGAGGCAUUGCGAUAGAUAAAGCUAAGAUAGAUGUUAUUAAAUCUUUACCUUAUCCCACAUGUGUGCGGGAAGUUCGUUCUUUCCUUGGUCACGCAGGUUUCUAUAGACGAUUUAUCAAUGAUUUUUUAAAGAUAGCUUAGCCUUUAUGCAAGCUUCUUCAGAAAGAUGUGACGUUUGAUUUUAAUGAAGCAUGCAAGGUAGCCUUUGAUAAGCUCAAAGAGUUAUUGACUUCAGCUCCAAUUAUACAGCCACCCGACUGGAGCCUCCCUUUUGAGAUAAUGUGCGACGCCAGUAAUUAUGCUGUUGGUGCUGUUCUCGGACAAAGGGUUGGAAGAGCUGCUCACGUGAUAUAUUACACAUCAAGAACACUUGAUAGUGCUCAGUGUAAUUACUCAACAACGGAAAAAGAACUUUUAGCUAUUGUUUUUGCUUUAAAAAAAUUCCGCUCAUAUUUGUUGGGUACUAAAGUGAUUUUUUUUUUCUGACCAUGCAGCUCUCAGAUAUUUACUCGCCAAGAUGGAAGCGAAACCGAGACUUAUCCGCUGGAUCCUACUACUUCAAGAGUUCAACUUGGAGAUCCGUAACAAGAAAGGAACAGAAAACUUAGUUGCAGACCACCUUAGUAGAUUUACCACGUGUGAAGAAGCAACACCUUUGAAGGAUGAUUUUCCAGAUGAGCAUCUCUUUGUAACUAAAGGUAUGGUUCCUUGGUAUGCUGACAUUGUCAAUUACUUAGUUACAAGAACACUACCUAGUGAUCUGACGAGGUCUCAAAAAGAUAAAAUUAAGAACGAUGCUAAAUACUAUGUUUGGGAUGACCUUUACUUGUGGAAACAUUGCUCUGACCAAGUCAUCAAAAGGUGUGUGUCUGAGUUUGAAAUUCCUUCUAUUCUUCAGUUUUGUCACUCAUAUGCAUGUGGUGGUCAUUUUGGUCCUAAAAGGAUAGCAUCCAAUGUGUUAGAAUGUGGUUUAUUUUGGCCUACUUUAUUUCGUGAUUCAUACAUAUUUUGUAAGUCGUGUGAGAAUUGUCAAAAGACUGGUAAUUUAAGUCAUAGAAAUCAAAUGCCACUUACCCCUAUUCUUGUGUGAAAUAUUCGAUGUGUGGGACAUUGAUUUUAUGGGACCUUUUCCUUCAUCUGUUGGCAAUGCUUACAUUCUUUUAGCAGUGGAUUACGUUUCUAAGUGGGUAGAGGCUAAGGCCACCCGGACUGACAAUGCUAAAGUUGUUGUAGAUUUUGUCAAGUAUAAUAUUUUAGCCAAGUUUGGUGUACCAAGAGCGGUGAUAAGUGAUAGAGGCACUCAUUUCUGUAAUUGAGUGGUGGAGGUUUUGUUCAAAAGAUAUCAUGUUACUCACCGAGUGUCUACCGCCUAUCAUCCACAGACAAGUGGACAAGCUGAGAUAUCAAACAGAGAAAUCAAGUUUAUUCUUGAAAAGACAGUUAGUCUAAAUCAAAAGGAUUGGAGUUUGCAAUUAGAUGAUGCAUUAUGGGCGUAUCGCACCACAAUUAUUGUAACAAUGCCGAAGAGGAAAGCAUUAACUUCCAAGUCAUCUAAAAAGACACCCGUCGCAAAAAAAUCCAAGAUUGCCGCUCCCACUACGGUUCCAUGGAACACAGUUUCAGAUUUACGCCAAGCCGUAAGACAAAGAUCGAAACAUGGAAAAGGCAUGAGUGUUUUGCCACUUGCGGAAUCCAAUCUCGGAGGGUGCCUCGCAUUCGCGACUCAACAAGAGAAAAAGAGGUACAAAGAUAUUUCCAUGCGCAAAAUACUUCCAGCUAAGUAUAUUCAUUACCCGACUCUUGAAAAAUUGAAUGUUAAGGAUAAUUUUGAUUCUUUGAUAGAUAAGAUUGGGUUGCGUAAGUUUGUUGAUGUUGAUUGUUUGGGUUAUGUUGAGUUGAUUAGGGAGUUUUAUGCGACUUUUCAAUUUAAUAUACCGAAUGAUUUUACUUUGCAUAUCCCGGAUGUCAUAAAGUUUAGGUUAAUAGGACGAAAUUUUUCACACUCUAUCACGGAUUUUAACCUAGCUUUAGGAUUCAUUGAUGAUGAUUAUUCUUUUAGUGAUGCAUAUUUAGGAACAACUUGUGACUUUAGCGAAAAUUUUGAGCCUUAUGGUCUUUAGCGUAAUUUAUUUGUUGAUCACAAUGCCUAUGACCCGAGUAAAUCAAAGAGUUCUUUCUUACGUGAUCCUGUUUUGAAAUGUGUGCAUCGAUUCUUAGCAUAUAAUUUUUUAGGAAAGAAAGAUCACUUAGUAGUUUUCUCUAAAACUGAAUUUUAUUUUAUCUGGUGCAUGUUAAAUGAUGUGAGGCCUAAUUUAGGUUUUUGGUUAGCGGAUCAAUUUCAAAGUGUGCUUAAACGGUAUAGGACUUUAUUUCUUGGUCCAUACAUUACUCUGUUAGCUAUAAACCUAUGUGUGCUUGAUCCUAACAAUAAUGAUUUGCAUCCUGCUUGCAAAAAGGAAUUUUUGGAUAUGUCUGUGUUUGAAAAAACAGGUGUGGUCGAAUUCAAGGAGGGGAGAUUUCAGUUUACUGAACCAGGACCCACUCAACCUCCAAAGAAGCUUUAUGCUAGGAGUGGUGCUACCUCUGAUGACGAGUUUGACGACGACACUGCUGCCCUGCCAACUAUUCAUUCUACAUCAGCACCACCUUUGAGCAUUCAGUUAGAGAAAAUGAAGCACAAGCUAAACAAGAUGGAGCAGAAUUUGGCCGCAUACUUCGAGAGUGUGGGAUUUAUCUCACCAUUUCCGCCAAGCCCAUAGAUGUUAUGUGGAUCAAAGUUCACAAUUCAGGGAAGUUUUUUUUUGCCUUUAAUCUUUUAUCUUUACGCUUUAAUUUUUAUGUGAGCUUUGAUUAUCUUACAUUAGGGACAAUGUAAGUUCUUGGUGUGGGGGAGGGAUUUUUGCAUUAUUGAUGUCUGGAAAUAUUAUUUUCACUCUACUCAUCUAUUUUCACUCUACUCAUCCUUAAAUGAGUUUGGAGUUAGUAUGUUUCAUAUAAUAUUAUUUUUCUUUUGUUUUCUUUCUCACUACUCUUUUUCCAUCUAUCUCAAAUUAUUUACAUCUAUUUUUUUUAUUCUAUCAUACUCUUUCACACUAACAUUUUAUCUUCCACUUUUUAUAUUACUACAUACAUCUUUCUCACUUCUUAUCAUUUUUACCUUUCCUUUUAUAUAUCACUCAUACCUUCUUCUCAUUCUAAACCACUAUUGAUGGUUGAUUCAUUUGAAAAGUGUACAUGAUUUGAUGGCAAAUUUACCAACUUUGUGAGGAUUUUAGCCUAUGAGCAACCACUUUGCUCUAAUAUUUUUGUUAUGUGAAUAUCAAUCUUAGUUUGUUUAUUCUAGAACUUGGUUUGUUAUGCAUGUUGAAGCCGUAUUACAGGAUUUUAUGCAUUAAAAUGAUAACGGCAAACCGUUUACAUUUUUCUAUUCUCGCAUUUUCUUUUUUUUUCUCUACCCGAAGACCUUUAUUUACUAUCUUUGUUUGAACCUUAACCAUUACCCAUCUAAUUCUCUCCGUCUACUUAACCAUGUUUCUUUUUUUUUGAGCUUCAAUUUAAGGAGAUUUUGGGACUCAUUGUGUGGAUAUAUUUUGUUGCUUUUUCUACCUUGUAUUAAAGUUUCUCAAUUAGAUCAACAAGCAUUAUACUUGAAUUAAAUUGUGCAAGGUUCGUUUCUUUUGUUUGAAAAAAAAAACAAAAAAGAAAAAGAAAAAGAAAAGAAAAAAGAAAAGGAAAAAGAAAAAAAGAGAAAAAUAAAAAUAAAAAAAAAUCAAAAAAAAGAAAAAAAUUGUUUACAUUCUUGGUGACUUGAGUAGAAAUAAGCAUUUUGAUAUCAUAAGUUCAUUCAAUGAAUUCAUUCUUCUCAUUUUGAUCUCUUUUUCUUUCGUAAACCUUUCUUUUUCAUUUAACCUAUUUAACCCUAUUACAACCUUUUUAAGACUCUUAGAUUUUUGCAUUUUAUUCAUGUUUUGUGGAUUGUGAUGUGAUAUAUGAGCAAGCUUAUGGUAAUAGCAUUCUUUGAUUUGAUUUGAAUGCAUAAAUGAUACCCUAAACACUUUGAGUGCAUGUAACUAUGGCCAAUGGGCCGUGCUGGCUGUCGGCCCACAAUGGCUCGUGGGCCGGCACGGCACGACCCACCAAUUUGGUGGGCCGUGCCCACCUUUUUUCCAGUUGAGCCCAGCACGGCCCACGGCACGAGCCCGCUCGUGUCGUGUCGUGGGCCAUGCCCAAAAAAAGCCCACCAACUUUUUUUUUUAGCGUGCUUAAAAAAGUCCAUGUGCCUAGCGUGCUUUAUUCAAGCCCACGUGCCUGACGUACUUUUUUAUGCCCACCAACAUAAUAAUAAUAAUAAUAUUCACAAUCAUAAUCAUAUUAAUUUUUAUUAAGAGAGCAAUUAACAUUUUAUUAUUAGUUUAUCACAAUUUCACAACUAUAUAUUUUAUUUCACAAUAAUCAAUCAUAAUUCAUAACACAACAAUACAUAAAUUUAAUUAAAUUUAAUUCCAUAGAUCAUAAUAAUAAUUAAUUAAAAUUAAAAAUACAAUCCUCGAAUAAUCAUUACAAUAAGUCAUAACUACGAAAUAUUAAUAUAACAAAUCAUAGGUCACAACUUACAAGUUACAACUAUAAAACACGAACUACGAUCAAUUGACGAAUAACAAGCACGAAAAAAACAUUUAUUAAUCACAACUAUGGAUACGGGAAACGAGCAAGGUUAAUUCUAUCUCGGCUGGUGGCGAGCUAAACAAUUUGACACGUGCCGACAUAAACCCAAGGUGCCGUGGCUGUUUGAAUAAAUAACUUCUCGAUGACAAUAGUUGCACCUCAAGAUCAUCCGCUUGUAAGGACGACGCAAACUAUUAUCUAUUAUUUCCUCCCUUACUGUAGUAAAAUUUUGAAAAAGCUCAUUUAGAAAACGACUUCUGGGCUGAUUUAGCCUAGCAUUUUGUUGAGGUCCAACUACAUUAACACCGUAUUCUUGAGGGUGUUGAGGUUCUUCUGCAUUCAUAUUAUGUUGCUGCGGAUUCAUAAUGAUUUUGGCUUUUAGAAUAUUGGAAAGUUUGAGGAAAAAGAAGAAGAAUAAGAAUUGUGAAGCAUCAUAGCAUAAUGGCGUGUAUAUAUAAUAUUAGAUAGUAAUAAAAAGACAAAAAUUAAUUUUAUUUACUUUGUCGGUGGGAGUAAAAAGAGUAAGUAAAAAAAUAUUUAGUGAAAUAUAAAUAUAGCCGUGAGGCAAGUGCUUGGUUGGCAUGUGGGAAACAAAUCUUAAAUUAUUUAAAAAUCUGCAAUUUGCACGUCUGCAUGUGCACUAUAUGACAAGCUGACAACUACCGUGUUGAAAAUUUGAGUUGAGAAUUUAAAUUCAAAGAAAUAAAGUACUCUACAUAAUGAAUGCAAGCUCCUCCCGUACUACUAGUUUGUUAUUAUAAUAUUAUCUUAUCAACACACUUGUGAUAGGAUUUAUUAACAUUGUGAUAGUUGCGUGAUUCUCUUGUAACAAUGAACCAUAAUUUUUUUUAAUUUAAUAUGUUGUUUUGAAAAAAAAUUAAUUACAAAAAUUAUUUUUAAAAAUAAAUAACAACGGUGCACUUAGAAAAUAAUUUUUUCUAAUUAUUAAAUAAUAAAAAAAUUCUAAAUUAAUUUUAUUACUCACCCAACGGAUAAAAAAAAUUUGAAUUAAUUCAAUUAAAAAAAUUCUGAAUUAAUUGAAUUACUCACCCAACGGACAAUUUUUUUUUUGAAUUAACAGUAAAAUUGAUAUGACUACUCAAUUUUACAGUAUAAGCAGUCGGACUCUGAUUAUCAAUUAAUGUUUUCUGAUUUUUAAUGACAAAAAAAAUUUAAAUCAAUUUCAUAUUUUCAUUACUCACCCAACGGACAAAAAAAAAACUGAAUUAAUUGAAUAAAAAAAAUUCUGCAUUAAUUGAAUUAAUAAUAAAGUUGAUAUGCCUUUCCAAAAAAAAAACAAUAAAGUUGAUAGACUUGACUAGUCAAUUUCACUUUCACAGCAUGGGCAUUCAUGACUCAACAAUUAGACUUAACUAGCUUACAGAAUUUGUAAGCUAUAGACUGCAGCAUCAGCCGUUGGAUGUGGAGUGAGAAACUAAACAAUAGACAAUCGAAUGGUGGGAAUGGGAUGACAGGAGACGUUUGUUACAGUCUUGCAGAAUCGGUACCAUAGAGUCAUAGACAGAUCCCUCAACAAUUAAUUUUUAAUAAUAAAAAAUUCUAAAUUAAAUCAAUUGCUCACCUUACAAUUCCAAGUUUCCAACGGACAAAAUGAAUGAUAAAAUGUAACUGUUUAAUUUGCUGCAGCCUUGCAGAGUUGCAGGAAGCUUUGCAGUUGUAGACUUGUAGGUUUGCAGCGUGUUUGUUCGUUUUUGACCGUUAAAAUGUUUACUUUUUUAUUUGCUCGUUUCUAACCGUUAAUAUGUUUACUUUUUUAUUCUAUUUAAACGAUUAAAUUAUUUUCGAAUUCAUCUCACAUUCUCACUUCUCAAUUUCUAAUUCUUUAUCUCCUCGUUAUCUCUCUUAUCUCAUCAAUCAUCUCUAGUCUCUGCUUGCCCAAUCUUCUUUACUACAAUUCCAGCGCCUUUAUUUACCAAAACACUAAUUAUAUAAAAUGUCUCACUCUCAUUUCGAGUUAGAUGAGAAUUUUAAUUUUGUUGAAGAGGGAGAGGAAGUUGCAAAUGAAGAAAUUGCUGCACCAGAAUUUGAUCCAAGUAAUAUAUUUAUUGUCCCACCUAAACGAUUGCCUCCUACUUCUCAAGCAAGUCAAAGUGGUUCUACUUCUUCAACUGCCUGUCCUACUACUACCUCCAAACGACAAAGAACAUCGAUUGUUUGGUCAUGUUUUACUUUGGAAAAACAUCAAAUCAAAAAAGGUGAAAUGGUGGAUCAAGCAGUGUGCAAAUAUUGUCAAUUUGCUUUAAGUGCCAAAAGCAAUGGUGGAACUAGACAUCUUAGACGACAUAUGGAAACUUGUCAGACAAAACACGAGCCACAAGACCCAACACAAACCCAACUCUCACAAUAUGGUUCUAGAUCUUCCGGUAUAACAUCAUUCAGAUAUUCACAACAGCACAUGCGAGAAGGAUUGGCUCGGUAUAUUGCUGCAGCAGAACAACCUUUAACAUUUUCAGAAGAUGAACGUCUAAUAAAUUUUUUGCAAAGGUAUGUUCAACCUCAACUUAAGAAAGUGCCUAGAAAUACAUUAAAACGUCAUUUAACUAAAAUUUUUCAUGACAUGAAAAAACUUUUAAUUAAUACUUUUAUCAAUUUUAAUGGUGUUAUUUCAAUUUCUUCUGAUUGUUGGACUGGUAUUAAUAUGGUUGGUUAUUUUUGUGUGACUUCGCACUCUAUACAUGAGAUUAAUGGUAAAUGGAGGUUGGAAAAAAAAUUGCUUGCAUUUCAUGAAUUAGAAUAUCCUCACACUGGUUCAGUAAUUUAUGCAGCUAUAAUGUCUGUUUUAAGAGAAUAUGAAAUUACUGAUAAAUUGUUUAGCAUAUCAUUUGAUAAUGCAUCUGCCAAUACAGUGGCAAUUGAUAUGUUUUUGUGGAAUAUUUCUACUCUCAUGCCUGCACGUGGUUCAAAAGUUUUUCAUUUGAGAUGUGUGUGUCAUAUUAUUAAUUUAAUUGUUCAAGCUGGUAUGACUCAUAUAAAUCAUUAUUUAGAAAAAAUUAGAGCAUCCAUUUUAUAUAUUAGAGCACCUUCAAGACGUCAAUAAUUUUUAGAGACAUUGAAAAUUUUUGGAUUGAAAAGGAGAAAAUUCAACCUUGACAUGAAAGUUCGUUGGAAUUCUACGUAUUUAAUGUUGCUUUCUUGUCAAAACUAUUCUGAAGCAAUUUCUAGUUUUUACAAUGAGAGAAUGAAUGAUAAAGAUUAUCAUAUCACUGAUUAUGAUUGGAAUGUUGCAUUUAAAUUUAUGAAUUUUUUAAAGGUAUUUUAUGAUGCUACUCUUGCAUGUUCUACUGUUUAUGAGCCUACUUCAUGUAGAGUGUUAAUGCACUUGUACAAUAUAAGUUAUACUUUUAAGACUUUUAGAGAGAAUAUUACGUUUAAAAAUAUUUGUGAUACCAUGGAGGAAAAUUUUCAAAAAUAUUGGAAAGAUAUUCCCCACCUAUUUAUUUUUGCAGUAGUGUUGGAUCCUACAAUCAAGGAAGUUGGUGCAAAACUUUUAGUUGAGGGUAUUAGUGAAAAUUUACAAACCGGACUUGAUACAAAUUUUGAUACAAUUAUGUCCUCUAUGCAUGAACUUUUUAAUUUUUAUCGAAAUAAAUUCGAAUUAAGCAAUACAUAUUCUAAUGUUCAACAAGCAUCGACUUCUUAUAAAAAUCCAGCUCACCUUUUGUUACUCAAAGGUAAGGGUGUUGCCUCUAGUAUUGAUACUAAUCGUAAUGAAUUACAAAGAUAUUGUUAUGCCAAUCUUGAAGAUUUAGCAACUCCUUCACAAUUUCAAAAUUUUGAUAUUUUAGAUUUUUGGAUGGGUAAGAUAUCUUUUUUCCCUAUAUUAUCCAUUAUGGCCCGUGAUCUACUAACCCCUCCAGCUUCAACUGUAGCAUCAGAAUCAGCUUUUAGUAUAGGUGGCAGAAUUCUAGAUGAACAUCGGUCAAGAUUGUCAUCAGAGACAUUAGACUCUUUGUUGUGUUUGAAAGAUUGGGAAGAUGCUGAACGCCGAGUGCAACAAGAUUGGCAAAAUGCUUUAAUUAAACAAAUUGAGAGUUUGAAUGUUGAUCAAGAUGAAGUGGAUCCAGAUUAUGCAGAGUACUGAACAUUGAAGCCACUUCCAAAUACUAGAAAAUUUUUUUUCUUGUAACUUUUUGAUACAAUUUUUAUUAGUGAGAAGGUUGUAAAUUUGCAAAUGAUAGAUGGUCCAGUAGGUGCCAACCUAGUUGGGAUGUACUGUUAACUGUAGUGAUGCAAAUUACACCUAAUUUUAUUUGAAUUACUAAUAUUAUAAUUGUACUUUAACUUCAUUUAAUGAAAAUGUAAUUUUUAUUUAUCAUAAUUUUUCUUGUGUAUAAAAUGGAAAAUAUUUCAUUCACAAAUGAAACGUAUCUCUAUUAAAUAUUAACUAAGUUAUGAUUUAAUAUUAAUAUGAAAAAUAUUUCAUAUAAAAAAUAUUUUAUUAUUAAUUUUGUAAAAAAAUUUAUUUUUUAUUUAUAAUUUAUAAAUUUAUUAUAUUUAUAAUCUUAUUUAUUAAAAUCAUGAUAUUUAGUUAUUUACUUAUUCAUUUAAUAAAUUAUAAACAUAAAUAAAUAAUUAAAUAAAUAUCAUAAAUAACAUUAUUCAUUUAAUAAAUAUCAUAAAUAAAAUUAUGAUAUUUAUAAUUUUAUUUAUUAAAAUCAUGAUAUUUGCUUAUUCAUUUAAUAAAUUAUAAACAUAAAAGAUUAGAAUAUUUAUUUAAACUAAGAUUUAAUAAUUUAAAUUAAUUUUUAAAAGUCUAUGCUAAAAAAUAUAUUAAAACAUUUAAUUUCAAGAUAUUGUACUUUAAUUUCAUAACAUUUUAUAUUUACUUUUUGUUAAAAAAAAUUACUUAGAUAUAUUUUGGCCCAAGUGCUAUUAAUGGCUCACGGGCCGCGUGCUAGCCCACUAAUGAACUGUGCUUAUUACGUGCUUUUUCGCGUGCCGUGCUUUGGCCCAUCUCUAAUCGUGCCGUGCUUUAAGGCCCGUGUGCCUAAAAUUCUAGGCCCGACACGGCCCACAUGCAUGCCGUGCCGUGCCUCGUGCCUCACCGAAACGUGCUCGUGUCGUGCCGUGCCACGUGCCGCCCGGCCCAUUGGCCAUCUUUAAGUGCAUGGAGUGAAGUCAAUGAGAGGGCUAUUAAAUCUUGUUGCACUUGAAUUUUGAAUGGAUCUUCUUGGUGGUUGAAGGUUUUUAUUCUAGCUUAUGAGAUUCUAUGCUUUAAAAUCCUUGCCUCUCAAAUGUUGAUUAACUUAAAUUCUUGAGGCAUGCUUGCUUAAAAUUGUUUUUGGAUGAGUUGAGAUGAGAAUUGAGUGGAAAUUUGGGAUUAGUCUUGAGUUAUAUGCUUGAGGACAAGCAUCAUCUUGGUGUGGGGGAAUUUGUUAGAGUGCAAUUUAUACACUAGUUUUGCAUUGUUUACUUCCCUUAAUAUCAAUGUUUUGCACUUAAUAAUAGUGAUUUACUUGUGUUUUACUUUUGUAGGUGCAAUUCUAUUGAUUUGUGAUAAAAAUGAGCUAUAAGAUGAUGUUUAAAGAUGAUUGUUCUCUUGGAGAAAUUUAGAGCGUCAGAAGAACUUUGUUGAUAAGGCGUGGGCGCGUGCUGUCAACUGCGGACUUGCAGUUUUUAGUUUAACGUGUUUUGUAUUUUUGGUUAUUUUUGUAAUUACGAAUUUAAUAUUUUAGAUAUUAGUAUUUUAUUUUAAAUAGAACUCUAAAAGAGAAGAGAGAAAGAGUAUUUAAGGGAGGAAUCUAUUGUGAAAACGGAGAGAUUGGGGGAAAAAGAAAGAAACCCUAGAUCUAAACUUUUCUCUUCUCUCUAUGAAGAGCUAAACUUAUUUUUCUGGUUGAAGGUUAAUAAAGCUUUGAUUCAUCAAUACUGCGAGAUCUUUCUUAUGCUUUCAUUGUUUUAUUACUUUUUAGGUAUUUGUUUAUUUUCUGAAUUAUAAUCAUGAUUAUGUUUGUUAAUUAGAUAAUUGACCACUAUUUAAAUAUCAACUUAAUCUAUUGUCAAUUAAAUGAUUCAUCGUAUGAAGAUUUUAAUGUUUGUGACAAAUAACAUAGCAGAGAGUUGUGUUGUGAGAAUAAACAAUUUAAUUUAAAUGAACUAUCGUAUAUGUUUGUUGAUUAGGAUUUGGGUCUCUCUGGUUUUUCAGGCUGUCAAUUGAUUAAAUCCUAUGAUCGUAUCUAGGGUUGUCUAUUGAUUAGGGAAAUAACCAAUGGUCGUACCUUGGUUAUCGACUAGUUAAUGAGAGAUUGACUAUUAGAGGGUCUCAGUAGCUAUAAUCUGUCUAUUAAUAAGUAAUAAUAAUUUAUAUUUGAAUCAAUGAUCAGUAGUCGAAUUAAGCUGAGUUAAUUCCUUUAACCAGAGCUUUCUCCAAUUUAAAUUACAACUUUAAUUUGCAUUCUUGUUAUUUUAAUUUGAUUUUUAUUAUUGUCAACAAAACCCCCAUUUUAUGUUUUACGUUUCAAAAGGAUUUAAAUAAUUACCGAUCUCUGUAGACACAACUCUGCUCAAUCACUAUACAAUUUAUUUAGAGUAAAUAUUUAUUUUUGUUGGCUUCGACAACCAUCAUUCACUCCCAUUACAUCUUCAAGGACCUGCAGCCAAUAAGCAAUGGCUCCAAAUGCUAGGUUCGCUAAGCCAAUAUCGUCUCCAUUGAAAAAUUUCUUCUCUCCUGGGCCAUGUUUUUCAACGGUUUGAAGCAUUUCCAAGGCUGCCUUCAUUGCAUUCUCCAGGUCUUGUCCAGUGCUGAAAAACAUUUUCCAAACAGCUACUCCCUGCCACAAGAUUUUAUAUCUAAUUCUUAUCACCACAUGAUUAACAAUAUAAACGAGGUAAAAAGAAAUUAGAUAAUAGGUACACACGCAUCAAAGUAUCUUUCAAAGCCUAGACGUUUCAAACUGUCAAAGUAUCUAGAAGAGUUUACCCACUAAUUUUUAGACUAAUUUAUUAUAACUUUUAGAGCUUAUUCAAGUAGAAUUUUUGUUAGUAAAAUUUAAUUGUUAAUGAAAAUUUUCAUUAAUUUUUUUAAAUAACUUUAAUAGACAAGUUUAUAAAGUAAAGUUAUGAAAUAAAUAAAUAAAAUAAUAUUAUAAAAUAAAUGAUGAACAUUUUAAACUAUUUAACUUUUUAAAAAAUCCUCAAACUUCUAUUUCCAAAAAAUUAAAUUUAAAUUUUUACUAGUAUAGGUAAAAGAAUUUAUUUAACCCCAAAAGUUCUUCUAAAAAUAAAACUAAACAAUAAUAAAAAUUUGAAAUGAGAUUUUUUGAUUAAAUAAACACUUAUUAGUAAUAAAUAAGUCAUAUCAAACAAAUACUUAAUGAUAUAAAAGGAAAAAUAUUAAAAAAAAAAUCCUCUUAUUGUUUUAGUAAAUUAUAAUUUUGCUUUCAUGUUUCGAAAGUCCUCAAAAUUCCCCCUAUCGCUAAAACAAUUAUAUUUUAAUAUUUUACCCUUGAUGCAGUAAAAUCCACGAUUAAUUAAGAAAAAUUUCUAAAGGUAAAAAAUUUAAAGUAAUUAACCGAAUUUUUUUGAUAAUUUUCUCUAAUGUAAAAUAAAAGGUUCAUUGAGCUUAGUCGGCCGUGAAUGCAUUUUGCACAUGCGAGGACAUUAGUUUGAGCAUUAAUAGUAGAUAAAAAUUAAUGUUUAGGGAGUCAUGUUUCUCAUAUACAAUGAAAAAUUAAAGUAUAUAAAGAAACCCGACAAGAUUAAUUAAAUUUAUAAACGUGUUAGCAAGAAAAGUUGUGAUGCGAACCUUGUCUUCGGCAAAUUUAAUCCAAAAACGAGCUUGAGCUCUAUCAUAAGGAUCACUUGGCAUCAACGAGGGAUUGUGUGGCCACAUCUCUUCAAUGUAUUCGAGAAUAACCAUGGACUCGAAAACUGGUUUUUCGCCAUGAACGAGCACUGGUAUUGUGAACUGGGUUAUACUUCAAAAGCGAAGCACUUUUGUUGUAGAGAUCUUCUUCAAUGUAUUCAUACGGGAUGCCUUUCAAUUUCAGAGCCCAUACUACCUUGUUGCUAAAUGGACUCGCCCAUCCCCCGUGGAGCUUCACUUCAGCCAUGUGUCUGAGAUCGAAUUUGAAUAUGUGUGUGGUUGUUUUGCUUAGCUGAUGAGUUAUUGCAUACGUACAUCUGAAUUUAUAAUGAUUAAUAUUGGAAUAUCGAGUGCGCUUGCUUGAGCAGGGAGCUUCAUAUCUCCAAUUUAUUUAAUAAAACGAUUCAAUUAAGUUGAAUUCAAUGAACUAAUGCUGCGACAUUUUAACAAUUCUGUUAUAUAUUCAACGAGAAGAGGUAUCGUAUUUGACGGGAAUCUCUUGAAACAGUGCUGAAUUAACAAGUAACCAAUGGUGGCUGUCACUUUAUCACAGUAUUUGCUUCAAGUUUUUUCCAUGAUGAUGGUUGGUCAUCUUGGUCAACUUGCUCUUUCUAGCACCGCCAUGGCCAUCUCUCUAGCUAGCGUCGCGUCCUUGUAAGUUCUAUAAUCCAUAUAUAGUUAUUUACAAUAUCAAGAUCAUGACACAAGCUUGUUUGUUCUUUCUUUUGAUAGGUAUUUGCAUCAUUGCAUGUGGGAUUUAAACAAACAGAUAUGCCAAAUUUCGGAUGUUAAAAAACGUGCAAUUAACUAAUACCCUGUUUGUAAAAAUGCCAUUAAUUUUUAAAGGACUUGAUUUACUCGUUUUUAAAAAAAAAAAAAAUUCUACAGCUAACUUGAAUUGUGUAAUAUUUUCUUUGAAACAGUUAGGAAUGGCAAGUGCUCUGGAAACAUUAUGUGGGCAAGCAUAUGGAGCUCAGCAAUAUCAAAGAAUUGGAACUCAAAUUUACACUGCAAUAUUUUGUUUAUUCUUAGUAUGUUUUCCGCUUUCCUUUCUAUGGAUUUACAUGGGAAGGCUGCUAGUUUUGGUAGGCCAAGACCCCCAGAUUUCACAUGAAGUAGGCAAGUUUAUAAUCUGGCUUCUUCCAGCUCUGUUUGCUUAUGCAGCAAUGCAGGCGCUUAUUCGAUAUUUUCAGUCUCAAAGUUUGAUCAUUCCCAUGUUCUUAAGCUCCUAUGCCGCUCUUUUUUUGCAUAUUCCCAUCUGUUGGGGUUUGGUAUUCAAGUCUGGACUAGGAAACCUUGGAGGAGCAUUGGCAAUUGGUAUAUCGUAUUGGUUGAAUGUAACUUUCUUGGCAAUUUACAUGAAGUUCUCCACUGCUUGUGCAGAAUCCAGGGCUCCAAUUUCAAUGGAGUUGUUCCGAGGAAUUGGAGAGUUCUUCCACUUUGCUAUCCCUCCUGCAGUAAUGGUUUGGUAUGUUAGUUAUCUUCUGGAGCUUCAUUUUCCCUUCUCAUAGACAUCGUAGACACGUCAUAAAUUUUCAUGCUUCUUUUGUUUAUAAUUUUGCAGCCUAGAAUGGUGGUCAUUUGAAUUGCUCAUUUUAAUGUCAGGGCUGCUGCCUAAUCCACAGCUUGAAACUUCAGUCCUAUCUGUAUGGUAUGUUGACAUAGACUUUGUAUGUGAAAGUUCUAUACAGAGAAGCACCUACCAAAGGAAAUAGAUUUUUUUUCUUUUUUUCUUUUUUUUCCCGACUGCUCAUUAUUUGUCAACUUCUCUGGGCAGUCUCAGUACUAUUCAAACCCUCUCUGCAAUCCCAUAUGGACUUGGUGCUGCAGCGAGGUUUGUUCAUAACAAUCACUUAAAUAAUAAUUGUUUUAUAUCAACUAAUUAGCAGAUUAACCAUUAUUUCCUUCUAUAGUACUAGAGUUUCAAAUGAACUAGGAGCUGGGAAUGUGCAAAGAGCCCGUGUAGCUGUCUAUGCUGUGGUCUUUAUGGCAGUCAUGGAGACUAUCAUAGUAAGUGCAUCUCUCUUUGCCAGCCGGCAUGUUUUUGGUUAUGUUUUCAGCAAUGAGGGACAAGUUGUGGAUUAUGUCACAACCAUGGCUCCUCUGGUUUGUUUGUCUGUCAUCAUGGAUAGCUUACAAGGACUCUUUUCAGGUUAAAUUAACUUCUUCAACUCUGUCAAUUGCUAAAUAGUUCUCUUUAAGUGGAAAUAAAAUUUUUCAGGUUUCUAAAUUCUUUUUAUUAUUUUUAAGGUGUUGCAAGAGGAUGUGGGUGGCAGAAUAUAGCUGCUUUUGUGAAUCUUGGGGCUUAUUAUUUGUGUGGAGUCCCAACUGCUGCCAUUUUGGGUUUCUGGUUAAAGUUUAGAGGAAGGGGCCUAUGGAUUGGGAAACAAGCUGGUGCUUUUACACAAACACUUCUGCUUGGCAUCAUAACAACAUUUACAGAUUGGGAAAAACAGGUCUGUUUCUCAACAUUUAAUCCCUUAAAAAUUAGAGAAGCUUAUUGGACUAUAUAUGUAAAUAUGUAGCAAUUUUUUUUUCCCAAUACGUAUCUGAUACCUUUUGACUGAAAGUUCAAGAUUAAAAUCACUCAGCUUGAUCUGAAAUGGUUAGUAUUAUCAUCUUCUGCAGAAAUGGUUUUGCUCAUUGAGAAAAUGAUAUUCAAUAACACAAAUGCAAACUCAUUUGAAAAUUUUGCCAUUGAGAAAAUGAUAUUCAAUAACAGACAUGCAAACUCAUUUGAAAAUUUGCUUUUUUGCAAGAAUUAUAACCAUUUUCUAGUUUGUUAAUUGUUGCAUCUUCUGUGUUUCUAAGGGGUUUCUCAUGUUGCAGGCAAGUAAAGCAAGGAAAAGAUUAUCAAAGGGAAGAUCUUUAGAAGAAAAUAGAAUAGUUUGUGAGUGAGCAGAGUCAAUCAAUGAGCUGAUAUAUACAUUUUCCAGUUGAAAGAGAUAAUCAUUGCUUGAGAAAAUGAGCUGAUCAUAUGUCAAUUGAUGGCCAAGAAGGUUCCCCAAUCUGAUCUACGGAGCAUGGCAUUUCAUAAAACUCUGUUUCUAGAGAAAAAAAAAAAAAUUAACAGCUUCUUAGGAUUGGAGCAUCAGGUGACUUAGUAUUUCCAGUAUGAAUGAAUUAUAAGAUAGAUGAUGCUGCAAAAAUGAAUAGAGAUAAAAUUAAGCAAGAGAAAAUGUUUGAAUGUUAUUAUUGAAACCUUUUCCAGUGAUUGUAGAGAUAAUUUUCUUUGUAUUGAAACUUUCAGCAUCUGAAAGAUAAGGAAAAUAUUAAAAGAAAAAAGAAAAUUCUUAAAUCUUUUCCAUGUCACUCCAGCAAAGUUGAAUUGUGAUUCUAAACCCUACACCAAAGUGUAAGGUGGCCUGUGGCCUAUAGGUAAUACACAAUUUGACAACCCCAUAUAUUUAGUAAUCUAGGUGGAUGCCAUUAAUUUUUUUUAAAAAUUUUUGUUCAUUUUUAAUGCAAACAACGCCUCUUUCAUUGAGACAUUGGAAUAUAUAAAGAUUUGUAUACUGAUUUUGGACCAUAAUUCACAAAUAAUGCGGCGCAUAUCUUUCUUUCAGUACUUCUUCAGGAGGAUAAGAUACAGACAUUGUUGUCUUUUUACCUGAAGCAAGUGCAUGCGCAUGAAUUGUUGUUGUCUGUUAAUCUGCUGCCACUUUGCUGCCAAAAAACUUGAAAAAUAAACCAGGAAAAUUUUCAAUAAGCAAAGCCAAACAACUAACCCCUGUUUUAAGUUAUUUUCCUAAGAAAACUUUUAAACACUCAAAUAAAGCACAUAAGUAAAGUAUUUCUGUCACAUUAGCUUUCGAGUGAGGUUUGAUUUACAUUUAUAUCAUAUAUACCAAGUGUUUUUUAUUCUUUUAAUUAAUGUAUAUCACAGCUUGGAAAUUCUAAAAAUUAAUCAUGCUUAAUCUUGAGCAACAAUAUCUGUAAUCAUCAUACGAGGUCAAAAGUGAGGAAAAAAAAGGAAAAGAAAAAGGAAAGAGUUAGUUUUAUGUAUAAAAGUGAAAGGAUCUGUUAUAGACUAUUUCUGUUGCAUGGUUUUCGGAGGCAUAGCAUUGUCCACAGCAUUUGGGCUUUGCUUCUGAUUCAAUGGCAUUUAGAAUUUGGUUUCAUCUGAGAUCAUAUAUAGCUUGAUCCUGAUAUCUUCCAUUUUGGAGGGAUUCAGUUAAAUUGAAGAAGUUUGAUGUUCCAGUUCAAAUUGGGAUUGCUGCAGAUAAUAUAUAUAAUUCUGUAGAGGUUUUCUAAUUUUUAUUUUUAGUAAUGUAUUCAUGUCCUGUCAUUCUUCUUUCUGCUUAAAUCCAAUUGCCCAUGUUGGAAUUUCUUUUCAGCUUUUGUAUUCUUUUUCCUUUUUGUUCAAUAAUGCUAUAGACGAUGCUCUACCAUUUAAAAGAUAUAAAUAACAAAUUUUAUAAAUUUUUACUUCGUCAAGGUGUGAAACCUUAUAAAAUUUAUAAAUUUAACUUAUGAACAGAGAAGCAUAAAAAAAAUGUUUGGAGUUGCUUAAUACCAUAGAAACAAAAGCAGAAAGAUAUGUUCAAGAACAAAACCCAAAAUUUUCAUCAAGUGGAGGAUCGAUCAUGCCAGCAUAAUAACAUAAUUACAUAAUGCUCGAAGAGCAUGCAUGACUUUCUCAAAAAAUAAUAUCACUUAAAUGAUCAAAAAACAGAAAUAAUUAAUUGAUUAUCCAUAUAUAUAAACAAGCCUAGCUCUCAAUGUGAAAUAUAUUAAAACAGCAACUAUAAGAUUUUCGGUGAUGAUAUUUCCACCCCAUAAAUUUUAUAAACCCACCCAUUUUUUAAAAAAAUUAUUAUAAUAAGUUCACAUUAUUUUUUAAAACAUUUAAAUUAAGAAGAAAUUAAAAAAUUAAUCAAUUAAAUCUAUAUUCAUUUCUUCUUCUUUUUUUAACUAUGUUUCUUUAUUAUAUUUCAUCAAUAAGGUUGCUUUAACAUAAAUUAAUAUGACUAUUUUACCGUUAUAAGGUAAAAGUACCAAAAUAUCACUUUAAUAAAAUUUUAUGCAAUUUUUUUUAUAUUUUAAUGAUAUAUAAGUAAUUGUUAGUACAAUUAUUAUUACUCCACUAAACUAACAAAAUAUAAUUAGGAUAGGGAUGGCAAAAAUCCCCACGGGGACGGGUACCCUCGGGGAUUUUUCCCAUUCGGGGAGGGUACGGGGAUAAUUUUAUACCCAAUUUUUUAUUCGGGGAGGGGACGGGGAAAAUUUUUUACCCAAUUUUUUAUUCGGGGAGGGGAUGGGGAUGAGGUGGAAUCCCCAUCCCCUACCCAUUUCCCCAUUUUAAUUUUUAAUUUUAAUUUUAUUUUUAAAAUUACUAAUAAAUAAAUAACAAAAUUAUAAAUAUUGUUAAAAAUAAUAAAUAUCAAAAUAUUUAUAUUAUUAAAUGCUAAUAGGUAUCCUACAUUAGCUCGAAUUGCUAGAGAUAUUUUGGCAAUUCCAAUUAUAACAGUUGGUUCUGAAUCAACUUUUAGCACCGGUGGUAGAGUUGUGAGCUCACACCAUAACAAACUUCAUCCAAGCACAUUGGAGGUCUUAAUGUGCUGUCAAAGUUGGUUACGAGCUUACAAUAGUAGUAUGAGUUUAUUUUACAUUAUAAUUAUAUUAUAUAAUUAUUAAUAUUUGCACUUAUAAGUUACUUUACUUAUAUCAUUUUCAUUGUUUUAGGUUUGAAAUCUGAGGCUAUCUCUCAAUUUGCCACAUUUCUCGAGGAAGAAUAGGAGGAGCAGGACGAGCAGGAGGUAAAUAGUUUUAUUAAAAAUAUUAAUUAAGUAUCUACAUUUAUUUCAUUUAUUUUAUUGCCGAUAUAAAAAUAAUUUUUUUUCUUUUUAUUGUAGGAUUAUGAAGAUUGAGUCAUUGACAAAGAUAAUUAUUUUAAUAAUUUAUAUUUUGAAUGUGACUUUGUAAUGGAUCAAUAUUAAUGUAAGAUAUGUUUUGAACUUUAUUUUUAUCUGAAUUUUUUAUUUUAAUAUGAUUAAUUUAAAAUUGAAAAUAAAAAAAUUUAUUAGACUAUUAGUUAUUCGGGGACCGGGGACCCUCGGGGAUCCCCUGUUAUUAUUCGGGGAGGGGAUGGGGAUUCUUUCAAAUAAUUCUGACGGGGACGGGGAGGGGACGGGGACAUACCAAAAUAUCGGGGAUGGGUAUGGGGAGAUUGGUCCCCUCCCCUCCCCUCCCCAUUGCCAUCCCUAAAUUAGGACAUGUGGUGGAAUGAAAAUAAUUAAAUUUUAUAUAAAAACCUACGCAAUUAGUUACAAUAAAAAAUAAAUAAAUAAAUAUAUAUAUAUAGUAAUUUGGUUAUUUUAUAUUAUAAGGGUAAAAUAGUCAAAUUAAAUUUAUCUUGGGGCAACCUUCAAAAGUUAAAGAUUGUUAAAAGCUGAAGGCCAAAAAAAAAAUUGAUUUAAUUAAUUAAUUAUUCAAAGCUUUUAUUAAUUUGUAAUUUUAUAAAAUAAUGUAAAUUUAUUGUAAUUAUUUUAUGGAGGUGGAGGGGGUUUAUAAAAAUAGUGGGGUGGAAAUAUUCACACCCUUCAAUUAAUAGUUAGGAUAAUUUUUAGAUACUUCCCCUAAUGUUUGGCUUUGCUACACUUUUAGAUCAUUUUGAGAGAGAAUGUAUCUAUAUAUUGACAAGAGUGAUGAUACAACUACAAAUUUUUAUACAAACGUAUCUUGUAUAAAUUGAUUUGUCAUUAAUUCAUUAAUUGAAUAAAAAUAUAUCAUGUGGGCCAAAAGAUAUUUAAUUCAAAUAAUUUUAUUAUAUCACAUUAAUUUAUAUAAAAUAAAUUUGUAUAAAAAUUUAUAACUAUAUUAUUAUCCUAUUGAUAAUAUACACCUUGGCCGUGUAUAAGGGUUAGGCACUGAUUAAGUAGUUGCAGUUUUUUUUUUUUUAAAUCUUACAAAAGCUAUUAUACUGUAACUAAUAAGCUAGUGAAACCCGAGGGGAUAGUAACCCAUUUUCAUUGUCAAUGCCUAGCUUCAUUUCUUUUUUUUUCUUUUUUUUCUCACUUGAUGAGUGCUUAGCUUCAUGUCGAAGGUCGUGACACCAACUGAUUUUAGCAAAAGCAGAGAUACUUUGUGAUGCAGUAAGCUAACAAGUUUCUGAAAUCAACUAUGUUUUGAACCAAAUUUCGGCGACGACCAGCAGCUGAAAAGCCGGUGAUUAAAGGGCACAGUAGGUGCGUAAUUCUAUCAAAGCUUAAAACUGAAGUUAGGUUUUAUUAUUUUCUUGCAUUUUGUUGAAAUUGCUGUUAGUUAGGUGCUUUAUUCUUUGUUCCCAUUAAUUGAGAAAAAUGUUUAGGGUUUAUAGAAAUUGAAGUAACGACCGAAUAUAUUUGAAUUGAUUUUUGAGUUGAUAGUCACUCGAAAUGUUGUGUAAACCAUGAAAAUGAUUUAUUUUUUGAUGAUUUUGGACUGUGGGGUUUUUUUUUUUUUUGAAUUACAUGAGACUAAUGCUCAGAUUACAACUCAUAUUAUAUGAGAUUUACAACUGAUAUUUACAAUCAGACAAUUACUGGGCCUAAUUUACAUUAAUUCUUAUAUAGCAUUGCUCAGAUUUUACCCUCUCUAAUAUUCGAGGGGUGUCUACUCCACUCACAUUUCGAAAGGGAGAAGACUGACUUCACUUAAUAAUUAAGGAAGGAAAUAAACCCCUACAUGCGUCGCGGGGGCUCGAACCGCUGCGCUCACAGUUGUGAGUACAGGGUCCUGGCCACUGGGCUAAAGCCCAGUUGGUUGACUGUGGGUUUUGAAUGCUUACUGAAAUUUGCUUGAUAUGUUCUUUAAAUUGAGAAAAAUCCAAGCUUCUUCUAAGAAUACAGAGGUGUUGCUGAGAAAAUGCUUAUGGUGUUGUUUUGUUUCUUUUUUUAUUUUACAAGUGGGCAGUUCAUGAACCAGUACAGUUGAGAAAGUGUCUUUUGGGACAUUCAUUUUAAUACACAGAUUAACAGAUUUAAUUACAUAAACACAAGACUUCAUUUGUUUAUCCAAGUAGUACUUCUGAUGCUUUCGUAUAAUGAAUGCCAAAGAGAUGACAUUUGCAAAAAGGCCAUUUGAAUGUACCAAUUGCUAUCCUUGUAAACCUCUAUUGUGAUUCUGUUAUCAUUAUAUGUUUAAUGAUCUGAUGAUUUCGAGAUAUCAAGAUGAGUUUAUGGUAGUACAUGUUCAUUUAGCUACUUUAGGUACUAAUACAUGCAUUUAUUGUAUAAUGCCUACUUAGCAGCCAUAACUACACUCAUUGUUGAAGCUACAGCAACACAAAUGAGAAAAAACAUGCUGAGGAACAACAUUGUCUUUAUAUCAUUGCAUUUUACUCCAUUUUGUUGUGCUUUUUGCAUCAGUGACUUCAAAUCCAUCAUAUCCUUUUGCAUACUCAUCAGCAGUUCAUAAUUUGCUUGACAUGUUCCUAAACCAUCAAAUAUAACACCUCGAUCGAUAUCAUUUGAGGAUGGCAUCCAAAACUUGAAAUAGCCACAACCAUUUUUGCUAUCCAUACAGCAAUAACAUAGCUUGUUUGGGUUGUCAUCUGAUUGCGCUACCUUCAUAGUAGCUCUUUUGUAGCAUUUACAAAUCUUGUUUGAAAAUCGAAUGAAUUUAAAAUAUUAUCAUUUAUUGUUUUUUUGUAGCAUUUACUAAUCUUCUGAUAUUCAGUAUUGUUUUUAUAUAAAUUAAUUUAAAAUAUUAUCAUUUCUUUAUCUUAUUAUGUGAUUUUACACUAUCAAAUUAUUUGUUUUAAGGGGCAUUUUGGUCUUUUCAACACUCAUUUGAGUUUUGUCUUAUUAUAAGAAUAUGUAAUGUCAACAGCAAUUAUCAUAAGAGUAUAAUGGCCUUUUCACUGCUCUACAAACCCCCCCCCCCCCAACCCCGCGGCCAAAAACAAUUUCGCCCCAAAUAUAAAGAUCAUCUACCGUGUCCAAUAAUUUUGGCAUUCAUUGAAAUAUGUACUAAAGGGCAUUAUUGUAUAUUCACUCAACUACCUAACGAGUGCCUAACCUUUAUACAUGGCCGGGGAGUAUAUUGUCAAUAUAUGGAUACAUUCUCUCUAAGUGUAUCUAAGCCAAACCUCAGGGGAGGUUUCUAAAAGUUUUCCUAAAUAGUUAAUAAUUUUGUACAACAGAUUCUUGGAUACGCCUCAAGUUCACUGAUUGUACGUUAUGGCUGACUUUCAAGAAAUUAAAUUCUACAUUAUGACCCCCAGUGAAACAUUGUCGCCGAUAAAAUUAUAAAAUAUAUGUGUAAUAGUAGUCAAACCUAAACCUACGUCGUUUAGCAAUUUACAAAAUGAGAAAGACGACAAAAGCCAGGUGUUGGACCGGCAACGAGCCAACGAGAUAAGCUCAAGUUCACUGUGUUUUUUAUGAACCCUCUGAAGACCCGAAACUCUGGGUUUGUUUUUUACGUUCCCUAACUGUUUGACUGCAUUUUUAUUCUUUGCUACGUUCGUUAUGAACUGUUCAGGCUAAGUGCUCGACGAAAUCCCUAAGUGAGUAUGUAUAAUGGUUUGCUCUUGUAUUUAUUCUGUUAUAGAAGGUUUUGCUUUGGGUGGUUAAAUGGAGGAGACUAGACAUUGAACUUUAUGCACUUGUAUGUUUUCAAGUAAUUGGUUGUUCAGGGACAUGUACUUUGAAUUGCUUCAUUCAUCUUCAGAGAUAUCAUAACAUUUUUUGCUUAGUGUGAGUCUUAUUGUUGUUAAUUUGUCCAAAGUGAAGGCUUUUUUAACUUUUAUUUCUUUGAUUUAUUUAUUUAUUGUUGUGUCGAAGUUCUGUGUCUCAACUUUUAUUUGAUAAGUUCUUUCAGACUACUAAUUAGAAGAAAAAAAUGCUAGAGAGUGAGUAUGAGAGGGAAUGAUGUUUGGGCAAGGGGUGAUUGGUUCACUUGGCUCAUGAAGAACCCCAACUAUAAUGGCAUGUAUCAAUUUCGCAGCCUAAUUGGCAGGUAAGCUCAUUUCUUGAUUUCCUUCAAUUUUCACUUUCAUUUUACUGUUUUCAAGUAGCAGGUAAUCUAAAUAAAAGUAAAAUCAGUAGUGAUUUGCUUCAAGUGCAUGUGGAUAGUAUAUCACAUGUGAGAAGAUUGUAUUUGUUAUAUGAAAAUCCUUAAUAACUUUAAUUAAAAAAUAUAUUCUCAAACCUGAUCGUGGAAUGUACUAUUUCUUAAUAUCUGAGUUUGGAUCAACACAUUUUUUGCCAUGCAAUUUGACAAGUUGUCAUGUCCUCAUUCUGCGCUAUUAUAAGUUUUGCCAAUCUGCAUAGGUGUUUUUAUAGAUUGAGUUAAUCUAGUUUCGAGAACAUGCCUUACUAAAGGGCGUCGAGUUUCUAAAUGAAGGCAAGUGCAACUAUAAUUAUCUAUUUCAUAUCCUCCCUGUUACCUCUAAAUUCUUUCAAUAACUUGGGGACGUUAAUCCUAUUAACGACAGCCACAUAUUAUAAGUCGAGAAAACUGAUUUUUUGAUUAUUGAAAAAUUAAAUUUUUUGUAUUAUUCUGUUGAUGAUCUCAGUAACCUACCUGUUGCGGUUGUCUUGUAUGGAUCAUUGUUUCUCUUUUAAGCUGUUAUAUUGACAAUUUUUAGCUCUUAUUGCAGAUCUUAAAGUCAUUGCAAGCACAUGCUCCAUUGAUCUCCAUAAAUUCAGAUACAUAUGUAUAGUUAGCUAUUCAAACAACCACACGGGUAUUCAACUUCAAUAUUCAGAAACAUGGCUGAAGUGAAGCUUCAUGGGGUAUGGGCGAGUACAUUUUGUUACAGAGUGAUAUGGGCUCUGAAAUUGAAAGGCAUAGCAUAUGAUUACAUUGAAGAAGAUCUCUCUAACAAAAGUGCUUUGCUUUUGAAGUAUAAUCCAGUUCACAAGAAGGUCCCAGUGCUUGUUCAUGACGAAAAAUCCGUUUGCGAGUCCAUUGUUAUCCUUGAAUACAUUGAAGAGAUGUGGCCAUACAAUCCCUCCUUGAUGCCAAGUGAUUAUCCUAUGAUAGAGCUCUGGCUCAUUUCUGGAUUAAAUUUGCCGAAGACAGGGUUCGCUUCAGAACUCUAGCUAAUGCGUUUAUAAGUUCAUUAUUUUCAUGUUUAUUUCUUAUUAGAGAAAAUGAUCAGUAUCCCCCAUUGUGUGUCAAAAUUAAUCAUUUCUUCUUUUAUGUUUUAAAACCUAUCAAAAUCUCCAUUGUUGUUAAAAAAAUUCUGUUAACUUUCAACUUUUUGUGUCUUUUACUAAUUUACCUCUGGAAAAAUUUUUAUUAUUAAGAAGUUGAAAGUUUAUUAGAAUUUUUUUAAUGGCAGGGGAAAUUUUGAUGGCUGUUGAAAUAUGAGGGAGAAAGGAAUUGAUUUACCAAAACAGCAUUGGGGUUUUGUUGUUCAUUUACCCUCUGUCAUUCGAUGUAGUGGUUAACCUUUGGUAUAAGGAUGCUUGACAAGGGUAUUUAGGUCCAAGUCUUUUAGCUCAUAUGUAUUAUUAAUCAUGUGGUGAUAUUUUGGCAGGGAGCUACUGUUUGGAAAAAGUUUCGUAGCGUACAAGAUCAAGAGAAUACAAUGAAAGAAAUCUUGGAAAUGCUAAAAACCGUUGAAGAACAUGGCUUAGGAGAGAAGAAAUUUUUUCAUGGAGACAAGAUUGGCUUAGUGGACAUAGCAUUUGCUUCUAUUGUUUAUUGGUUGCAAAUAAUUGAAGAUGUAGCAAGAGUGAAACUAUUUGAAUCUCACAAAUUCACUAGCUUACACGGCUGGUUUGAAAAUUUUAAAAGAGUCCGAGAAAUUGAAGAGAACCUUCCUAAUCGGGAUGAACUGUUGGUUUUUUUCAAACGUCGCCGUGAAAAGUUGGUGGCCUCAUCCUCAUUGCAUUAGCACAAAAUUUGUUCAUGCAAUUGUAUUGUUGUCAAGAGGCCGCUCUUUGCUUAGUUUUUUAUUGUCUUUUGUGCUCAAUUGGGAGGCCGCCGGUUUGCUGGGUACUUUCAUAUGGAUUUGAGUAAUAAAAGGGACUUGACUUUAUAUUUAUGAAUUAUUGCAUGUAUUUCGUUAAUUAUUAAUGGACUACUAGCGGUUAUGUAUUGUUUGGAAGGAAGUUUGAAUGCUACGAUGUACUAAUGACUUAAUGACAUGUGUCAAAAAAAAUCAGUUAAGUAAAGUCAACUCGAUUGAACGAAUGGUAAUAUAGCUCUCAAAAGUUAGAAAUAAGCUUCCUAUGGAAAAAGAUAGUUUCGGUAAUAUGUCUAACAUUAAAGGGUAUUAUCGAAACUUAAAUUUUAAUGGUUAGACCCAGUAUGUGAACAGUGUGCCAUUAUUUUUAGGGUUAUAUUUUGCUAAGAAUAACGAGCCAAUAGAACUUUAGAGAUUUUUUUCUAGAUCUAAUUUGUUGAGAGACUUCUUCAUCUUCUUCAUCCUCUAUUUUUAGGGUUUCUUUCUCCAUUUUAACACCACCAUGGAAAAUCUUAACCAUCUCAUCUCCAAAAGAAACCUCUUCCCUUACUCUUUUCUUGGAAAACUCUCUAAUUUGGGCCAGGCACCUAAAAUCUUGUGUGUUCUUUAUUGUUUAUGCUUAUUUUCUAUUUAUUAGGAUGAUGAUAAUGCUCAGAUCGUAUUUCAUAUAUGAGCUCACUAGAGGUAUACCACGAGCUCUAUUGGGUUCCCCAAAUAAGCUCUCUAGUUAAAGCUAUCCUUAAAUUCGCUAGAGCUACUCCCUAAACUCUCUUGACCUCCGCAAAUCAACUCUUGAAACUAAAUCCCAUGAGCUCCACAAAGCUUACCUCCCAACAGCAGAACAUCAAGCUUAUCUCAAUUCAUCUUCCAGAUCACCUCAGUUAUUUCUUUUGUCCCUAACAGUAGAAAAACACACUUAGAUUUUUACUAGCCCAAUCUCACCUCAAAUAUAAAUUUAUUUAUUUAAAUUGUCUUUGACCUAGAUCUAGUGAGGACAAUGAUUCAAAUCAGAUCCUAGAGGAAAUCCGGUCAAAACAUGUAUCUAUGUAUAAUAUUUAACAUCAUCCUAACGAUAAAUCCGAAUGCACUUGGAUUUGUUCUUAAUAGUACACAAAAGUAGAAAAAGCAUAGCAAGCAACACUUGCACACACGAGGCUCAAUACAAGUACGAACGUCACAAUUCCAAGCAACAAACAAUGAUCCAUCAGUACUAAUUUUUUCUGCAAGCCACCAAAUUGGAAAAUACCGCCAAGUAAUUAAUUAACCACUGUGACUUGCCAGCUUAAGCUAAUCCAAUGCUGAGAGUUCAUUAUUCUUCAAGGAUUGGUUAUUGUAAAUGUCUUUUAGAGUAAUUUCAGGAUAGAGCGGAGGAUUUACUUCUGAUAGCAACUCUUUAAUUGGACCAUAUCGUCUCGAGCAACUAUUAUUCAUGAAAACACUUCCGAUUGAAAUUCUGGAGCCUUCCUUAUUUGAUAACACUCUAUGAUAGGCACUCUUGAACUUAUCGUUGGUAAUCAGCUGCAUGAACACAAACAUGUUGGUAAUCAGCUGCAUAAACACACACUUCAUAUAAACGAUAAUUAAGUUAUCUGAUAGAGAUUCAUGCUCAGGUGUAGAUGUUCACAUGAAAUUUUGUGAGGACGAUUCUUUCACAGUAUUGUGAAAGUGUGUGUCCGCACAAGAUUUAGUGCGAAUGUCGCACCAGAGAAUUUUUGAUAGGUCCCGAUCAAAUACAGAAAAGCAAUGCCUGAUAUUUGUUCAGUUUAUGGUAUGAACAACCAGUAUUUGUUUAACUAAUUUAUUUAUUUUUUUUUGUUUAACUAAUUUUUUUUUUUGUUUAUUGAUAAUUCUUCUCCUUUUAUUCGCAGCGGAGAACUAAUUUAUAGUAGCUAACCUUACAAGUCUUUGAUUCCUAGCCAACAAUAUCAGCUAGAUUAUAGUAAAAUAAAACAAGAAGAAAUAUUUAAAGAUAACUUAGAGACCGAAUCCAAAUCAAACAUGACCACCACGCUUUGAUUCUCUUCCAAACAGGAAACGAAAAUUUUGACGUGGUAAUUCUCCUGCUCUCGUUUUGACACUCAAUAAACUCAUCCUGCACGUGAAACACGGUCUGCAUGAAGCCAUGCAUGGCUUGCAUGAGCACAGCUUGGUUCCUUAUCAAUACCCCCUCGUGGAAGAGGACCCUUGUCCUCAAGGGUCAGCAAAGGAAUUAUUGUUGUAGCAAUGCCGUAUCUUCCCAAGUUGUUCUCUUUUGUUUUCUUCACCAUGUAGUUCCUCUGCAACUUCUUCACAAGUGAUCUCGUUGGUGUCGUUGUAGCUCUCGAGAAGUAGAAGUUGAGGCCCUUGACAUUUAUGACCCGCAGUGAAUCGUUCGUUGCAAGUGAAACACAGUCCCUGAGCUCGUCGUCGUUGCAUUUCAUCCCACGGUAAUCUUUUGACAGGCACGGUUGGUGAUGCUUGAGUAGGUGGCAAUGUUGGCGGUGUGCGACUGGAGGGUGGCUGGAAUAAUCUCCGUUGGUGUGUUAUCUGGUCAUCUUUCAUACGAGCAAGGCUGAUGGCUUCCUUUAACGUACGUGGCCUGAACAUCCGUAUAUCCUCUGCAAUCUCCGGUUUCAAUCCUCCCAUGAAAGUUCCUACCAACGCUUUCUGUGACCACCCAUGAACUCGGUUUCCCAACCUCUCGAAUUCCUUCUGGUAUUCUCGCAGAGAACGUGUUUGUUCGACCCGAGACAGUGCUUCAUCAAAGUCUUCACAAUCCGUUGGUCCGAAGCGCGCCCAAAGCUCGUCAACAAAUGUUUCCCACGUAACCGGUUGGCCUUCUUCUUGGUAAGCCUUGCGCAUCCACUGCCACCAUUGAUUUGCUUCGCCCUCCAAGUGAUAUGACGCUACGACUACUUUCUGCUCAUCUGUGGUUUCUUGGUACUCAAAAUACUGCGUUACCCGAUUGAACCACUCCGUUGGGUCGUCGCCGGCAUAGCGGGGAAACUCCAACUUAGCAAUUCUUGUCGGCAACGGUGGUCGACGUCCUUCACUUUCCUCACGGAAUGGUCGUGAAGAUCCAAUGUGCUCGUUAGUGCCGCGACUGGCAGUGCCUCUGGUUGCACUAAAAGAUUCUGCCAAUUUGCUCAGAGUGUCCUCCAGACGCUGCAACUUGUCAUUGAUCCCAAUUUCUAUUUGUUCCAUCUUGUUCUGUAAGUUCCCGAUAUCAGCUUCAAUUCGUUCGAUGCGUUCCUUGUUGGUUGCCAUUAAUAGCUAGCUCUGAUACCAAUUGAUAGGUCCCAGUCAGAUGCACGCUAACAAUGACUAAAAAAGAUGAUAAUGUUGUUCUGCUUUUGGUGAGAACGGCUAGAGAUAAUUUAGUUUGAUAAUUCUUCUCCUUUUAUUCGCAGCGGAGAACUAAUUUAUAGUAGCUAACCUUACAAGUCUUUGAUUCCUAGCCAACAAUAUCAGCUAGAUUAUAGUAAAAUAAAACAAGAAGAAAUAUUUAAAGAUAACUUAGAGACCGAAUCCAAAUCAAACAUGACCACCACGCUUUGAUUCUCUUCCAAACAGGAAACGAAAAUUUUGACGUGGUAAUUCUCCUGCUCUCGUUUUGACACUCAAUAAACUCAUCCUGCACGUGAAACACGGUCUGCAUGAAGCCAUGCAUGGCUUGCAUGAGCAACUUGCAUGAGCACAGCUUGGUUCCUUAUCAAUUUUAAAUUCGAUGGAUAGUAUUUCUUAAUAAGUUAUCUAACACACACUUGCCUGCAUCAUGUAGCCUAAGUUUACAACUAGAGCUCCCGGAACAGGGGCAAUGUCAAACCACUGAUCUUCGUGAAAGACUUGGAGGCCACCAAUUUGAUCUUGUAUGAGCACAGUGACAAAUCCAGGGUCAGAAUGUGUUGCUAUGCCGAUGGACAAUUCUGGUUGAGGGCAUUCAGGGUAGUAACUAUUCCCAAUAGUCAUUUCCUCUACACAACCUAUGUCUUUCAGGUAAUUGGGGUCAAGCCCUAAAGCUUCGGAUAAAAGUUCAAACAGAGUGUCCCCUGUUUUCCACAUUAGGUUGUUGUAUGUGAUCAUUAUCUCUCUGCAAAUUAAUAAAGACAAAAAAUAAUCACUACUAAAAGAAAGGGAGAAUGACAUUUCGACUUUUAGAAAUUAUUUUUUUAUUGGGUUAACAUCUAGAUGAAAUGAGAGUAAUAAAACUUAUUAGGAACCCAAGUGAUGCAAAAAGUUCUAAGAAAGAGGCAGGUGUUAUCCACUGUAAAAGAAAUAAAAUCUAUUGGUCAUCGUCCACAUACCUGCAAGCUUCAGGCAAAUCUUCAGGAUUUGAAAAAUAGCGACCCAUAACACAACUCAAAGUAUCUUUCCAAAAGAGAGUCGGUGCACUAUACAAAUUUAAAUUUGAACAAUAUUUAAUUUUUUUGGAGUAAUCACGAGAAUAAUAUUUCUGCUUAACCUCAACAUCUUGUUCAAAAAACCUACGGAUCCCAUCAAUGGCUUGAUCCAAAAUGCUUGUUGGGAUUCCAUGAUUGAUCACUUGAAAGAAACCCCACUCCUCACAAGCACUUCUAAUUUGGUCAAUUACCUGAGAACGCAAGCUUGAAUCCUUGUGUAUUCUUUGACGGUCUAUCAUUGGGAUGCUGAUUUUGGGGUCCCUGCAGAUUGGCUUAUCAUCAAACUUAUGUUUAGUGUGAUGAUCUUGAAUGAAGAUCUGUGGAAUGGUUGUGAUCCCAGCAUCUACGAGUCCCUUAACGCCAGCUUUCGUGUCAUCAAAAGCUUUCAACUCGCUAACUCUGUCACAAGUAAUGCUUCCCAUUGCUUGGUGAAUUAUCUUUUACUCGGUGAAUUAUGAAGUACAUAUGCUGACUUGCUGAUGAUUGCUUUUGGGAGAUACCGUUUAUAUGAUUUCUAGCUUGCCACGUGCAACAUGUUGAAAUAUAACGUCACCAUGAUGAUAUGGAAAUUUGUAAAUUUGAUUCUGCAUUAUUUAUCAUGAUUAAAUUAAUUAUAAAUUAUCAAUAACAGUGAAUUCCGGGGACCACCAACCAGUGGGUGGCACAGCACAAUAAUAGACUGGGCUGUGGCUUUGUUUUAUGUGGACAAAAUUUCAAUUAGCAUAUUGCUGCUUGAUAGUUAACGUUUCACAUUCUCCAUUUGGACAUGCUAUUAUGGAUUCACAGUGUUGCUUAAAAGAUAGAUCUUAAAUGAAAAGAAAGCUUUAAUGGUGAAAUAAAUAUUAAAAAAAAUGAUAAAGAGACUAAAUGUUAACCUAAUGUUAACAAAAAUAAUGGUAAAAUAAACCUGUUUUAUCAUGUUAAUAAUAGUGGUACAUAUUUAACUUUAAUAAAUUUGGCCAUUUCGAUUUUUAAUUUGGCACCUUCCCUGCUCAGUCAAGAAAAAGAAUACUAUAAAAAUUAAAAUAGAAAAUUUGGCAAGGACAUAACUGCAGAAGUGUUAUAUAUCAAAGCAAUGUCAAAGUUAUAAUACUUCCCUUAUUAAUGAGAAGAGCACUAGCAUAUACAAGAUCGACAAUCACUUAAAUUAAGCCUUAAUAAUACUAAACUACAUACAUGGGAUCUAAUGCGUACAAGCAAUGCUUUCUGGUCACAGCAGCUUUAGGCUUUCAGCUACAGUAUAAAGUGAAACUGUCGCUUGAAAAUAAAAUUCAUGUUCGGCAGCCUCUUUCUAUCCGAGCUCCAUUUUUAUAACCAGGCAGCUAAAUAAGAUGAUUUAGAUGGCAACGGCGUCUGUAGUAUUAAUUGUUUUUCUGUAGUCCCUCAUUAUCUACUUUCUGAUCGCUUACUGUGUAGAGAAUCGACAAGAGCAAAUUGUAGCACACGUUCACAGCACUAAUAACUGUUAAACUCUUAUAGUACUUAUCAAGCCUACUACCAUCCAAGGUUUUAGCCAAGUCGCCUUUGUUUGCCAAAAUGAAAAAGAUGUUAAAAAUGCUUCCAAUUCCGACGAAAAAAGAACUUAUUGCUGAUACAUGGUACUCCAUCCGUUCAGGAAAAUGAGAGCUCGAGUAUUCAUCACAUCCAUGCAAAGCAAGCCCUUCCAUAAGACCCAAUAGACAGAAUUGUGGAACAAGCCAAAACAUGCUCAUAUUUUCCAAUUGUUUGAGCUUUUCCAACCUGCGAACCUCAACCUGCCAUGCCACUGCGCAGCAAACUGUAGUCAUCAUCAUUCCAAUGAAUGUUCUUAACACUUGAGCUUGUCUCUUUUUAUUUUUUGGAACAAAAUUGGAAAUUAAUUGUUUUGACAGACAAGAGAUCGUUGCACGAAUUAUCCCUUUACAAUUGUUUCAUUAUCACGACCCAAAUGAAAUGGCACUUGAGCAAAUGUACGAUCAAACAUGCUAAAAUCAAAUACCAAAAAAUAAAAUUGGAAUUGGAAGAGUAAAUAGCAAAAGAUUGGAUGAAAAUUGAAUACCAUAACAUAAAAAAAUUAAAAUAAAUUGAAAUGACAAGAGUUAAUUAAGAGCAAAAAGAUGCUUGACUUACCAAGAGCAAGGACCAAGCAAAUGGUGUUACAUUCGGGCUUGAUGGUGAACUGGUUGGAGAUGGGUACGAAUGUGAUCUCGUUGAGAUUUGGAGAAGAAAACGGGGAAAUAGAUGCAAUAUCUUUGUUACUGUUUUUUGUUUUAACUUUAUUUUACUGUUGAUCACGUGCAACUCAUUAAAAUUUCUAAACGCAGUUAUUAUUGUCGUUUCGGUGUUCUCGGGCUAUCACAUGCUCGGUACGUCUAUCACUAAGUCUACUCUUAAUAAAUUUGGCCACUUAGGUUUUUAAUUUUGGCUCCUUCCCUACUCAAUCGAGAAAAAGAAUGUUUUUCUAGAUAAAAAUUAAAAUAGAAAAUUCAGCAAGGACAUAACUGCGGAGAUGUUUGAUCCUGGAUUUAUAUAUCAAAGCAACAUCAAAAUUAUAAUACUUCCUUGUUACCGAGAAGAGAUAUAUUCAAUAGCACCAGCCUAAAUAAAGCCUAAACAGUACUAAACUACCUACAUGGAAUCUAAUGCGUACAUGCAAUGCUUUCUAAAGUGAAACUGUCGCUUGAAAAUAGAAUUCAUGUUCAGCAGACUCUCUCUAUCCGAGCUCCAAUUUUAUAACGAGGCAGCUAAAUAAGAUGAUUUAGAUGGCAUCGCUCCCUAUAGUAUCGUUUGUCUGUAGUCCCUCAUUAUCUACGAUCUGAACGCUCCCUAUAGUAUUGUUUGUCUGUAGUCCCUCAUUAUCUACGCUCUGAUCGCUCGCUAUAGUAUUGUUUGUCUGUAGUCCCUCAUUAUCUACGCUCUGAUCGCUUCCUAUAGUAUUGUUUGUCUGUAGUCCCUCACUAUCUACUUUCUGAUCGCUUACUAUGUAGAGAAUCGACAAGAGCAAAUUGUAGCACACGUUUACAGCACUAAUAACUGUUAAACUCUUAUAGUACUUAUCAAGCCUACUACCAUCAAGGUUUAGCCAAGUCGCCUUUGUUUGCCAAAAUGAAAAGAUGUUAAAAAUGCUUCCAAUUCCGACGAAAAAAGAACUUAUUGCUGAUACAUGGUACUCCAUCCGUUCAGGAAAAUGAGAGCUCGAGUAUUCAUCACAUCCAUGCAAAGCAAGCCCUUCCAUAAGACCCAAUAGACAGAAUUGUGGAACAAGCCAAAACAUGCUCAUAUUUUCCGAUUGUUUGCGCUUUUCCAACCUGCGAACCUCAACCCGCCAUGCCACUACACAGCAAACUGUAGACAUCACCGUUCCAAUGAAUGUUCUCAAUACUUGAGCUUGUCUCUGCUUCGUUUCCGGAACAAAUUUGGAAAUUAAUUUUUUCGACAGAUAAGAGAUCGUCGCACGAAUUAUGGCUUCAAAAGUAAGUAGAAAGAUUAAGUAACGUUGAGAAAUCAUUCUGGCUCCCUGCUCAGGAAAAAAUGUAUUUCCCGCUGACAGAACCAAUCCAAACACAAUGAAGCUAGACCACAAUGGCAACAAUUUAAGAAGAUAUUUUGACUCCCUGACCUGGGCCACAGUGCAAAGUGUGCCUGCCUCUUCUUGUUCUUUAGAAGUACUUGAUGUCUCUAUAAUUGCCGCUUUGUCUAUCCAUCUGCAAUUCAAACAAUUAAUUUAUUGGCAAUUUUUUUAAGGAAAAUAGGAAGCGACAGCUCAUGGUUUGGCAAAAUGAUCACAUAGACUCUUUUAUAAAUACACCUUUUUGGACAAAUCUUGGAGGUCAGUGUGACCAUUUCUGAAUACAAAAGGGUAUCAGUGUGUCCAUAAAAAGGUCUAUGUAAUUGUUACUAAAAAAAGAGGGUCUCCCCGACAAUUUUGCCAGACCACGAGCCGGGUGUGGGUUUAUACAUGUUAGGUAUAUACCUGAGUAAUUUGAUUCUGGGUGACAAGUGUAAUACGUUUCCCUCAUCAUUACUGAAGAACUGCUCCGGAGAAAGAGGAUAAUUGAGAUGCUUUUUCUUCAGGGAGGUUUUAACGACACGGAUUAUAGCAAAUCGGUCAACAGGAGGUAUUUGUCUACUAUGAUAAAAGGGAAUACCCAACAACAACAGGAUCAAACUGCCCCCCAUAAACAACAAUGUGAACUUGAAAGUAUUCUCCCAUGUUUCAAUAUUAUUUGCAUGGAAUGCUGCAGCUACACCGCAGCACCAGGCAAACCGCCACCACACUCUUUUCUGAGCCAUUACUUGAUUCUCAUUUGUAUUUUCUGUGCUCCCUUCUUCACCAUGUUCUCUUAAUUGAUCGGCAAGAAAUGGUCCCAAAAGAGGCGCCGCUCCAACUUCACCCACUGCUAACAGGACAAUUCCUAUCAUGUUGAGUAGCUCAAACUUGGUUUUUGAAAAUUUUCUGGACGCUGUAUAGAACAAUAGCCCCAAUGCCUGAAACGAAAAUUGUUGGAACUAAUUGUAUAGCAUAACAUUAUGAUCCUAAAAAUGCUUUGUUUAAUCAUUAUUAUAAUCAGGAGUGCAGCCAAAAUGAAUACAUGCCACAUCAAUUAUAGCUUAACUAUUGGGAUCUUUAGCAUUAUUUUCAUAGGGGUAAGGCUCCUAAUAUCCUCUUAUUACGUAUAUUUUUCUCUAUAUUCUGUGAAAUUUAACAUAUGCUGCAAAAUAAUAAUUUCUAAAUUUAGCCUAAAGUACUACAAAAUCCAGGGUCCACCCCUGGAUAUAUAUUUCUUGCAGAUGAUAGACAUAUGUUUUAAUUUAGCAAAUUUAAAACAUAUUUACUCACAAGGAUGUAGGAGACAGUUGAAAAUAUGAGGAUUCUGAGAGGACGGAUGGCAUAACACGAAAUCCAGGCGGCAACAACCGCAAGAGUUGCUAAUAUUCCAUCCUGAAUACUCGUAAAUAUUGCAGCUUUCAGAAGUGUGAAUAGUUCUGAAUAUUCGGAGUCGGAGAAGUAAGUUAUCAAGACGCCCACUACAGCCAAGUCUACCAGUUUGCGGCUUAUCAACAAACCUGGACUCAAAAUAUAAUCAUUAGAAGAAAUGUUCGUGCUCACUGAAAAAAGCUUACACAUGAAAACUACAAGAACAACAUAAAAACUGUUGCCAUGUUUUUAUUAUUUAGCCCAACUUAGUCUAAGAUAUUAAGUACACCCUCUUAACUAAAUAAAUACAUUUUUAAAAGAUAUGAUUUCCUAAGGCGCCUCAAGCAAAAUUACCUGACAUAAAUGCAGCAGCCUUACAAAAACAGACGUAAUAUCGUACCCAAGUUAUGAACCUCUUUUUAAGCUUCAACAACUGAGAAAAUGGAAACAUUGUAGUUUCUGAAACUGCUUCUUUUAUCUGCAAAUACUUCUACUUGUGAGCUGUGAAUCCCGAGACGAUGAAGAUUUUGUAAUUAUACCAAAGUCUUCGCUAGUCUUCUAAAAAGUUAGUUUAUUCAAAUUAAAAAAUAAUAAGUCGCACUUCAAGACCAGCUAUUGGUCACAUAAGUCAAAAUAAUGACUUACUGUACAGCUCAAUAAUUUUAGGUGGUAUGAAACACGUUUGAUGAGACGGUCAUAAUUACACUGUACCAUGAAUGAUCCUUAUUGAGUAUAUAACCCCUUUCUUUUUUCAAACAAGAUUUACGCUUUAAUUUUGGGAGGUUUGCUAAGUUCUUUCUUUUUGUAAUGGUUAAGGAGACUGACAAUUUUCUAUUGAAGUUAUUUAUACAUGUAUUUCACUUUUAGAUAAAUAAUGUUGUACAAACUAAUGUGAUAAUUUUUUAGAAAAAAGUAUAUGUAUAUCCUUAAGAUUUUAAAAAAUGGUCAUAUACACUCUGAGUUUUCAAUAAGGGACACCAAAAUACUUUUUUACUAUAGUAUCCUUAAUAGAUAGUAACAAAAAAUAUUGACUAAAUAUUUUAAUAAAUAUAAAUAAAAUUUAAAUAGUUUAAUUUGUCUAGUAGACUAAUAACAUUAGAAUGUUUCUUAAUAUAUAAAAUAAUUUUUAAAAUAUAAAUUAUUAUAUUUAUUUUAUUAAUAUAUUUUUACUUAUUAUAAAAAUUUUAAAUAAAUAUUUAGGUUAGAUUUUAAAUUUAAUAAAAUACAUGUCAUGUACUAAUAAUAUUAAAAUUAUUUUAUAUAAUAUUAAAAAUAAUUUAAAUUUUUAAAAUUUUAUUUAAUAUUAUGUUUCAAUUUAUUUUGAAAUUUAAUUUAUUUUGAAAUUUAGUUUAAUAUAAUUUAAUGUUGUAAAGUAUUAAAAUAUUUUAAAAAUAUUGAAAUUAUUUUAAAAUGUAUAUAUUGUUACAUUUAUUUUAAUAUUAUACUUCUAUUUAUUAUAAAAUAUUAAAAAUAACAUUUUAGUCAAAAGGGAGUUUUGGUGUCUCUUACUGAAAAAAUGGAAUGUACAUAACCAUUUUUUUGAAUUUUCAAGGGUGUACAAGUCAUUUUUCCUACUUUUUUUAUAAUCAGUUGAAUUAAAAAAAGUCAUGUGGCCACAUAUAUUAUUUCUUAUUUAUAUUUUCAAUCAGCAAAUCAUAAUGUGUCAUAUCUGUUUGUAUACGCAUUUAUGAACAUAAAAAAGUAAGGUUAGGCACUAGUCGGGUUGGAAAUCAACCCAUCCAACCCAUGUAUAGUGCUAAUUGGGUGAGUUGGACUUAUCUCGAGACCCAUUUUCUGUCUUUGAAAUAUCAAUAAGAAAUUAAAAUAAUUAAAAAAUAAUUUAAUAAAAACAACUAAAAAUAGAAUACAAAAUUACAAAUAAUAACUAUCCCUCAAACUUCAUUGUUAAUAAAAAAAUUAUUUGUAUAGGAUACUAAUCACACCAUAAAAAGUAAUAGGGUGAAUUCAAGAGUUGGGUUUGAAAAUUUUCAACACCUAGGAAAUAUAGUGCAUUUUCUCCACCCCUAAGAAAUUAGGGGUUGGCUUUCUACUUGAUUUUAAGUAGAGAAAAUGAUCAAAACUACCUUAUUGUUUGUUAAAAUUAUAGGUUGAAUUUAAGAGUUGGGUUUGAAAGAUGCAAUGUGUUCAUAUAUAUGGAAUGUGCUUUCUUUAUAGUGAUUUAUGGGAUGUGCUUUCUUUAUAGUGAUUUAUGGAAUGUGCUUUCUUUAGCACUUAGCCGAAAGAUUCAAAUUUCCAUUAAUAAGACGGUUAAUGAUGAUUUCAAAGAGCCAAAAAGAUUUCAAGAAAAUACAUGUUUUCAACUUUGUGUACAAAUUAAUUACGUCUGUAUUUGGAUGGUUAAUGUAAACUAGUCAGAUAAUUAACCACGCAUUAAUUAAUCAAAUUUUUAUUAUUUAAUAUCUUUGCAUCGGAUGAUCAUUGAUCAAUUAACAAUAUAUUUUCCUUUUGUGCAUGUAUCCACAUUGGACGUCAAUAUAGUAAUUUGUUAUGAAAAAAAAAUCAAUCAAAAUUAUUUUUAAUAUUUUUAAUAUUUUUAAUUUUCUAUCUAACUUAGUGCUUGUUUAGUAUAAAAUAUCUAACGCCCAGCAGUAGGAUAACUCCAACAAUUCCCCUCACACAUCGGACCUUGGGUCAGAAGAUAGACACUCGUUCUCUUUAUUAGAUUGUUGGGUUGAGAUUGUUGAUGAAUGUGGACUCUGAUACUAGUGUUAGGUAGUCUUAAACUUCUCUCAACCCCAAAAGUUAGUUUCAGGGGUGAGAUUUUCCUGACAUUUAUAAAAUCACCAAUAGUCCUUUUCACAAUCCAUGUGGGACAACUUCGAUAGUUUGAUUGUAUUUUGAGUAUAACUUUUGAAGAUUAAAUAAAUUAUUUUGCUUCUAUUAGUAAAACCUUAAAAAUUAGAUUUUUGAGAGUGAUGGUCAUAGUACUUAAAGAAUAAAUUGUGUAGAAUAACGUUUUAUAUAUUAAAUGAUCUUAUUCCAUUCUUUUUAUUUUUUAACCUAACAAAAACCUAGUCCCUUCCCCACCCAUUUGAGUAAGUUGCGAAUCUCAGAUCCCUUGCUUUCAACCAGAUGAUACCCAUAAAUUAGAUCAAAUCCUUUUCAUAAUAUCACUUGCCGCAAUAGUAAAAUUAAACAAAGCAAAAGUACUCUUUUUAACACCAAUACAAAAACAAAACAAGCAUAAAGCAAGACACAAAAUAUUAAAAUAAAAAUCAUAAUAUUGCAUAUCUCCACAUGCCACCAACAUUUUCCAUCAACUGUUUGAAAGAGAUCCUCCAUCUCAUCCUGCUUUGGAAGCCAUUCUAAGGAGACUUGCUUGAAAUUUUUAAACCACUCGUGUGUAAGCUAGGGAAUUUUUAAGAUUCAAAUAGCUUCACUCCCUCUAUGGCUCCAUUUUGUAUAACUUUUUAAAUAGAGUUGAUUUAAAUAGGCAUUCAAUUAGUAGAGUUUUUACAAAUAGAUCUUUUACCCAAAAAAAAAAAUUGUUUAGUUCAUUAGUUGUCCAAAGAGAUUUUAUUAAAAAUUAAAAAUUUAUUUUAAUGUACAAAUUUUCUAAGUUAUGUUGUGAAAUGGAUACGAAUAAAAUAAGAAUAUAAAAUAAAUAACGGGCAUAUUAGAUAAUUUAAUAAUUUAAAAAAGUUUUCUAAUCUCUACUCUAAAAAAUUCAAAAUUCGAGUUUUUACUAAUAGAGUCAAAAUAAUUUAUUUAAUCCCAAAAACUAAAUUCAAAAUAAAACCAAAGAACAACCAAAAUUUUGAAAGAAUUUUUAAAAUUAAAUAAAUAUAUAUGACCAUUAAAUAAGCUAAUACUAAACAAGCACUAUACCUUUGAAGGACUUGCAACCCAUCCAAACGCUAGGUCCACUAAGCCAAUAUUGUUCUUGUCCAGUGCUAAAAAAGCAUUUUUCCAAACAGCUCCACCCUGCCCCAAUAUAUAUAAAUAAUAUGGAUAAGAUUCUCUCUUUCUUUCUUUUUUUUUUCCCCCUCUCAUAUUCUUCAACAAUGUUGAAUUAACAAGUGAUCCUAUUUUUAAUUUAAAAAAGGAGUCAUGUUUUUAUUAAUUUUCAAAUUACAUCUAUGUUUUGAUUAAUUAAAAAGGCCAGCUAAUGAGAUCAUUAAUUUGGUCAACUACUCAGAUAACCGUGCAUCAAUUAUACAAUAGGCAUUUCUUUCCCAAAUUAAUAUAUUUGCGUCAUGCAUGACGAUCAUGGAUCACUUGUAUUAGAGAGCUUAGGUGCCCAGCGAGUAAGUUGCAAGCUGCUAUCUUUGGCCAUACCUUUGAAGCACAAAUACUUCUUUUUAUUCUUGUUUGAUAGUACGGUUAAAAUCAAGGCAUCAAUCAGGAAGGUGCGCAGCAAGUCAGGUUGCCCAGCCGCUGUCUUUGACUGUACCUUUGAAGCACAAGUACUUCUUUUCAUUCUUGUUUGAUAGCACGGUUAAAAUCAAGGCAUCAAUCAGGUGGGUGCCCAGCAAGUUAGGUUGCCGAGCUGCUGUCUUUGACUAUACUAAUGGUUGUCGAAGCCAACAAAAAUAAAUACUUACCCUAAAUAAAUUGUGUAUAGUGAUUGAGCAGGGUCGUGUCCACAGAAAUCGGUAAUUAUUUAAAUCCUUUUAAAAUGUAAAACGUAAAAUGGGGGAAUUGUUGACAAUAAUAGAAAUCAAAUUAAAAUAACAAAAAUGUAAAUUAAAGUUGUAAUUCAAAUUGGAGAAAGCUCUGGUUGAAGGAAUUAACCCAGCUUGAUUCGACUACUGAUCAUUGAUUCAUAUAUAAAUUAUUAUUACUUAUGAAGAGACCGGUUAUAGCUACUGAGACCCUCUAAUAGCUAAUCUCUCCUUAACUAGUCGAUAACCAAGGUAGGACCGUUGGUUAUUUCCCUAAUCAAUAGACAACCCUAGAUAAGAUCAUAGGAUUUAAUCAAUUGACAGCCUGAAAAACUAGAGAGACCCAAAUCCUAAUCAACAAACACAUACGAUGACUCAUUUAAAUUAGAUUGUUUAUUCUCACAACACAACUCUCUGCUAUGUUAUUUGUCACAAACAUUAAAAUCUUCAUACGAUGAAUCCUUUAAUUAACAAUAGAUUAAGUUGAUAAUUAAAUAGUGGCCAAUUAUCUAAUUAACAAACAUAAUCAUGAUAAUAAUUCAGAGAAUAAACAAAUACCCAGAAAGUAAUAAAACAAUUAAAGCAUAAGAAAGAUCUCACAGUAGUGAUGAAUCAAAGCUUCAUUAACCUUCAACCAGAAAAAUAGAUUUAGUUCUUCAUAGAGAGAAGAGAAAAAUUUAGAUCUAGGGUUUCUUUCUCUUCUCCAAUUCUCCCUUUUUUCACAAUAAAUUCCUCCCUUAAAUACUCUCUCUCUCUUCUCCUCUAGAGUUGUUUUUUUAAAAUAAAAUACUAAUAUCUGAAACAUUAAAUUCGUAAUUACAAAAAUACAAAACACGUUAAACUAAAAACUGCAGGUCCGUAGUUGACAGCACGCGCCCACGUCUUAUCAACAAAGUUCUUCUGACGCUCAUAAUUUCUCCAAGAAAACAAUCAUCCUUAAAUAUCAUCUUGUAGCUUAAUUUUAUGAUCAAUCAAUAGAAUUGCACCUACGAAAGUAAAACACAAGUUAAUCACUAUUAUUAAGUGCAAAACAUUGAUAUUAAGGGAAGUAAACAAUGCAAAAUUAGUGCAUAAAUUGCACUCUAACAUAUACCUUUGAAACGCAAAUACUUCUUUUCAUUUUUGUUUGAUAGCAUGGUUAAAAUCAACCAUCAAUCAUGUACUUAUUGUGAAUCGUUGAAGUAGAUCUACAAUGCAUAAUAAGUAAUAUUUAUUUAAAAAUUGAAGCUACUAGAUAAUUUCGAUAUAAAUUAAGUUCAACUUUUACUUCAUCAAGGUGAAACAUCAUAAAGCUUGUAAAUCUAACACAUGAACGUAAAAGCUUAAAAAAAAAUUUGAAGUUGCUUGAUAACAUAGAAAUACAAGCAAAAAGAGAUGCUAAAGAAUACAUCCCAGAUUUUUCAUUGGGUGGGAUUAUUGAUCAUGCUAGCAUAAUGAUGAGGGCUGCCUGGAUAUCCAGUAUUUUAAUAAUAUGGUUAAGGUUUUUGAGCUUAAGCUUUGGUGGUGUUUUUAGGAGCAGCUUUCAUUAUGGGCUUCUUUUAUGAAGUCUAAGUAUUGUACAACUGCACAUUCGAGUAUGAUUUAGUUUUAAUAUCCUACCUACCCUCUUUGGAGGCACCUAUGCUUGAUUCAAUAUGUUGCUGAGCUUCAUGUGUGUUGGUUGUUUGGCCGAGGGUUGUUUUUGGUAUGGUUGUUAGCUGGGUUCUUGUCCUUUGGCCUUUUAUAAUCAUGUGGUGGCUUUUAUGGUGCCAAUUUCUUUUUAUUAGCAACAUACAGUAUGAGAUAGGGGUAAGCUUCAGGAUGUCCUGCCUUUUUUAAUUGUUGUGCAUAUUCUUUUGAUUCCUAUCUCUAGUGGGGAACCAUAUGUGAUUUUGUGGGACCUUUCUCGUGAUGGUAGUUUUUGUUUGAGGAUUUGCUUCAGAUAUUGUGCAUUGGAUAAGGCCGAUUUUUGUUAUUUGGCAGCGACAUAUCUCUUCAUGGAUAUCCUUUUUUCUCUAGAGGUUGUGACACAAAUUCUUGACCACAGAUGAUGCCUCGUGUUCAGGGGAUUUCUGCGUAGUUUCUUAGUAUCUUUGUGGUCAGGCUUCUGAGACUUCUAGGUAUUUAUUUCUUGAUUGCCCUCGAGUUAGGCCGGUUUGGGUCCAUUUUCUACUUACUCUUGGUUUGCGCUAUGUUGCUUUUCUGUUCCACCGUACUUUAUUUCUUAAUUGGUAGUGAGAUGCCCUUUCUUGGAGCCAUAUUCGAGUUCUUCUUCCUUGUUUUAUUUUAUGGCAUGUUUAGAAGGCCUGUCAUGCAUUGAAGUUUGACUCAAUGGCUUUUUUUGUUGAUGACAUUAUUUAUUGGACGGUGUUGGAUCUUAGGCUUGAUGGUUUUGCCUUUGGUCUUAAACCAUUCCAAUUGUGAGGCGUUUUAGGUUCUCGGUUUGCAAAGUGCUUGAGAGUUGUUGUUUCAUCUAGGAGGCCGAUUCUUUUAGUUUCUUGGCUGUGGCCACCACCUGGGGCGGUGCAGUUGACUAUUGAUGGUUGCUUUAGGGGUAAUCCUAGGAUGGCUGCUUCAGAUAGUAUUUUACGUGAUCAUCGGGAUGUGGCUUUAGCUGCUUUUGGUUCCUUCCUUGGGCGCUAACGGAUCCUUCAUGAAGAAUUCAUGGUUGUUUUUUUAGGGGUUAUAGUUGGCUGCUCAGCUCCAUUAUUCUGUGCUUGAGGUAGAGUCAGACGCAGCCAUGGCGGCUUCUUGGAUUUUUUUCUAAGGCCUUGUUCAUUCGGACUAUACCUAUUCUUUGCGUCGGGUGUGUAGUUUGACAUUUUCUUCUACUUUGGUAAGUCAUGUGCUUUGAAAGGCUACUUCUACUGUUGAUUUCUUUGGCUUGCACUCUUCACAGUCAUCGGUGUUUCUUGGGUUCUCAUGAUAUCUCUGCUAGCUUAGCUAAUAAUCUCCAUUUGGAUGUGUGUAAUUUCUCAUCUCAAGCAAUACGAUUACUUAUUUUUGUCUUCCAUUUUUUAUCUUGUAUUUUUCUCUUUCCAUUCUUAUGUUCUUGCAAUUGCAAUUUUGAUUUAUAUUCACCUCCUUAUGUAUUUGAUUCAUUCUAUAAUUUAUAUGAAAGAUAGGGGUCCCACCUUUUUUUGUAGUUAAAAAAAAAAAUCAGGAAUCAAACCUAGGUCAUCAAGGUGAAACAUCAAACAGGUUGUAAAUUUAACAUAUGAACUUAAAAGCUUAACAAAACAUUUGAAGUUGCUUGACAACAUAGAAAUACAAGCAAAAAGAGAUGCUAAACAACACAAAAUUUUGAUUGGGUGUGAGUAUUGUUCGUGCUAGCAUAAUAAUGAGGUGCCUGAGAAUACCUAAGACUUUCUUGAUAAAUAAUAUAAUCUAAAAGGUUAGGAAUCACAAAUGAUUGUCCAGGUAUGAACAAACCUGGCUCAAAAUGUGAAAUGUAUUAAGAUUUUCAAACAUUUAAAUUAAUAGUUAAUAAUUUCGGACAAAGGACACUUGGAGACCCUAAACUUCAUUGAUUCUAUGUUAUGGCUCAUUGUCUCUCUCAACAAUUUAAUUUCUAGAUUAUUUGGCUCCUAUCUAUUAAAAGACAACACCGUUACUAAAAUUAUAGAUUAUAACAGUUAAACCUAAACUUAAGCCGUUUAGCAAUUUACAAAAGAAAAAAAUAUAACAAAAGCCAAUUGUUGGAGUAGCAACGUGCCAACGAGAAAACCUCAAGCCAUGUAAUAUCCUGUAUCAACUAAAAAAGAACAAACCACCACCCUCUAGGUCGUCGCUGCACUAACGCUGGGCCCGAUUUGAAUACUUAGAAGUUGUAACAUUAAUUAGGGAUUGAGGGUAAAAUUUUGGACUUUGAUUUAAUAAAAUUGAUUUAUAUGAGUCCCAAUAGAAAUAUGAUUAUAAAUAUAUCAAUGCAAUUAUAAUAUGUUUAAAAGAAAAAAAUUAUUUUCACACAACAUAAAACUCAACCCUUGGACGUGGGAUGUGUCUAAAAAAUAAUAGGGUGGAAAUAUUACCACCCUCAAAUUAGAUAUAUAAAUGUUUAAUGUUUUACUCUUAUAAUUUUGUAUUUAUUUUUUUUAAUAUUGGUAAGAGAAAGAUAGAAAUUAAUAUAUAGACAAAUCGAGUCCCUUAUUUUAUUAUUCAUAUCCAUAAAAAGUAACCACUAUGCUAGUCCCCCCGAACUUAGCAUAAGACGGUAAUUUAAAAAAAGAAAAAAAAAGAAUGUUUUUAAACACCAAAACAAAAGCAAAACAAACACAAAGCGAGACAUACAAACAAAUUUUAUGCUACUGCAUUCAAGCAGAAGCCAUCAACUGUUCACGACGAAGUUUGAGAGCAACCAAUAGUUCAUCCUGAUUAGGAAGAUUUUCUUCAAUCACAGGGAUUUGCUUGAAAUUUUCAAUCCAGGCAUGCAAGUGAGGGAAUUUGUGUGAUUCAAAUAGUUUAACUCCCACUACAUCUUCAAUGACUUGCAACCAAUAAACAAUUGGACCAAAUGCUAGGUCCACUAAGCCAAUAUUGUCUCCAUUGAAAAAUUUCUUAUCUCCCAAGCCAUGCUCUUCAACGGUUUGUAGCAUUUCCAAGGCUUCCUUCAUUGUGUUUUGUAGUUCUUGUCCAGUGCUACGAAACAUUUUCCAAAUAGCAACACCCUGCCACAAAUAUUUUACAUCAGAUUAUAUCACCGACAUGAUUAAUUAAUAAUAUGUACAUAAAAGCUAAAAAUCGUUAGGCAAUAUGUACACGCGUCACAAUAUCCUUUAAUUAGAGGUUUAUAUAAUAAGUUAACUAAGAGAGUUCAACCACUGAGUUGUAAAAUCUGUCAUUAGUAAAUUCACUUUUUCCCAACGCUUCAAAAGUCAUAAAAAUUCCCCGUGAAGUUAAAAACGGUUGUGUUAACUUUAACAGUGAAGACACCAGAAAUUGAAAGUUUAGAGAACUUUUUACAAAUAAAUAUGAAAAAGACCCCUGGGUGGCUGGGCUCGACUGGCUAUGAAUUCACUUCCGCCAUCACCCGAGUUCGAGUAUAUAUGGAGAGUAAGAGUUAGUGUUUGGUGGGUGGAUUUCAUUAUCCUCGUCACCUUAUCUAGAUCUUAAAAUAAAUAAACAAAUAAACAAAUUUGAAAAGAAUGAACUUAAUCAUAAACGUGUUUGCCAGAGUUGUGAGCGAACCUUGUCUUCAGCGAAUUUGAUCCAGAAUCGAGCAUGAGCCCUAUCAUAAGGAUUAUUUGGCAUCAAGGAGGGAUUGUGCGGCCAUGUCUCUUCGAUGUAUUCGAGAAUAACCAUGGACUCACAAACUGGUUUUCCGCCAUGGACGAGCACUGGGAUCUUCUUGUGAACUGGAUUAUACUUCAAAAGCAAUGCACUUUUGUUUGAGAGAUCUUCGGAAACAAAUUCAUAUGGCACGCCUUUCAAUUUCAGAGCCCAAAUCACCCUGUAAACAAAUGGACUCGGCAGUGCCCCGUGAAGCUUCACUUCAGCCAUGAUAAUUCUUAGAUUGAAUUUGAAUAUCAGGUUUUUUGGUCGAUCUUGAGUGUAGCUGAUAACUCAUUACACAUGUUUCUGAAUUUAUAGUGAUUUAUGGUAUGCACUUUCUUGAGCAGAAAGCUUCAAUUUUCCAUUAAUAAAACGAUUAAUGAUGAAUUCAAAGAACUAGUGCGAUGACUUUAAUUAAAUUUUUUUUUACGUUGUGUGCAACCGCAAUUUGAGGUUAAUUUAAAGGAUAUUAUUUUCUCCUGAUCAAAACUUUUAUAUAAAAAAAUAUAAUUAUGUAAUUGGUAAUUAUUAAGUAAAAAUAAAUUUUGACCGUAAAUAAAUAAAAGUUCAUACAUGUUAUAAAGAGAUUUUAAAACUCAAAUAAGUGGACACAAUUCCUAAUUUAAAGCGCUAGCCAAUGAGAUCAAUAAUUUGGUCAACCAGUCAGAGAUAACCAUACAAUAAUUAAUUUUGCCAUUUGUUUUACAUUUAAGACCUUUGCGUCAUGCAUGAUGAUCAAUUGAUCAUGGAUCAAUUAGUCAACGAGACAUUUGCCUUUUGUGCAUGUAUCCACAUUGGACGCAAAUAUAAUUUAUUAUAAAAAAUUGGACUAAAUUAUUUUUUAAUAUAUAUUUUUAAAAUAAUACACCUGAUCAUAGAGGAGAUAUUAUUUAGUUUGUGAAUCUUAUAACAGGACCCAUGAUUUUUUUUUUAAAAUCUUAUGGGUCCCCUAUUAUUUAAUUUGUGGAAUUGACGGAGGUAACUUACAGUUUCAUUUUUGUAAUUUACAGCUUUCAAUAAAUUCAGAUAAUAUUAGGUGGUAGAAGUCGGCCAGGCUGGAGGAGUAGAUCUAUAAAAUUUGCUAGCACUUUGCACUAUCUGGUAGGUGCCCAAAAAUACAUGUAUAUCAUCCAUUUUUUGUUGGGAUUUUAUGCUCUUUUAAAGCAUAUUAAUUUAUUUUCUGAUUAAUAAAAUAUUUGAGACAUUUUCAAUUGCAUAAAUAUAUAUUGAAUAAGGUCCAUUUAAUCAUAUUAUAUGUAUUUAUGUGAUCAUCAUAUGGAUUCACAGAAGACAUAAAUACAAGCUAUCUUAUGAUUAAAUAAAUUUAGUUCGCAGUUGAUAAAUAGAGUUGGGCGCUCUAUUUAUUUUUAGACUGUAGUAAAUUCAUUAAAUGAUUUAUCUUAAUCAUAUAUGAAUUUACUGAUGUAGGUUGACUACAUUGAGAUGGAUCACAUAUGAGAUUUAAUUAACCUUGAAAGGACUGUCAGACUUAUUAAAUCUCAUAGGCAUUCUUUUUAUUAUAAUCUUAAUCUUGAGUUGGUUAUGAUUUCAUGAUUGUAAUUGUUAUUCCAUUUGAGUUACCAAUGGGCACGACACACACUUGUGGUCAAGAUUACCGGGUAUCUUGGUGGGAGCAAUUAUGAGUAUUGGAGUUAUAGAUUAACAAUAUAAAAUUUGUACAACACAUCUCUUGAUGGGUUUUCGGCACUUGAUCAUAGAAUUCUCUGGCCAGAGUGUAUCAAUAUAUUUAGUAUGUUGAAAAUGAUCAUUAGAGAAAAUCAAUAAGUAUCAAGGAAUAAGAUGUAAUUAAAUCGUUUGGACAGUUGAGAUAUCAAUUUAAUUAAUGAUGUGGUACAAAUGAUUGUGCAGUAAGGAAAUUAAUGAGGCUUGGGAUGAAUUAUUAUUUGAGUAUACAAUUAUGGAGGUCAUUUCCAAUCUUUUAGUGGAGUAGAUUUGGAAUUAAAUAAUUGAGCUAGUUUAAUUACAGGCCUAAUUAUUGUAGCCACUAUUGUAUGUUCCCAAAUAAUCCCCAGGUUAGCUCAUUUAAUUGACUGUGCCGCUACUGGAUUAAUAAGUAAGAUAACUAGUUAUUUGGGUUAAAAGUCUAAAUAUAUUAUUUAGUGGGAAGCUCCAUAUAAUAUGUUUGUGUGUAAGGGGCUUUAUGUUAUUUUACAAGGUGGGCCCCUAUAACACAAGAACAAGUAACGUUGUCUUUGUUUUUUUAUUUUUUUAAUUUAAAUCAAAUUUGAUUUAAUAAAUUUAAAAAUAGAAAAUAUAGAGCCUAGGGUUUCCACUAGAUAGAGAUAUAAAAAGGGCUUAUUUUCUCCCAAAAGAAUAGAGAGGCCACAUUAUACAAAUUAGAGAAAAAAAAAUUCUCUCUAAUUUUGAGAGAAAAAUUUUCUCCUGCUAGUUGCUUUUAGUGGUGAUAAAGGCGCCCACACCUCAAAUGCAGAUCAAACUUGAGUCAUAACCUGGAAGAUUAUUUGGUGGCGAUUCGUGCUCUAACAGGAGUGGUGGUGACGGAUCGUGAUCUAGGAGUCCAAAUCACUUCAGCGGAAAAAACAAAGAUUGUUCACCUUCUCAUAUUUUCAAGAUACGAUUUCUAAAUUAUGAAUUCUUAUAUAUUGUAUGAGAUCGAUCCUAAAAUUUUUUUUUUAUAAAAAAUUUAAAAAAAAUGAUUUUUCUCCAACACUUUUUAUUUAACGCUGGGUUUUUUUCAACCCAAAAUAAUUUCUCUUUGUACAUCCACUUUUUAAUAAAAACUUUUAUUGUCAAAAUAAUUUGUUAUUAAUUACUUCACUAAUCCUUCUUUUUUUUUUUGCCAAUUUCUCUUUCGCAUCUGAAAAAAUUUAAUUCACAUCAUGUGAUAGUAUGAUUGCAAAUAAAUUUGAAGUUAUCUCUCGCAAAUUGUUCAAAAAUACAUUGACCUAUCUUGUGUAUAGAACUAAAGAACAAUAGCAAACCACUAUCCUCUAGCCGAUCGCUGCUAUUAGGACGGAAAAUUCGUUGUAAAUAUGUAAAUUUGUCUAAACCCAUCUACAAAAAUAUGUCCACUGCGAAUAAUUUUGUAGGUUACGAAUAAGUUUGGUAUUUUAAAUUUAAGUUUGUUGCAAGUUACAGAUAUAUUUAGUAUUUUAAAUUUGGCGGAUGCCUACCGACUAUCAUUUUUUUUAAUUAUUUAUGUUUUUAAUUUAAUCACAAAGAUUGUCUUAAAAAAAAUUUAAUCAUAAAAAUAUAGUAGUUAAAGUUAUUACUCUAAUCUUCCAAAUUCCUAAACCUAACCUAGCUAACUCAUUACAAUUGCACACCCUACUCCUUCAAGUAUGUAUGUAUGUAAAUGUAUACACACGCGCACACACCAAAAAUAAACUUUUAAUAAGUAGAUUUAGUAUUUUUCAAGUUUAAUAUUAAUGAUAUUUUAAUUUAAUUUGAUUACUUUUGUUUGUUUCGCUUUAACGACUUGAACUCAGUGAUUGCUGGCUAAGAUUGAAUUUUUAUUUGUCUAAUUAAUGGUCAAUAGUUGUCCAAAAUAUAUUUGUUAAUAUUGUUGACAAUACUUAUAUAUUAACUAAAAGAUAGAACAAGGCAUUAAUCUUAGUAAUGAUUAUUUGCGUACAACAAAAAUAUUUUAUGUUAGAAUGAUAUAUUUUGUGUAUUUGUUUUAAUAUUGAAACUUUAAUUUCUCUUUUACAUUGAUAAAAUCUAAAAUUGAGUAAUUUAUGUAGAUUUUGUAGGCUGUUACUAUAAAGUUAUAUUUUGAAUUAUAUAAUUCAAAUUAUUAGAUAUUAUUUUUUUAAUAUUUGUAAUUUUAAAUAUAAAAAUUUAUAAAAAAAAAACCUACUGCAUGUUAUGGGUGAAUUUGGUAAUUAUUAAAAAUUAUAGCGAACGAACUAAGGCCACCGGUUACUGGCGAGUUUAAUAAUGACAAACCCAUAAUAAGCGAUACCCAUUACCAUCAGCAGCUUCUGUAACGCAGGGCCGAAGGCGGUCUUGAAUUGUUAGAAGUUGCAACAUUAAUUAGCAAAAUUUUCAGCGGCAUCCCUAAAGUUUAGCAUAGAAUUAGAUAGAUCCCCUUGUUUUCAAAAGAUUAGUCUCUGAUUCCAUGUUGUUUACUUAAUUUUUUUUUCCCUUUUCAAUUGGAUAUACAACUUCGUAAUGUUGCGCCUUGUAGAAUGUAUGCUUAAAAUGCGUUCUUCUUAUUUUUUAUAUACUGCUAAGAGAAGUUGAGUAUAGAAAUAUAUAAAAUGGAGUCUCAUUCAUUAAUUAUUUAUAUCCACUCAAUAGCACCUAACAUGCAGCUCACUUCAAUAUAAAAUUAAUUAAACAAAAUAGAAAGAAUAUUUUUAACGCUGGUACAAAAACUUAACAAGUGUAAAAGAAGACUCACUAACUUAUUUUAUGAUAUUACAUUCACGCAGGUACCACCAAUGUUUCCCGACCACGUUUGAGACCACCAACUCACGCCAAUUUAGAAGAUUUUCUUUAAGUAUAUAAGUUAAAGUUAUUACUCUAGUUUUCAAAAUACUUAAACCUAAUCUAACUAAUUACAGCUGCAUGCCUUGCUCCUUCUAGUAUAUGUAUAUAUUUUAAGAUGAAUACAAUAACUUUUUAAUAAGUAGAAUUUUGUACUUUUCAAGCUUAAUAUUAAUGAUAAUUUAUUUUAUUUUAAUUACUUCGAAUUCUUGAACAUAUUGAUUGUUUGCUAAACUUGAAUUUUUAUUUGUCUAAUUAAUUGGCGAUAGCAGUUGUAUAAAAUUUAUAAAGACAAAAUCUUAGUAGAUUACAAAAAGAUUUAGUAAUGACAAACCUGCAGCAGCCAAUACCCAUUACCAUCCCUAGCUACUAUAAUGCAGGGACACAGGCGGUCUUAAUUGUUAGAAGGUUCAAAAUUAAUUAGCAAAAUGUUCAGUGGUAUCCUUGAAUUUUAGCAUAGAAUUAGAUAUAUCUCCUAGUUUUCAAAAUUAGUUUUUGAUUCCCCCAUUGUUUAUAUAUAUAUUUCAAUUGGAUAUAUAACUUUGUAAUGUUGCGCCUUAUAAAAAUGUAUGCUUACAAUGCAUGCUUAUUACUUUUUAUAUGCUGUUAAGAGAAACUGAGAAUAAAAAUAUGUAAAAUGGAGUUUCAUUUAUUAAUUAUUUAUAUCCAUUAAAUAUCACCCAACGUGCAGUUCGUCUCAAUAGUAAAAUUAAUUAAACAAAGUAGAAAGAUUUGUUUUAGCAUUAGUACAAAAAUAAAACAAGUACUAAGCAAGAAUCACAAACUUAUUUUAUGAUAUUACAUUCACGCAGAUGUCAUCAACGUUUCCCGACGACGUUUGAAAGCGAUCACCAUCUCAUGUUGAUUUGGAAGAUUUUCUUCAAUUACAGGGACUUUCCUGAAAUUUUCAAACCAACCAUGCAAGCUUGGGAAUUUGUGAGAUUCAAAUAGCUUCACUCCCAUUACAUCUUCAAGGACCUGCAACCAAUAAGCAAUGGCUCCAAAUGCUAGGUCCGCUAAGCCAAUAUUGUCUCCAUUGAAAAACUUCUUCUCUCCUAGGCCAUGUUUUUCAACGGUUUGAAGCAUUUCCAAGGCUGCCUUCAUUGCAUUCUCCAGGUCUUGUCCAGUGCUGAAAAACAUUUUCCAAACAGCUACUCCCUGCCACAAUAUUUUAUAUCUAAUUCUUAUCACCACAUGAUUAAUAAUAUAUAUGAGGUGAAGAGAAAUUAGAUAAUACGUACACACGCGUCAAAGUAUCUUUCAAAGACUAGACGUUUCAAACUGUCAGAGUAUUUAGGAGAGUUUACCCACUAAUUUUUAGACUAGUUUAGUAUAACUUUUCAGAGCUUAUUUAAAUAGAAAUUUUAUUAGUAAAUUUUUAAUUUUUAUAAAAAAAUGUUAAUUAUUUAGCUGUUAACGAAAAUUUUCAUUAAAAUUUUCAAAUUACUUUAAUAGACAAAAUUUUAAUGUUAUGUUAUGAAAUAAAUAAAAUAAGAUUAUAAAAUAAAUGAUGAAUAUUUUAAACAAUUUAACUUUAAAAAAAAUCCUCAACCCUCUAUUUCCAAAAGUGUAAAUUUAAACUUUUACUAAUAUAGGCAAAAGAAUUUAUUUAAUCCCAAAAAGCUCUACUAAAAAUAAAACUAAACAAUAAUAAAAAUUUUGAAAAGAACUUUUUUUUUAUUAAAUAAACACGUAUGAGUAAUAAAUAAGCCAUAUCAAACAAAUACUAAUGAAAUAAAAGGAAAAAGAUAAAAAAAUCCUCUAAUUGUUUUAGUAAAUUAUAAUUUUAUUUUCAUGUUUCAAAAGUCCUUAAAAUUCUCCCUGUCGCUAAAACAAUUAUAUUUUAAUAUUUUACCCUUGAUUCAGUAAAAUCCACGGUUAAUUAAGAAAAUUUUCUAAAGAUAAAAAAUUUAAAGUAAUUAACCGAAUUUUUUUUAUAAUUUUCUCUAAUGUAAAAUAAAAGGUUCAUGGAGCUUAGUCGGCCGUGAAUGCAUUUGCACAUGCGAGGACAUUAGUUCGAGCAUUAAAAGAAGAUAAAAAUUAAUGUUUAGAGUCAUAUUUCUCAAAUACCAUGAAAAAUUAAAGUAUAUAAAGAAAUCCGACAAGAUUAUAAAAUUUAUAAACGUGUUGGCAAGAAAAGUUGUGAUGCGAACCUUGUCUUCGGCAAAUUUAAUCCAAAAACGAGCUUGAGCUCUAUCAUAAGAAUCACUUGGCAUCAAGGAGGGAUUGUGUGGCCACAUCUCUUCAAUGUAUUCGAGAAUAACCAUGGACUCGCAAACUGGUUUUUCGCCAUGAACGAGCACUGGUAUCAUCUUGUUAACUGGGUUAUACUUCAAAAGCGAAGCACUUUUGUUGUAGAGAUCUUCUUCAAUGUAUUCAUACGGGAUGCCUUUCAAUUUCAGAGCUCAUACCACCUUGUUGCUAAAUGGACUCGCCCAUCCCCCGUGGAGCUUCACUUCAGCCAUGUGUCUCAGAUCGAAUUUGAAUAUGUUUGCGGUUGUUUUGAUUAGCUGAUGAGUCAUUGCAUACGUACAUCUGAAUUUAUAAUGAUUAUUCAUUAAUAUUGGAAUAUGGAGUGCGCUUGCUUGAGCAGGGAGCUUCAUAUUUCCAACUUAUUUAAUAAAACGAUUAAAUUAAGUUGAAUUCAAUGAACUAAUGCUGCGACUUUUUAACAAUUCUGUUAUAUAUUCAACGAGAAGAGGUAUCGUAUUUGACGGAAAUCUCUUGAAACAGUGCUGAAUUAACAAGUAAUCUUAUUUAAUUUGGUCAACUGGUCAGAUUUGGAUUAAUUAUAUAUUUGGCGUUUGUUUUAGGUGCCCAGCUAGCCCUGCUGCUGUGCUUUUGACUUUACGAUGGGGUGGAGUCGUGGAGAUAUCAUCAUCCCAACUGAAGACAGAUUAUGAUAUUCUCCUGAAAACUUUGUGAGACUCAUUUACUCUACAAUUUUAGCAUUUUAGGCCCAAUAACUCCAUAUAAAUGACGUUUUGUCCCCCGGCUCCAUCUCUUCUAUAUAAAUCCGAACACCUGAAAAAUGACCAGACCGGAACAACUCUCCGUCUUAAGUCUAUGCAAAUUUUACACACAAGAGAAAGAGAGGGAGAGGGGCAGCCAUGAGAGACAACGAUACAGAAAAGAAUAUGGAAGAGAGUUUAUUAAUACCAAAAGAGAGUUUAUCAUCAACAUCCACAACAUGGGAUUUGUUGAGUGGAGAAGUGAAAAAGCAAGGUUACAUAGCAGCACCAAUGGUGGCAGUAACUUUAUCACAGUAUUUGCUUCAAGUUGUUUCCAUGAUGAUGGUUGGUCAUCUUGGUCAACUUGCUCUUUCUAGCACCGCCAUGGCCAUCUCUCUAGCUAGCGUCACCGGCUUCAGCGUCCGUGUGUCCUACAAUCCAUAUAUAGUUAUAUACACAAGAUUGUUUAUUCUUUCUUUUGAUAGGUACUUGCAUCAUUGCAUGUGGGAUUUAAACAAAUAGAUAUGCCAAAUUUCUGAUGUUAAAAAACAUGCAACUAACUAAUACCCUGUUUGUAAAAAUGCCAUUAAUUUUUAAAGGACUUGAUUUGCUCUUUUUUUUUAAAAAAAAAAAUGCUACAGCUAACUUGAAUUGUGUAAUAUUUUCUUUGAAACAGUUAGGAAUGGCAAGUGCUCUGGAAACAUUAUGUGGGCAAGCACAUGGAGCUCAGCAAUAUCAAAGAAUUGGAACUCAAAUUUACACUGCAAUAUUUUGUUUAUUCUUAGUAUGUUUUCCGCUUUCCUUUCUAGGGAUUUACAUGGGAAGGCUGCUAGUUUUGGUAGGCCAAGACCCCCAGAUUUCACACGAAGUAGGCAAGUUUAUAAUCUGGCUUCUUCCAGCUCUGUUUGCUUAUGCAGCAAUGCAGGCGCUUAUUCGAUAUUUUCAGUCUCAAAGUUUGAUCAUUCCCAUGUUCUUAAGCUCCUAUGCCUCUCUUUGUUUGCAUAUUCCCAUCUGUUGGGGUUUGGUAUUCAAGUCUGGACUGGGAAACCUUGGAGGAGCAUUGGCAAUUGGUAUAUCGUAUUGGUUGAAUGUAACUUUCUUGGCAAUUUACAUGAAGUUCUCCACUGCUUGUGCAGAAUCCAGGGCUCCAAUUUCAAUGGAGUUGUUCCGAGGAAUUGGAGAGUUCUUCCACUUUGCUAUCCCUUCUGCAGUAAUGGUUUGGUAUGUUAAUUAUCUUCUGGAGUUUCAUUUUCCCUUCUCAUAGAUAUCGUAGACACGUCAUAAAUUUUCAUGCAUCUUCUUUUGUUUAUAAUUUUGCAGCCUAGAAUGGUGGUCAUUUGAAUUGCUCAUUUUAAUGUCAGGGCUGUUGCCUAACCCACAGCUUGAAACUUCAGUCCUAUCUGUAUGGUAUGUUGACAUAGACUUUGUAUGUGAAAGUUCUAUACAGAGAAGCACCUACCAAAGGAAAUAGAUUUUUUUUCUUUUUUUCUUUUUUUUCCCGACCGCUCAUUAUUUGUCAACUUCUUUGGGCAGUCUCAGUACUAUUCAAACCCUCUCUGCAAUCCCUAUGGACUUGGUGCUGCAGUGAGGUUUGUUCAUAACAAUCAUUUAAAUAAUAAUUAUUUUAUAUCAACUAAUUAGCAGAUUAACCAUUAUUUCCUUCUAUAGUACUAGAGUUUCAAAUGAACUAGGAGCUGGGAAUGUGCAAAGAGCCCGUGUAGCUGUCUAUGCUGUGGUCUUUAUGGCAGUCAUGGAGACUAUCAUAGUAAGUGCAUCUCUCUUUGCCAGCCGGCGUGUUUUUGGUUAUGUUUUCAGCAAUGAGGGACAAGUUGUGGAUUAUGUCACAACCAUGGCUCCUCUGGUUUGUUUGUCUGUCAUCAUGGAUAGCUUACAAGGAGUCUUUUCAGGUUAAAUUAACUUCUUCAACUCUUUCAAUUGCUAAAUAGUUCUCUUUAAGUAGAAAUAAAAUUUUUCAGGUUUCUAAAUUCUUUUUAUUAUUUUUAAGGUGUUGCAAGAGGAUGUGGGUGGCAGAAUAUAGCUGCUUUUGUGAAUCUUGGGGCUUAUUAUUUGUGUGGAGUCCCAACUGCUGCCAUUUUGGGUUUCUGGUUAAAGUCUAGAGGAAGGGGCCUAUGGAUUGGGAUACAAGCCGGUGCUUUUACACAAACACUUCUGCUUGGCAUCAUAACAACAUUUACAGAUUGGGAAAAACAGUUCUGUUUCUCAACAUUUAAUCCCUUAAAAAAUAGAGAAGCUUAUUGGACUAGAUAUGUAAAUAUGUAGCAAUUUUUUUUCCCAACAAGUAUAUGAUACCUUCUGACUGAAAGUUCAAGAUUAAAAUCAUUCAGCUUGGUCUGAAAUGGUUAGUAUUAUCAUCUUAUGCAGAAAUGGUUUUGCUCAUUGAGAAAAUGAUAUUCAAUAACAGACCUGCAAACUCAUUUGAAAAUUUGCUUUUUUGGAAGAAUUAUAACCAUUUUCUAGUUUGUUAAUUGUUACAAGUUCUGUGUUUCUAAGGGGUUUCUCAUGUUGCAGGCAAGUAAAGCAAGGAAAAGAUUAUCAAAGGGAAGAUCUUUUGCAGAUAAUAGAGUAGUAUGUGAGUGACCAGAGUCAAUCAAUGAGCUGAUAUAUACAUUUUCCAGUUGAAAGAGAUAAUCAUUGCUUGAGAAAAUGAGCUGAUCAUAUGUCAAUUGAUGGCCAAGAAGGUCCCCCGAUCUGGUCUAUUGAGCAUGACAUUUCAUGAAACUCUGUUUCUAGAGAAAAAAAAAAAAUAACAGCUUCUUAGGAUUGCAGCAUCAGGUGACUUAGCAUUUCCAGUAUGAAUGAAUUAUAAGAUAGAUGAUGCUGCAAAAAUGAAUAGAGAUAAAAAUUAAGCAAGAGAAAAUGUUUGAAUAAAAUUAUUUAAACCUUUUCCAGUGAUUGUAGAGAUAAUUUCUUUGUAUUGAACACUUUCACCAUCUGAAAGAUAAGGAAAAUAUUAAAAGAAAAAAGAAAAUUCUUAAAUCUUUUCCAUGUCAUUCUAGCAAAGUUGAAUUGUGAUUCUUAACCCUACACCACAAUGUAAGGUGGCCUGUGGCCUGUGGGUAACACACAAUUUGACAACCCCAUAUAUUAAGUAAUCUAGAUGGAGGACAUUAUAUUUUUCAAUUUUUUAAUUUUUGUUCUUUUUUUUUUAAUUCAAACGACACCUCUUUCAUUGUGGCAUUGGAAUGUAUAGAGAUUUGCACACUGAUUUUGGACCAUACUUCACAAAUAAUGCGACGCACAUCUUUCUUUCAGUACUUCUUCAGGAGGAUAAGCUACAGACGUUGUUGUCCUUUUACCUGAAGCAAGUGCAUGUGCAUGAAUUGUUGUUGUCUGUUAAUCUGCUGCCACUUUGCUGCCAAAAAACUUGAAAAAUAAACCGGGAAAAUUUUCAAUAAGCAAAGUCAAACAACUAACCCCUGUUUAAGUUAUAUUCCUAAGAAAACUUUUAACACCAAAUAAAGCACACAGCUAAAGUAUUUCUAUCACAUUAGGUUUCGAGUGAGGUUUGAUUUACAUUUAUAUCAGAUAUACCAAGUGUUUUUUCUUCUUUUAAUUAAUGUAUAUUCCUAAGAAAACUUCUAAUUGAUUAUCCACAUAUAUAAACAAACCUAGCUCGCAAUGUGAAAUAUAUUAAAACAGCAACCAUAAGAUUUUCAAACAUUUAAAUUAACGGUGAUGAUAUUUCCAUCCCAUGAAUUUUAUAAACCCACCCAUUUUUAAAAAAAUUAUUAUAAUCAAUUCACAUUAUUUUUAAAAAAUUUAAAUUAAGAAGAAAUUAAAAAAUUGAUCAAUAAAUUCAUAUUCAUUUCUUUUUUAAACUGUGUUUCUUUAUUAUAUUUAAUCAAUAAGAUUGCUUUAACAUAAAUUAGUAUGACUAUUUUACCCUCAUAAGGUAAAAGUACCAAAAUAUCUAAAAAUUUACUUUAACUUUAAUAAAUUUUUAUGCAAUUUUUUUAUAUUUUAAUGAUGUAUUAGUAAUUGUUAGUACAAUUAUUAUUACUCCACUAAACUAACAAGAUAUAAUUAGGACAUGUGGUGAAUUGAAAAUAAUUAAAUUUUAUAUAAUACAUAUUGGAUUAUAAAAUAUAAAAAAAAAUGUCUAAGCAAUUAGUUACAAUAAUAUAUAUAUAUAUAUAUUUCUUAGAGUAAUUUGGUAAUUUUAUAUUACAAGGGAAAAAUAAUCAAAUUAAAUUUAUCUUGAAGUGCUUCAAAAGUUAAAGAUUGUUAAAAGACUAAGUCGGAAAAAAUAAAAAAAAAAUAUUAUAAAAUUAAUUUAAUUAAUUAAUUAUUUAAAAUUUUUAUUAAUUUAAAAUUUUAUAAAAUAAUAUGAACUUAUUGUAAUUAUUUUAUACAGGUGGACUGGGUUUAUAAAAAUAGCGGGGUGGAUAUACUUACACCCUUGAAUUAAUAGUUAGUAUAAAUUUUAGAUACCCCCCUAAAAUUUGACUUUGCUACACUUAGAGAGAAUGUAAACAUAUAUUGACAAUAUACCCCCUGGUCGUGUAUAAGGGUUAGGCACUGGUUAGGUAGUUGAGGGCAAUAACGUACAUGUUGCAUAUUUUUUUAUUUUUAAAUCUUACAAAAGCUGCUAUACCGUAACUAAUUAGACAAGAGCAGCGAAAAUGCAUACAGUGCUUUGAAGCUAGGGAAGCCCAAGGGGAUAGUAACCCAUUUUCAUUGUCAAUGCCUAGCUUCAUUUCUUCUUUUUUCUCAGCAUAACUUGAUGAGUGCUUAGCUUCAUUUCGAAGGUCGUGACACCAACUGAUUUUAGCAAAAGCAGAGAUACUUUGUGAUGCAGUAAGCUAACAAGUUUCUGAAAUCAGCUAUGUUUUGGACCAAAUUCCGGCGACGACCAGCAGCUGAAAAGCCGGUGAUUAAAGGGCAAUCUAGGUGAGUAAUUCUAUCAAAGCUUAAAAUUGAAGUUAGGUUUUAUUAUUUUCUUGCAUUUUGUUGAAAUUGCUGUUAGUUAGGUGCUUUAUUUUUAGCUCAAAUUAAUUGAGAAAAAUGUUUAGGGUUUAUAGAAAUUGAAGUAGUGACCGAAUAUAUCGGAAUUGAUUUUUGAGUUGAUAGUCACUCAACAUGUUGUGUAAACUAUGAAAAUGAUUUAUUUUUUGAUGAUUUUGGACUCUGGUUUUUGAAUGCCUACUGAAAUUUGCUUGAUCUGUUAUUAAAAUUGAGAAAAAUCCAAUCUUUCUCUAAGAAUGCAGAGGUGUUGCUGAGAAAACGCUUAUGGUGUUGUUUUGUUUCUUUCUUUAUUUUACAAGUGUGCAGUUCAUGUAAGAUUGAGACAGUUGCUCUUGUUGCUUUUUGAUGUUUGUGUGGACUAAUUCCAAUCACUGAUUUUUGUUGGAAAAUGGAUGCUAUUAUUUGUCCUUUUCUUUGUGUAAAAAUUUGUACUUUGUUCCCAACAUAAAAUUCAGAUGCUUGCCUAUUACUUUUUGAGGUUGUUAUUAAGGUGUAAGAGAUAUAUUAGUUAUAGAGCUUGUAGGCAGUUGGUUUAUUGAAGAACUAGUACAGUUGAGAAAGUGUCUUUUAGGUCAUCCAUUUUAAUACACAUAUUAACAGAUUUAAUUACAUAAACACAAGACUUCAUUUGUUUAUCAAAGUAGUACUUUCUGAUGCUUUCAUAUAAUGAAUGCCAAAGAGAUGACAUUUGCAAAAAGGCCAUUUGAAUGUACCAACUGCUAUCCUUGUAAACCUCUAUUGUGAUUCUGUUAUCAUUAUAUGUUGUUUAAUGAUCUGAUGAUUUCGAGAUAUCAAGAUGAGUUUAUUCAUACAAUAAAUGUUGUCAUUAGGUUCAUAAUUAUUGUAGUACAUGUUCAUUUAGCUACUUUAGGUACUGCUACAUGCAUUUAUUGUAUAAUGCCUACUUAGCAGCCAUAACUACACCCAUUGUUGAAGCCGCAGUAGCAAAAAUGAGAAAAAAAACAUGUUUAGGAACAACGUUGUCUUUAUAUCAUUUUAUUUUACUCCAUUUUGUUGUGCUUUUUGCAUCAGUGACUUCAAAUCCUUCCUAUCCUUUUGCAUACUCAUUAGCAGUUCAUAAUUUGCUUGACAUGUUCCUAAACCAUCAAAUAUAACACCUUGGUCGACAUCAUAGCCACAACCAUUUUUGCUAUUCAUACAGCAAUAAUAUAGCUUGUUUGGGUUGUCAUCUGAUUCCGCUACCUUCAUAGCAGCUAUUUUGUAGCAUUUACUGAUCUUGUUUGAAAAUCAAAUGAAUUUAAAAUAUUCUCAUUUAUUGUUUUUUUGUAGCGUUCACUAAUCUUCUGAUAUUCAAUAUUGUUUUUAUAUAAAUUAAUUUAAAAUAUUAUCAUUUAUUUGUCUUAUUAUAUGAUUUUACGCUAUCAAAUUAUUUGUUUUAACAGGCAUUUUGUUCUUUUCAACACUCAAUUGAGUUUUGUCUUAUUAUAAGAAUUUGUAAUGUCAACAACAAUUAUCAUAAGGGUAUAAUAGCCUUUCACCCCCCCAGGCGCAAAAAAAAAAAUUGCCCCAAAUAUAAAGAUCAUCUACAGUGUCAAUUAAUUAUGAAGGGCAUUAUUGCACAUUCACUCAACUACCUAACGGGUGCCUAACCUUCAUACAUGGCCGGGGGUAUGUUGUCAAUAUAUGGAUACAUUCUCUCUAAGUGUAGCAAAGCCAAACCUCAGGGUGGUUUCUAAAAGUUUUCCUAAAUAGUUAAUAAUUUUAUACAACAGAUUCUUGGAUACCCCUCAAGUUCACUUAUUCUACGUUAUGGCUGACUUUCAAGAAAUUAAAUUCUACAUUAUGACCCCUAGGGAAACAACGUAGCCAAUAAAAUUAUAAAAUAUAUGUGUGUAAUAGUUGUCAAACCUGAACCUAUGUCGUUUAGCAAUUUACAAAAUGAGAAAGACGACAAAAGCCAAGUGUUAGAGUGGCAGUGAGCCAACGAGACAAGCUCAAGUUCACUGUGUUUUUGUUGAACCUUCUGAAGACCCGAAACUCGAGGUUUGUUUUUCACGUUCCCUAAUCGUUUGACUACAUUUUAAUUCUGUGCUACGCUCGUUAAGAACUGUUCAGGCUUAUGAACUGUUCAGGCUAAGUGUUCGACGAAAUUCCUAAGUGAGUAUAUAUUCUGUUAUAGAAGGUUUUGCUUUGGGUGGUUAAAUAGAGGAGAUUAGACAUUGAACUUUAUGCACUUGUAUGUUUUCAAGUAAUUGUUUGCUGAGGCACAUGUACUUUGAAUGGCUUCAUUCAUCUACAGAGAUAUCAUAACAUUUUUGCUUAAUGUGAGUCUUAUUGUUGUUAAUUUGUCCAAAGUGAAGGCUUUUUUAACUUUUAUUUCUUUGAUUUAUUUAUUUAUUGGUGUGUCGAAGUUCUGUCUCAACUUUAUUUGAUAAGUUCUUUCAGACUACUAAUUAGAAGAAAAAAAUGCUAGAGAGUGAGUAUGAGAGGGAAUGAUGUUUGGGCAAGGGGUGAUUUGUUCACUUGGCUCAUGAAGGACCCCAACUAUAAUGACAUGUAUCAAUUUCGCAGCCUAAUUGGAAGGUAAGCUCAUUUCUUGAUUUCCUUCAAUUUUCACUUUCAUUUUACUGUUUUCAAGUAGUAGGUAACCUAAAUAAAAGUAAAAUCAGUAGUGAUUUGCUUCAAGUGCAUAUGGAUAGUAUAUCACAUGUGAGAAGAUUGUAUUUGUUAUAUGAAAAUCCUUAAUAACUGUAAUGAAAAAAUAUAUUCUCAAACCUGAUCGUGGAAUGUACUAUUUCUUAAUAUCUGAGUUUGGAUCCACACAUUUUUUGCCAUGCAAUUUGACAAGUUGUCAUGUCCUCAUAUUCUGCGCUAUCAUAAGUUUUGCCAAUCUGCAUAGGUGUUUAAUAGAUUGAGUUAAUCUAGUUUCGAGAGCAUGCCUUACUAAAGGGCAUCGAGUUUCUAAGUGAGGGCAAGCACAACUAUAAUUAUCUAUUUCAUAUCCUCCCUAUCAGCGGGGCAGGUCUGUUACCUCUAAAUUCUUUCAAUAACUUGGGGACGUUAAUCCUAUUAAUGACAGCCACAUAUUAUAAGUCAAGAAAACUGAUUUUUUGAUUAUUGAAAAAUCAAAUUUUUUAUAUUAUUCUAUUUAUGAUCUCAGUAACCUACAUGUUAGUGAAUUAUAAGAAUAUGGAGGCAAAGAACAAAGAAUAUUUCUUAGGAUUUGAGACGUGUUUGCACACUUUCCUUUAAGGUUUUAUUUGCCCUCUCCAAUCUUAGUUUGCUAUAGAGUAUUAAUGGCAAAUUACCCCCAAGAUAUAUCAAAUCCUGAAUACAAUCUCUAGCAAAUAAGAUUGUAUUUCCAGAACAUAUAUAAAACCUACAAAAUCUGAUUUUUAAUCUUAUUGUAUGUCUUUCUUUUUAUGAAUAAGAUGUUUAUUUGAAAGAAUACAUCCAUUAGAAAUGGUACUUCUUCGAAAAAACUCUUUUGGUUUGAAAAUGCAUCGAUUUACAAUUGAAAUCUUUUCAAUCUUGCUAACCGUUUUUCAAUUGACAACUUUCUGGAAAUAAACGGUUAGCCGUUUUCUCAAUAAACGGUGAGCCGUUUAUUCUAGGACAUAAAACAUGCUCUCUGGACUUAAACGGUAAGCCGUUUUCACCAUAAACGGUGAGCCGUUUAUUCCAGAACAAAAAACAUGCUCUCUGGACUUAAACGGUUAGCCAUUUUCUCAAUAAACGGCAAACCGUUUUCGUCCAGAAUAUCAAACCAAACAGACUUGAAAGAUGUUACAAUCUCUCUUACAAUCCCCACUAGAUUGUAAUAUUUUUCAGAUUUAUUAAUGAUAAACUUAUACAUACAAAAGGUAUCUUUCGAUUUUAACCUUUAAUUAGUGAGUGUAUUUCAAAGCAUUUACAAGACAAUAGUGUGCUAAGCAUUAAACUUUGUCUCUUAAGUAAAUACCGGAGAUACAUCACAUAUAAGCUAUCCCAGAUUUCAAAGUUGUGUUCCAAUAGUUAGCACUAUUCCGGCCUUGUGCUCUAUCUUGGAUUCAUGAACAUUUACAAGAUUAAACUAUGACCUUGUUAGAAACGGCACCAUUUCUUAUGUUCACUUAGGUGAAGUUUCAAAUCAUGUCUUUAGCUACUAAAAGACUUGAACUUCAUUAAGAGUAAAUACUCAACCUCAAUCUCGUAGCUAUUUGCACCGAAUAUCUCGAAUGAGAUUAUUUAUUACUCGGUGUCAAACCAGUCACAUAACAACAACUUGUUAUUACCCAUUUAACUAUGGAGUAGCGGUAUAACUACUACAUAGUUGGGUUACCGUCGUUGGUGACUUUAUUAUAUAAAGGUUUCAAUCCCAUUCCAUAAGAUGUAUCCUUAACUAAGUCUCUUGAAAGACCUUUUGUUAAAGGAUCUGCUAGGUUCUUAUUAGUCCUAACAUAAACAAUAUUAAUAACACCAUCUGCUAUUAAUUGUUUCACAUAUUCAUGUCUUAAGCUAAUAUGUCUAGACUUUCCAUUAUACACUUUAUUAUAAGCUCUAGACAAUGUAGCUUCACUGUUGCAGUACAAAGAAAUAGAUGGCAUCGGUUGUGGCCACAACAUUAUAUCAAACAACAAAUUUCUCAGCCAUUCUGCUUCUUUGCCUGCAGCUGCAAGUGCUAUAAACUCACUUUCCAUUAUUGAAUGAGUUAUGCACGUUUGUUUCUUUGAAGCCCAAGAAACCGCUCCUCCAGCAAUUGUAAAAAUCCAACCAGAAGUGGAUUUAUUGUCUCUUGUAUUGGUUACCCAAAUAGCAUCUGAAUAUCCUUCCAGUACUUCAGGAUAAUCAUUAUAAAACAAACCCAAAUUAACGGUCCUUUUAAGAUAACCAAGUAUCCUACCAAUUGCUUUCCAGUGUUCAACACUAGGGUUACUCGUGAAUCUUGACAUUUUGCAAACUGCAAAUGCUAUAUCAGGCCUCGUACAAUGCAUAGCAUACAUCAAGCUACCAAUUGCACUAGCAUAUUCUAGUUGAGCUACUAUUCGGCCUGAAUUCUCUAGUAAUUUAAUACUAGAAUCAUAUGGGGUAUUAGCUUCUUUAAAUUCCAAAUAAUUAAAUUUAAGAAGCACUUUCUCUAUAUAAUGAGAUUGACACAACGAGUAACCCCCACUAUGUUUAUUCACUUUGAUACCUAAGAUAGUAUCUACUUCACCAAGUUCUUUCAUCUUAAAUUGUGAAGUUAAAUACUUCUUUGUAUCAUCUACUCCUUGCAUAUUUGUUCCAAAGAUAAGCAAGUCAUCAACAUACAAGCAUAUAAUCACACCAAAAUCAUUCGUAUAUUUAAAAUAUACACAUUUGUCAGCAUUAUUAUGCUUAAAACCAUGUGAUAAAAUUACCGAAUUCAAUGAAGCAAUUGCAAAUAGCACUCUUAUAGAAGUUAACCUAGCUACCGGAGCAUAUGUAUCGAAAUAGUCAAUACUAUUUCUUUACUUAAACCCUUUGGCUACUAAUCUAGCCUUAAAAGUUUGCAAAGAACCAUCAUUAUUGUACUUUUUUCUAAAUACCCAUUUGCUGCUAAUUGGUUGAGAUCCUGGAGGAAGAUCAACCAAUAUCCAUGUUUGAUUCGUCAUUAUCGAAUCCAUUUAAUCAUUUACCGCCUCUCUCCAAAAAGAAGCGUCUCUAGAAGACAUAGCCUCGCUAAAUGUCUUUGGAUCUUUUUCAAUAUUUAACAACAAUGGUACUUUGUUAAGUACAUUCUUUCUAUCCCCUUCAACCAAGAAAAGUAGUGCUUGUGAUGAAAUAAAAUCCGGAGCUAAACUCUUUUCUUUCUUUUCACGUUGACUCCUCCUUAGUUCGAAAGAUGUCGUAGACUCUUUCCUUUUAUUAUUGUUAGUGGAGGUAACAGGAGUAUUAACACAUGGUUGAUCAAUAAUUGAUUCUGAUUCAAUAUUAGAAUCAUGUUGAAAUUUAUUCUCAAUAAAUUCAACAUCUCUAGAUUCCACAAUCACAUUAGAAUCUAAAUCUAACAACCUAUAAGCCUUGGAAUUUUCAGCAUAUCCUACGAAAACACUUUUUAUACCUCUAGCACUCAACUUUGAUGACUUAGGGUCAUGUAUUUUAUAAAAAGCUAAACAACCCCAGACCCUUAAAUACAUCAAGUUUGGUUUUCUUCCUUUCCAAAUUUCAUAAGGAGAUAUAUGUGUUUUCAAAGAUGUAAUUCUGUUAUGAAUAUGACAUGCAGUGAGUAAUGCUUCCCCCCACAAAUUAUUUGGUAGUUUUGCAUUAAGGAUCAUGGAAUUUAUCAUAUCCGUGAAGAUCCUAUUCUUCCUUUCAGCCAAACCAUUUUGUUGAGGAGUAAAUGGAGCUGAUCUUUGGUGAAUAAUUCCAACUUCCUCACAAUGAUUAUUAAAUUCAAUUGAGAAAUAUUCACCACCUCUAUCACUACGAACCAUUUUGAUUUUCUUAUCUUUUUGGUUCUCAACUUUAGCUUUGAAAAUUUUAAAUUUAUCAAAAGCUUCACUUUUUGUUCUAAGUAAAUACACAUAAGUGUAUCUAGAACAAUCAUCAAUAAAAGUGAUGAAGUAUCUCUUACCUCCUCUUGUUAAAAUGCCAUUAUACUCACAAAUAUCAGUAUGUAUCAAAUCCAAUAUUUGAGUAUUUCGUUCAGCUUUAGGAAAAGGUUUCUUAGUUAUUUUAGCUUGGAUGCAGAUUUCACACUUAUGACCUUUAACAUCAUUGCAAUUAAUCAAACCAUGCUUAGACAUGUAUUUCAAAGAUCUAAAGUUCAAAUGUGCUAAUCUAGCAUGCCAAACAUCACAAGACUCAACAAUAUAAGCUAAGUUGAUAUUAUUAUUAUUAACGCUGAGUUUGUACAUUCCAUCACAAGAAUACCCUUUCCCAACAAAUAAUCCAUUCUUUGACACAAUACAAGUAUUACCCUCAAGCACAAUCUUAAGCCCAUGCUUACACAUACAACUAGCAGAAAUAAGAUUCUUCCUAACGGAAGGUACAUGAAAGACAUUAUACAAUGUGACUUUCUUUCCAGAAGUGAAGUUGAUCUCAACUACUCCUUUCCCUACUACUAUGGCUGCAUUAUUGUUCCCCAUGAGAACCAUUUGUCCUUCCGUUUCUUCUUUGUAUGAUAAGAAAAAUUUCUUAUCAUUACAAACAUGAAUUGUUGCACCCGAAUCGAGCCACCAAUCAUAGGACUUAGUUUCAGCCAUAUUGGUUUCAGUAAUCAUGCCAAUUUGCAUUUCAGAAACCAUAGCACAAAUCUCUUCAGAUUUGUUUUCAAUAACAUUAGCUUUAUGGGAAUUCACUUCUUCCUUUUUCUUCUUGAAUCUGCAAUCACUUUGGCGAUGGCCUUUCUUACCACAAAAGAAACAAUUUCCAGAAAACUUUUGUGUGCUGGACUUCUUGAAUUUCUUGUCAUUCUUGACUUUAAAAUUCUUUGAGAAUUUACUAGCUUCAACAACAUUAACUUUAGUAGAAUCAUGCUUAUCCUUGGAUUCACGAGACCUAGUCUCUUCUUCAAUUACCAAGUGUUUUUGCAAUUCUUCUAAAGUUAUGUUCUCUUUACUAUGAAGGAGUUUCUUUCUAUAAUCAUUCCAACUCUGAGGCAAUUUAGCAAUAAUAGCCCCAACUUGAAAUGAUUCAGAAAUUUCAACUUUUAACUCUCGAAGCUUAGCAACAAUAAUUUGUAACUCAUGUAUUUGAUCAAGAAUGGAUUUUGUGUCUACCAUAAUAAAUUCAAAAUAUUUAGAUACAAGGAAUUUGUCAGUACCUUCUUUCUCCGUUUUGUAUUUGUAUUCAAGAGCAUUUCAAAUUUCCACCGGAGAAGUCAUAGAAAUGUAGAGAUCAUAUAAUCUGUCAGAAAGCGUAUUGAGUAUGUGACCCCAGCAUAUCAAUUCAUCAUCUUCACGACGUUUCCUUGCAGCCUUAACAGCUUCAGUAUCAUCUUCUCUUGGUUCUGGAAAUGGUUCCAAUUUCGGAUCAAGAACAUAUGCCACUUUAAGAACAGUAAGGAGAAAGAACAAUUUUCCCUUCCAACGAGUGAAAUUAGUUCCAUCAAAACGAUCGAGAUGGACACUAGGAUUCAGAAAUGAUGUCAAACUCUUCUCAACCUCCAUUUGCAUAAUAAAACCUUAAAGAUUGUUAGUGAAUUAUAAGAAUAUGGAGGCAAAGAACAAAGAAUAUUUCUUAGGAUUUGAGACGUGUUUGCACACUUUCCUUUAAGGUUUUAUUUGCCCUCUCCAAUCUUGGUUUGCUAUAGAGUAUUAAUGGCAAAUUACCCCCAAGAUAUAUCAAAUCCUGAAUACAAUCUCUAGCAAAUAAGAUUGUAUUUCCAGAACAUAUAUAAAACCUACAAAAUCUGAUUUUUGAUCUUAUUGUAUGUCUUUCUUUUUAUGAAUAAGAUGUUUAUUUGAAAGAAUACAUCCAUUAGAAAUGGUACUUCUUCGAAAAAACUCUUUUGGUUUGAAAAUGCAUCGAUUUACAAUUGAAAUCUUUUCAAUCUUGCUAACCGUUUUCCAAUUGACAACUUUCUGGAAAUAAACGGUUAGCCGUUUUCUCAAUAAACGGUGAGCCGUUUAUUCUAGGACAUAAAACAUGCUCUCUGGACUUAAACGGUAAGCCGUUUUCACCAUAAACGGUGAGCCGUUUAUUCCAGAACAAAAAACAUGCUCUCUGGACUUAAACGGUUAGCCGUUUUCUCAAUAAACGGCAAACCGUUUUCGUCCAGAAUAUCAAACCAAACAGACUUGAAAGAUGUUACAAUCUCUCUUAUACUACAUGUUGCGAUUGUCUUGUAUGGAUCAUUGUUUCUCUUUUAAGCUGUUAUAGUGACAAUUUUUAGCUCUUAUUGCAGUUCUUAAAGUCAUUGCAAGCACAUGCUCUGUCGAUCUCCAUAAAUUCAAAUACAUAUGCAUAGUUAGCUAUUCAAACAACCACACUGGUAUUUAACUUCGAUAUUCAGAAAUAUGGCUGAAGUGAAGCUUCAUGGGGCAUGAGCGAGUGAAUUUUGUUACAGAGUGAUAUGGGCUCUGAAAUUGAAAGGCAUAGCAUAUGAUUACAUUGAAGAAGAUCUCUCUAACAAAAGUGCUUUGCUUUUGAAGCAUAAUCCAGUUCACAAGAAGGUCCCAGUGCUUGUUCAUGACAAAAAAUCAGUUUGCGAGUCCAUUGUUAUCCUUGAAUACAUUGAGGAGAUGUGGCCAUAGAAUCCCUUAAUGCCAAAUGAUCCUUAUGAUAGGGCUCUGGCUCAUUUUUGGAUUAAAUUUGCCGAAGAUAGGGUUUUGCUUCAGAACUCUAGCUAAUGCCUUUAUAAGUUCAUUAUUUUCAUGUUUAUUAGUUAUUAGAGAAAAUGAUCAGUAUCCCCCAUUGUAUGUCAAAAUUAAUUAUUUGUUCUUUUAUGUUUUAAAACCUAUCAAAAUCUCCAUUGUCGUUCAAAAAAUUCUGUUAACCUUCAAUUUUUUUGUCUUUUACUAAUUUUACCUCUGGAAAAAUUUUUAUUAAUAGGAAGUUGAAAGUUUAAUAGAAUUUUUUUAAUGGCAAGGGAAAUUUUGAUGGCUUUUGAAAUAUGAGGGAGAAAAGGAUUAAUUUACCAAAACAACAUUGUGGUUUUGUUGUUCAUUUACCCUUUGUCAUUCAAUGUAGUUGUUAACCUCUAGUAUAAGGGUGCUUGACAAAUGACAAGGAUAUGUAUUGGCUAAGUCUUUUAGUUCAUACAUAUUAUUAAUCAUGUGAUGAUAUUUUGGCGGGGAGCUACUGUUUGGAAAAUGUUUCGUAGCGUACAAGAUCAAGAGAAUACAAUGAAAGAAAUCUUGGAAAUGCUAAAAACCGUUGAAGAACAUGGCUUAGGAGAGAAGUAAUUUUUUCAUGGAGACAAGAUUGGCUUAGUGGACAUAGCAUUUGUUUCCAUUGUUUAUUGGUUGCAAAUCAUUGAAGAUGUAGCAGGAGUGAAACUAUUUGAAUUUCACAAAUUCACUCGCUUGCACGCAUGGUUUGAAAAAUUUAAACGAGUCCCAGAAAUUGAAGAGAACCUUCCUAAUUGGGAUGAACUAUUGGUUUUUUUCAAACGUCGCCGUGAAAAGUUGGUGGCCUCUUCCUCAUUGCAUUAGCACAAAAUUCGUGCAAUUGUAUUGUUGUCAAGAGGCCGCUCUUUGCUUAGUUUUUGAUUAUCUUGUGUGCUCAAUUGGGAGGCCCCGCUUUGCUGGGUACUUUCGUAUGGAUUUGAGUAAUAAUGGGGACUUGACUUUAUAUUUAUGAAUUAUUGCAUGUAUUUCGUUAAUUAUUAAUGGACUACUGACGGUUAUGUAUUGUUUGGGAAUUGUUUGGGAGGAAGUUUAAAAGCUGAUAUAUACUAAUGACUUGAAGAAAAGUCAACUUAUUUGAAGUAAUAUAACUCUAAAAAAUCAGAAGAAAAACUCUUUGUGGAAAAAGAUAGUUCUGGUAAACAUGCCCAGCAUUAAAGGGUAUUAUCGAAACUUAAAUGUGAAUGGUUAGAGCCAACAUGUGAACAGUACACCAUUAUGAAAAGAUUUUUUUUUUCGCUAAGAAUAACAAGCCAAUAGGACUUUAGUGAUUUUUUUUAGAUCUAAUUUCUUGAGAGACUUCUUCAUCUUCUUCUUCCUUUAUGGUUGGGGUUUCUUUCUCCAUUUUAACACCACCAUAGAAAAUUUUAACCAUCUAUCUCCCAAAGAAGCCCUUUCCCUUACUCUUCUCCUGGAAAACUCUCUAAUCUCUAUAAAACUCAUAUCUCCCUCAUGUCAUUAUUCCUCAUAAACAACCUUUAAUAAUGUUUUGUCCAUAUUAUAAUGCAAAUUAUGUAAUACUUCAUUUAUAUAGUGGAUUGGAGAUGAGUUACUCUUAUGGAUGUAGAUCAAAGGGCCGAACAAUGUAAAAUCUUAUGUGUUCUCUAUUGUUUAUGCUUAUUUUCUAUUUAUUAGGAUGAUGAUAAUACUCAAAUCGUAUUCCAUACAUGAGCUCAUAUAGAGGCAUAGCACGAGCUCUAUUGAGCUCCCCAGAUAAGCUCUAUAGUUAAAGCUAUCCUCGAAUUCGUUAGAGCUACUUCCUAAACUCUCUUGAGCUCCCCAAAUCAACUCUUUAAACUAAAUCCCAUGAGCUCCAUAGAGCUUAUCUCGCAAAACACUUCAAUUUACCUCUCAAAUUACCUCAGUUCACCUUCCAGAUCACCUUAGUUAUUUCUUUUGUCCUUAACAGUAGAAAAACACACCUAGAUUUUUACUAGCUCAAUCUCCCCUCAAAUAUAAAUUUAUUUAUUUAAAUUAUAUUUAACCUUGUUCUGGUGAGGACAACCACUAAAUGAUUCAAAUCAGAUCCUAGAGAAAAUCCGAUGAAAACAUGUAUCUAUGUAUAAUAUUUAACAUCACCCUAACAAUCAAUACGAAUGCACUUGGAUUUAUUCUUAAUAGUACACAAAGUGGAAAAAGCAUGACAAGCAACACUUGCACACUCGAGGCUCAAUAUAAGUACAAACGUCAUAAUUCCAAGCAACAAACAAUGACCAUCAUUACUAAUUUUUUCUGAAAGCCACCAAAUUGGAAAAGUACUGCCAAGCAAUUAAUUAACGACUGCGACUUGCCAUCCUAAGCUUAUCCAAUGCUGAGAGUUCAUUAUUCUUCAAGGUUUGGUUAAUGUAAAUAUCUUUUAGAGUAAUUUCAGGGUAGAGCGGAGGAUUUUCUUCUGAUAGCAACUCUUUAAUUGGACCAUAUCGUCUCGAGCAACUAUUAUUCAUGAAAAACUUCCGAUUGAAAUUCUGGAGCCUUCCUUAUUUGAUAACACUCUAUAAUAGGCACUCUUGAACUUAUCGUUGGUAAUCAGCUGCAUAAACACAAACACAUUGGUAAUCAGCUGCAAAAACACACACUUCAUAUAAACCAUAAUUAAGUUAUCUGAUAGAGAUUCAUGCUUGGGUGUUGACGUUUACAUGAAAUUUUGUAAGGACGAUUCUUUCACAGUAUUGUGAAAGAACGUUUCCGCACAAAAUUUAGUGCGAACGUCCCACUUGAGAAUUUUCAAUUUGAUGGAUAGUAUUUCUUAAUAAGUUAUCUAACACACACUUGCCUGCAUCAUGUAGCCUAAGUUUACAACUAGAGUUCCCGGAACAGGGGCAAUGUCAAAUCAUUGAUCUUCAUGAAAGACUUUGAGGCCACCAAUUUGAUCUUGUAUGAGCACAGUGACAAAUUCCGGGUCAGAAUGUGUUGUUAUGCCGAUGGACAAUUCUGGUUGAGGGUAUUCAGGGUAGUAACCAUUCCCAAUAGUCAUUUCCUCUACACAACCUAUGUCUUUCAGGUAAUUGGGGUCAAGCCCUAAAGCUUCGGAUAGAAGUUCAAACAGAGUGUCCCCUAUUUUCCACAUUAGGUUGUUGUAUGCGAUCAUUAUCUCUCUGCAAAUUAAUAAAGACAAAAAAUAAUCACUACUAAAAGAAAGGGAGAAUGACAUUUCGACUUUUAGAAAUUUUUUUUUAUUGGGUUAACAACUAGAUGAAAUGAGAGUAAUAAAAACUUAUUAGGAACCCAAGUGAUGCAAAACAUUUUAAGAAAGAUGCGAGUGUUAUCCACUGUAAAAGAAAUAAAAUCUAUUGGUCAUCGUCCACAUACCUGCAAGCUUCAGGCAAAUCUUCAGGAUUUGAAAAAUCGCGACCCAUAACACAACUCAAAGUAUCUUUCUGUUAAGGAAGCUCAUUGUGCUAAGUUUAUGAAGAACAUGAAGGCAAAGAAGUUCUCAGUCUUAGUCAGUGAAGCAAGUCAAUAGUGCCAGCUCAUCAGUGCCAGAUCAACAGAAUUAGUUACGGGAAUUAACAAGUCAGCAUAAGUUGUUAAUGCUUGUUACUAGUUUCUUUAGCAUGUGUAUGUAAAUAUCUUCAAGUAUAUAAGCUGUAGAAGUUCAGUUGGUAUGUAACGAAAAAGAAUUAAGAAAUAAGAACUUUGAUUUUUCAUCUGUAAAUUUUCUCUUGAAACAAACAGCCUUUAACUUUCUUUCAUGGUAUCAGAGCCAACCAUGGCUAGUUCCAGUACACCUAAUCAAGUUCAUUCCACAAACAAUCAAUUUCAAUCUACGCAAACUUCAUUUACUUUUGCUGCGACUGUAAACUCGAUCGAUCAAAUUUUCUUCUUUGGCGCAAACAAGUACUGACGUCAAUCAGAGGAAAUCGACUUGAAGGAUUAAUCUCAGAAGGUUAGAAUAUUCCAGAACAGUAUCUAUCUCAAUCAAGAGCUGACAGAUCUGUGGAGAAGAUUGAGAAUCCAGCUUAUGUUAAUUGGAGAGCUCAGGAUCAGACUCUGCUUAGCUGGCUUCUUUCAACAAUAAGUGAAGGUAUUCUAAGCUCAGUUCUUAAUUAUGAUACUUCCUUCGAUAUUUGGAGAUCCAUUGAAAAACAAUUUGGAGUUCAAUCCGAAGCAAAAAUAAUGCAACUUAGAUAUGAAUUGGACACUUUGAGAAAAGAAUCAAUGUCAGUUGAAGAAUAUUGCUCAAAAAUGAAAACUCUUGUGAAUAAGCUUGCUUGUGCUGGUGAUAAUAUAACUGAAAAAGAUCUGUUGAUUAGGACUCUUAAUGGAUUAGGAUCUGGGUAUUUGGAUCUAGCUUCCAUAAUCACAGCUAAUAAAAUGAACUUUGAUGAUGCGUAUGCACUGUUGUUGACACAUGAAGCUCGAUUAGAACAGAAUUAGAAUCCACAGCCUAUGUUUAAUGCCAACUAUAGUAUGGUGAAUGCAAAUUAUGCAAAUUCUUCGCAUAUGAGAGGUUUUCCUAGGAAAUGCUUCUAAUGGUCAAUAUGGAGGAAGAGGUCAGUAUUUUGGUCGUGGUAUGUUCUCUACUUCUUAUCCUAGAGGUUUUCCAGCUGGUAAUGGUGGUUUUGGUAGAGGGAAUGAUGUUGCAAGUUUUGGCAGAAAUCAGUUUCAACAUUUUCACAGACCACCACACAUCAGAAAUAUGUUUUCUCACGCACAUAAUCAAAACAAUUCUACUGGUGAACAUAAUGAACUGACACCUAUAUGCCAAAUAUGUCAUAAGCAAGGUCACACUGCUGAUGCUUGCUGGUAUCGAUAUGGUGAUAAUUACCUUCUUAAGAAUUUUGGCAUAGGUAAAAUGAUGGGAUCAAAGGCUGCUUAUAUGGCUAAUUUUGAGUCAUUUCCUUAUCAACAGUCAACAGAGGAAGAUUCUUAUGGAGUUGCAGAUAUUAACUACAGCUAUCAACCAGUGAAUUACUCACCUGUCUCUUCUUAUCAAUCUGAAGCUUUUACUUUCUCGGAAGCUUAUGUUGCUAACCUUGAAGGCUCAUCAGAUGAAGGGUGGUAUCUUGAUAGUCGGGCCACACAUCACAUUACAAAUAACAUGGGAAACAUGCAUGUGAGAGAAGAGUUCAGAGGUGCAGACCAGCUGACCAUUGGCAAUGGACAAGGUGUGAUUAUUACUCAUAUUGGUGAUGCUUGCUUUAGCUAUAAAAGUCUUAAUGCUGCCCACAAACACACACCUAUAGCACUUAAGGAUAUCUUAUUAGUUCCUUCUAUUACUAAGAACUUAAUAAGUAUAUCUAAGUUAACCACUGAUAAUAACCUUUCCAUUGAAUUUGUUGGUAAUGUGUGUUAUGUAAAGAAUUCACUGAAGGGACAAGUACUUCUGCAAGGUCUUGCUGAAAAAGGAUUAUACAAGUUGCUGUUACAAUCAUCUCAGUCAUCUCCUUCCUCUUUCUUGAGUCAAAUUUCUUCAAACAAGCCUCUGUCUAUGCUUUCUACAUGUCAUCUUCAAUUUCCUGUUAUAACGGAUGUCCAGAAUAAAGAUUCAAAGUCUGUAGCUUGUUAUCAAACUGCUGUCAAUUCUUUCUUUCCUUGUAAUGAAUUAGUUAAUAAAGUCAACUUGUUUCAUAGAUGAUUUGGUCAUCCUCAUUAUGAUGUACUAGUGCAUUUACUUAAGAAUGAUCAGUUUAUCAAUAUCUCUACUUCCAUUAUUAAACAAGCUGCACAACAAAUAUGUGAGGUAUCUCAAAUGGGUAAGGUUCAUAGGCUACACUUCCCUGCAACUAAAACCAAAACUUCCCACAUACUUAAACUUAUUUAUACUGAUUUGUGGGGUCCUUCCCCUUAUUCUUCCAGAGUUGGUUAUGUUUAUUACAUCAGCUUUGUUGAUGAUUUCAGUAGGUACACUUGAAUCUAUCCACUGAAACUGAAAUCAGAAGCCUUACAAAUUUUCAAACUCUUCAAACUGCAAGUUGAAAAACAAUUCCAGUGUUCCAUUAAAAAGUUACAAUCUGACUGGGGGGGAGAAUAUCGAGCAUUCACUGAAUUUUUGAACCAAAAUGGAAUUAUUUUUAGACACUCUUGUCCAUACACACAUCAUCAAAAUGAGGUAGUUGAGAGAAAGCACAGACACAUUGUUGAGUUAGGACUUACACUUCUAACUCAAGCUAAAUUACCCUUAAACUUUUGGUGGGAAGCUUUCCAAACCUCAGUCUAUCAUAUUAAUAGGUUGCCUUUUGCAACUUUGAAAUUUCUUACUCCCUAUGAAAAGCUCUUCAAUCAUAAGCCAGAUUACAAAAUGCUCAAGUGCUUUGGUUGUGCAUGCUAUCCUUACUUGAGAGAUUAUAAUAAGUAUAAGUUUGCCUAUCAUUCUAACAAGUAUGUCUUUAUUGGUUACAGUCCUUCUCAUAAAGGGUAUAAAUGUUUGCAUCCAUAUGGUCAGGUCUAUAUAGCUAGACAUGUCAUAUUUGAUGAGCAUUCCUUUUCUUACUCAUCAGAUUCUGUUUUCACUUCAAAUAAUUCAUGUCAACCUCUGUCAUUUACUCCUCAACAAGUGUAUCAUCUAUUCACUUUGUCAAUACCUUCUAAUUCAAAUGACAGUAACUCUUAUAAUCCUGUUUCUGUAAGUUCUACCAGCAGCAGUUCUCAUCAUUCAGUGAAUCAUACACAUAACAAUGACUCUCAGCCUUUGCCACAAAUAUUUGAGCCACAUACAGAAUCUCAUCAUUCCCUGCCUACUCAAUCAUUCACUACCAACACACUCUCUCCAUCACAAAUUUUACCAAACAUCAUUCCACACACCUUUGCUCCAGAAAAUACAAACCAGCAAACACACAUUCCAUGACCACUAGAAGCAAAGCUGGAAUCUUCAAACCUAAAGUCUAUAUUGCAGCACUUGUUCAUAAAGAACCAGAUUCUAUAGAAGAAGCUAUGCAGGAUUCUAAAUGGCUUGAAGCCAUCAAAGAAGAAUACAAUGCUUUACUCCAUAACAAUACAUGCUCUCUGGUUCCAAGGUUAGAUGGUCAGAAGGUUGUUGGUAACAAAUGGGUGUAUAGAGUUAAAUAUAAUUCAGAUGGAAGCUUAGCCAAGUACAAAGCUAGAUUAAUAGCUAAGGGAUUUCAGCAAAUUGAAGGGGUCAACUAUUUUGAAACAUUCAGCCCAGUGGUGAAAUCAACUACUGUCAGAGUGGUAAUCAAUUUAGAUGUUAUGAACAAAUGGCAUAUAAGACAGGUAGAUGUAAAUAAUGCUUUUCUUAAUGGAGAGUUGACAGAAGAGGUAUUCAUAGAUCAACUAGCAGGCUUUGUUGAUGAUAAGAAGAAAGAUUUUGUGUGUCAGCUUCAUAAGUCACUCUAUGGUCUUAAACAAGCUCUAAGAGCUUGGUAUGAGAAGCUGAAGAGUUGUUUACUGCAGUGGAAUUUUGUAAACUCAAGAGUUGAUCCUUCUCUGUUCAUAAAGAAAACAAGCUCAGUCAUGAUAAUGGUAUUGAUUUAUGUAGAUGACAUUCUAGUUACAGGGCCAAACAGUGCAGAAUUAAAAUCCUUUAUAGCUGAGUUCAGUAAAGUUUUUGCAUUGAAGGAUCUAGGUAAGUUGUCUUAUUUUCUGGGCAUAGAAGUGUUGUAUGAUGCAGGCUGUAUAUAUUUGUCACGAAGGAAAUACAUACGAGACCUGCUAUCCAAAGUGCAGUUUCUUGAGUGCAAAGGUACUGACACACCCAUGAGCACUGGUCUUAAGCUACAAAAGGAAACUCAAGGUGCUCCUACAAUGAAACACCUUCUAGCUUGUAAAAGAGUUCGUAGAUAUUUGAAAUCUACUCCAAAUUUUGGACUCAAGUUUGUUUAACAUGAAGAGAUGAAGAUUACAGGAUUCACUGAUGCAGAUUGGGCUUGUGAUCUUGAUGAUAGAAAAUCUAUUGGUUCUUAUUGUGUUUACUUAGGGAACAAUCUGAUAUCCUGGUCAUUUAAGAAGCAGUCAGUCAUUGCUCGAUCAAGUGCUGAAAGUGAAUAUAGAGCCUUAGCUUCAGCUAGUGCAGAGAUAAGCUGGUUACAAUCCUUAUUUUCUGAGAUUGAUUUGUGUUGCACAGAAAUUCCUACCAUUUGGUGUGACAACAUUAGUGCCACUGAAUUAGCUCGCAAUCCUGUCUUUCAUUCACGAACAAAACAUAUCGAGCUUGACAUUCAUUUCAUCAGAAAUAAAGUGAUUGCAGGGGAGCUGACAAUUUAGUACAUUCCUAGUGAAGAACAGAUAGCUGAUAUCAUGACCAAGCUUCUCUCUUUGGUUCACUUCAACUAUCUAAGGAACAAACUCAAUGUGCAGCCUUGCCCCUUGAGUUUGAGGGGGGCUGUUAAGGAAGCUCAUUGUGCUGAGUUUAUGAAGAACAUGAAGGCAAAGAAGUUCUCAGUCUUAGUCAGUGAAGCAAGUCAAUAGUGCCAGCUCAUUAGUGCCAGAUCAGCAGAAUUAGUUACGGGAAUUAACUAGUUAGCAUAAGUUGUUAAUGUUUGUUACUAGUUUCUUUAGCAUGUGUAUGUAAAUAUCUUCAAGUAUAUAAGCUGUAGAAGUUCAGUUGGUAUGUAACGAAAACGAAUUAAGAAAUAAGAACCUUGAUUUUUCCUCUGUAAAUUUUCUCUUGAAACAAACAGCCUUUAACUUUCUUUCACUUUCCAAAAGAGGGUUGGUGCACUAUACAAAUUUAAAUUUGAACAAUAUUUAAUUUUUUUGGAGUAAUCACGAGAAUAAUAUUUCUGCUUAACCUCAACAUCUUGUUGAAAAAAAGCUACGGAUCCCAUCAAUGGCCUGAUCCAAAAUGCUUGUUGGGAUUCCAUGAUUGAUCACUUGAAAGAAACCCCACUUCUCACAAGCACUUCUAAUUUGGUCAAUUACCUGAGAACGCAAACUUGAAUCCUUGAGUAUUCUUUGAAGGUCUAUGAUAGGGAUGCUGAUUUUGGGGUCCCUGCAGAUUGGCUUAUCAUCAAACUUAUGUUUAGUGUGACGAUCUUGAAUGAUGAUCUGUGGAAUGGUUGUGAUCCCAGCAUCUACGAGUCCUUUAACACCAGCUUUUGUGUCAUCAAAAGCUUUCAACUCGCUAACUCUGUCACAAGUAAUGCUUCCCAUUGCUUGGUGAAUUAUCUUUUACCUGGUGAAUUAUGAAGUACAAAUGCUGACUUGCGGGUGAUUGCUUUUGGUAUAUGCCGUUUAUAUGAUAUGAUUCCUAGCUUGCCACGUGCAACAUGUUGAAAUAUAACGAUAGCAUGAAGAUGUGGAAAUUUGUAAAAUUUGAUCCUGCGUUAUUUAUCAUGAUUAAAUUAAUUAUAAAUUAUCAAUAAUAGUCAAUUCCGGGGACCACCAAUUACUGGGUGGCACAUCACAAUAAUAAAUUAUCAAUAAUAGUCAAUUCUGCAUUAUUUAAUAUUUAUGUGGAUAAAAUUUCAAUUAGCUACACUACAUUGUUGUUUGAUAGUUAACGUUUCACCUUCUCCAUUUGUAAAUAUUAUUAUGGACUUAUAGUGUGGCUUAAAAGCUAGAUCUUAAAUGAAAAGAAAGCUUUAAUGGUGAAAUAAAAAUUUAAAUAAAUGAUAAAGGGAUUAAAGGUUAACCUAAUGUUAACAAAAAUAAUUGUAAAAUAUACAUGUUUUAUCAUGUUAAUUGAUGUUUUUCCAGUAUGCACAUAAAAAAGAUCUAUUUUACAAUUGUUUCUGUUGGCGUUGGGGCAGAUUUUUUUUUAGUCUAAUUAAGUAUAUCAUAAGUUAAUAAUAGUGCGUAUUUUAACUUUAAUAAAUUUGGCCACUUAGAUUUUUAAUUCUGACUCCUUCCCUAAUCAAUCAAGAAAAAGAAUGCUUUUCUCCAUAAAAAUUAAAAUAGAAAAUUCAGCAAGGACAUAACUGCGGAGAUGUUUGAUCCUGGAUUUAUAUAUCAAAGCAACAUCAAAAUUAUAAUAAUACUUCCUUGUUACCGAGAAGAGAUAUAUUCAAGAGCACUAGCCUUAUAAAGCCUUAACAAUACUAAACUACCUACAUGGAAUCUAAUGCGUACAUGCAAUGCUUUCUAAAGUGAAACUGUCGCUUGAAAAUAGAAUUCAUGUUCAGCAGCCUCCCUCUAUCCGAGCUCCAAUUUUAUAACAAGGCAGCUAAAUAAGAUGAUUUAGAUGGCAUCGGCAUCUGUAGUAUCGUUUGUCUGUAGUCCCUCAUUAUCUACGAUCUGAUCGCUCCCUAUAGUAUUGUUUGUCUGUAGUCCCUCAUUAUCUACGAUCUGAUCGCUCCCUAUAGUAUUGUUUGUCUGUAGUCCCUCAUUAUCUACGCUCUGAUCACUCCCUAUGUAGAGGAUCGACAAGAGAAAAUUGUAGCACACGUUCACAGCACUAAUAACUGUUAAACUCUUAUAGUACUUGUCAAUCCUACUAUAAUCCAAGGUUUCAGCAAACUCGCCUUUGUUUGCCAAAAUGAAAAAGAUGUUAAAAAUGCUUCCAAUUCCGACGAAAAAAUAACUUAUUGCUGAUACAUGGUACUCCAUCCGUUCAGGAAAAUGAGAGCUCGAGUAUUCAUCACAUCCAUACCAAGCAAGCCCUUCCAUAAGACCUAAUAGACAGAAUUGUGGAACAAGCCAAAACAUGCUCAUAUUUUCCAAUUGUUUGAGCUUUUCCAACCUGCGAACCUCAACCUGCCAUGCCACUACACAGCAAACUGUAGUCAUCACAUUUCCAAUGAAUGUUCUCAACACUUGAGCUUGUCUCUUUUUAGUUUUGGAACAAAAUUGAAAUUAAAUUUUUUGACAGGAUAAGAGAUCGUUGCACGAUUUAUCCCUUUAAAAGUUCGUAGAANNNNNNNNNNNNNNNNNNNNNNNNNNNNNNNNNNNNNNNNNNNNNNNNNNNNNNNNNNNNNNNNNNNNNNNNNNNNNNNNNNNNNNNNNNNNNNNNNNNNCAGAAAUCAUGUUGGCUCCCUGCUCAGGAAAAAAUGUAUUUCCUGCUGACAGAACCAAUCCAAACACAAUGAAGCUAGACCACAAUGGCAACAAUUUAAGAAGAGAUUUUGACUCCCUGACGUGGGCCACAGUGCAAAGUGUGCCUGCCUCUUCUUGUUCGUUAGAAGUACUUGAUGUCUCUAUAAUUGCCGCUUUGUCUAUCCAUCUGCAAUUCAAAGAAUUAAUUUAUUGGUAAUUUUUUAGGAAAAUAGAAAGCGACAGCUCAUGGUUUGGCAAAAGGAUCACCCAGACGCGUUUAUAAAUACGCCCUUUUGGACAAAUCUUGGAGGUCGGUGUGACUAUUCCCGAACACAAAAGGGUAUUAAUGUGUCCAUAAAGAGGUUUAUAUAAUUAUUAAUAAAAAUAAGAGGGUCUCCCCGACAAUUUUGCCAGACCACGGGCCGGGUGUGGGUGUAUACAUGUUAGGCAUAUACCUGAGUAAUUUGAUUCUGGGUGACAAGUGUAAUACGUUUCCCUCAUCAUUACUGAAGAACAGCUCCGGAGAAAGAGGAUAAUUGAGAUGCUUUUUCUUCAGGGAGGUUUUAAUAACGCGGAUUAUAGCAAAACGGUCAAUAGGAGGUAUUUGUCUACUAUGAUAAAAGGGAAUACCCAACAACAAGAGGAUCAAACUGCCCCCCAUAAACAACAAUGUGAACAUGAAAGUCUUCUUCCAUGUCUUAAUAUUAUUUGCAUAGAAUGCCGCAGCUGCACCACAGCACCAGGCAAACCGCCACCACACUCUUUUCUGAGCCAUUACUUGAUCCUCAUUUGAAUUUUCUGUUCUCCCUCCUUUACCAUGUUCUCUUAAUUGAUCGGCAAGAAAUGGUCCCAAAAGAGGCGCCGCUCCAACUUCACCCACUGCUAACAGGAUAAUUCCUAUCAUGUUGAGUAGCUCAAAGUUGGUUUCUGAAAAUUCUCUGGACGCUGUACAGAACAAUAGCCCCAAUGCCUGAAACGAAAAUUGUUGGAACUAAUUCUAUAGCAUGACAUUAUGAUCCUAGAAAUGCUUUUCUUAAUCAUUAUUAUAAUCAAAGUGGAGCCAAAAUGAAUUAAUGUCACAUCAAUUGUAAUUUAACUAUUGAGAUCUCUAGCAUUAUUUUUAUAAGGGUAAAGCUCCUAAUAUCCUCUUAUUAGGUAUGUGUGUGUGUGUAUAUAUAUAUAUAUAUAUAUAUAUAUAUAUAUAUAUAUAUUUACAUGCUGUGAAAUUUAACAUUUACUCCAAAAUAAUAAAUUUUUAAUUUAGCUCAAAGUACUAUAAAGUCCUGGGUCCGCCCCUGAAUAUAUAUAUUGCUUGCAAGGAUAGACAUAUGUUUUAAUUUCGUCUCUGUUUAGAAGUUUAGCAAAUUCAAAACAUAUUAACUUACAAGGAUGUAGGAGACAGUUGAAAAAAUGAGGAUUCUGAGAGGACGAAUGGCAUAACACGAAAUCCAGGCGGCAACAAUCGUAAGAGUUGCUAAUAUUACAUCCUGAACACUCGUAAAUAUUGCAGCUUUCUGAAGUGUGAAUACUUUUGAAUAUUCGGAGUCGGAGAAGUAAGUUAUCAAGACGCCCACUAUAGCCAAGUCUACGAGUUUGCGGCUUAUCAACAAACCUGGAAUCAAAAUAAUCAUUAGAAAAAAUGUUCGUGCUCACUAAAAAAAGCUUACACAUGAGGACUGCAAGAACAACGUGAGAGAACUAUUGUCAUGUUUUUAUAAUUUAGCCCAACCUAAUCAAAGAUCUUAAGUACACCUCUCUUAACUGAAAUUAUUCUAGGGGAUUAUCUAUUUAGGAAUCUCAAAGUUCAUGAGCUCUUAAUACAUACACACAUACAUAUACAUACAUACAUCAUCAUGUUGUUAAAGUAAUGAUGUUAGUAAAAUACAAAAAAAAUAUAUGUACAUGUAUUAAAUUGUAUGGUUUAACAGAAUUAGUACAAAUAAAUAAAUUACAUGAUUUUGUAGUGCAUUGAAAAUUAAUUCUAUUAAACUAUACAAUUUACUAGUGUGUCUCCAUUAAAAAAAAUAAAGACCCUCAUAUAUAUAUGUAUACAAGUUUAUGUUCUGAAUAAAUACAUUUUUAAAAGAUAGGAUUACCUAAGGCCCCACAUGCAAAAUUACCUGACAGAAAUGGAGCAGCCUUACAAAAGCAGACGUAAUAUCGUACCCAAGUUAUGAACCUGUUUUGAAGCUUCAACGGCUGAGAAAAUGGAAACAUUGUAGUUUCUGAAACUGCUUUUAUCUGCAAAGACUUCUACUCGUGAGUUGUGAAUCCCGAGACGAUGAAGAUUUUGUAAUUAUGCCAAAGUCUUUUAGGUAGUUUAUUCAAAUUAAAAAAUAAUAAGUCGCACUUCAAGACCACCUAUUGGUCACAUAAGUCUUUUUUUUUUCUUGUUUUGAGGGUUCUAAAAAGUUAGUUUAUUCAAAUUAAAAAAUAAUAAGUCGCACUUCAAGACCACCUAUUGGUCACAUCAAGACCACCAUUUGGUCACAUAAGUCUUCUUUUUUUUCUUGAAACUUUAAUCCAGCUAGGGAUGGCAAAAAUCCCCACGGGGACGGGUACCCUCGGGGAUUUUUCCUAUUUGGGGAGGGUAUGGGGAUAAUUUUAUACCCAAUUUCUUAUUCGGGGAAGGGACGGGGAAUUUUUUUUACCCAAUUUCUUAUUCAGGGAGGGGACGGGGAUGAGGUGGAAUCCCCAUCCCCUACCCAUUUCCCCAUUUUAAUUUUUAAUUUAAUUUUUAUUUUUUAAAAUUACUAGUAAAUAAAUUAUAAAAUUUGAAUUAUAAAAUUAUAAGUACUGAUAAAAAUAAAAAAAUAUCAAAAUAUUUAUAUUAUUAAACUUUUAGGUCUAAUUAACUAAUUAAAGUCCUAAAUUUUUAUUUAAGACAUUAAAAAGACCGAACAGAUUCUAUUAGCUCAAAACUUUUGUUUUAAUUUGAAUAUUCAUUAAAUAUUUUAAACUUAAAUCUAUUUUUUAUUUAUUUUUAGAUGUUAUAAUUGCCCAUAGCAAAUCACAAUUUUAAUAUCUAAUCUAAUAUAAUAUUUGCUCUUGAUUUGCUUCGACUUAAUUAUUGUGCUGUAAAGGGAAUAGUCCACAUUUAUAAAAUGCCCACGCCACCAUUGAAAAGUUAAUUUUGAAUCUAAAUUUGAUUUUAUUUGUAACAAUUUUGUAUUAGGCUAUUAAUUUGUUCAUGAUAGUUUGUAUCCCUUGCAUGUUGCGUUACUUACUAAUUUAAUGUAUGUGACUUUUGUAAUGGAUACUAAUGUAAGAUAUAUUUCGAACUUUACUUUUAUUUGAAUUUUUUUAUUUUAAUAUGAUUAACUCAAAAUCGAAAACAAAAAAAAAUGUAUUAGUUAUUCGGGGAUCGAGGACCCUCGGGGAUCCCCUGUUAUUAUUCGGGGAGGAGAUGUGGAUUCUCUUAAACAAUUUUGAUGGGGAUGGGGAGGGGACGGGGACAUACGCAAAAUAUCGGGGAUGGGUACGGGGAGAUUGGUCCCCUCCCCUCCCCUCCCCAUUGCCAUCCCUAAAUCCAGCUACGGUCCAACAGGUGCACCGUGCCCCUCUUUUUGACAGCACCCCUUACUUUCUUCUGUAUUUACAGUUUAUUAAAGUAAUUUCUUUUUCCUCUUUCUUUCACCCCUCACCUUUACAAUCUUCCAAUUUUUUCCAUUUUCAAUUAAACCUGUAAUCAACCAAUUGCAAGCAAUAAGAAAGAAGUUGGCAAGCUAUUUCUUUAUGACCUUAGGAUUCAUUUGCUCUAUAAUACACAAGUAAUAAUGAAUUGAAGUUUUUAUAUAAAAAAAUUACAUAGAUGUAAUUUUUUUACGCACACUAUUUAUCAUCUACAAUGAAAUUAACAUGUAAGUAAAUUGAUUUUUUUAUCUUUUAUUAUAUGUAUUCUUCCCCUUUCUCCCCCGUAUGUCUUUUCAUUUUCUCUUUGAAUAAUCUAACCUAAGGCUUUCUAAUAAUUGGUUUAUUGUUAUUAUUUUUAUAAGUAAACCUUCUCUUUGUUAUGUCAAUAGGUUUAUUUUUAAAAAAAAAUUCGUAAAUGACCAAAAGUGAGAACCUUAAUAAAAAUUCAAAACCUAUCUUAGUUUUUGUUGUCUUUGUUGAUGCAUCUUGCAUGUUUGAUGUCUUAAUUAUAACUAGUGAGAGUAAGUACUGUAAUACAAUGAUGAUUAAUGAUUAUUACUAAGAGUAUUCAAAGAAAAAGAAGUUGGUGUAAAAUUUUAUAAACUUUGAGUUUUCUAAAUUUUCACUAAACAAUAGGGAUUGCAUUAUUAAUAACUAAAUAAACACAUCCAUAACCUUGAAACUACAUUUGUGUUAGAUCCAAUGGUGGCAGUACAUAAAGACAAAAAGAGGGGCAUGGUGCACCCCUUGCACCGUAGCUGGAUCCUUUAGUCACAAAAUAAUGACUUACUGUACAGCUCAAUAAUUUUAGGUGGUAUGAAACACGUAUGAUGAGACGGUCAUAAUUACACUGUACCAUGAAUGAUCCUCAUUGAGUAUAUAAUCCCUUUCUUUUUUCAAACAAGAUUUAUGCUUUAAUUUUGGGAGGUUUGCUAAGUUCUUUCUCUUUGUAAUGGUUACGAAGACUGACAAUUUUCUAUUGAAGUUAUUUAUACAUGUAUUUCUUUUUCAGCAUGUAAUACAUUUAGGAAAUGAGUAAUGAUUAAGUACAAACACUUUUAGAUAAACAAUGUUGUACGAACUUAUGUGAUAUUUUUAGAAAAAAGGAUCUGAACAUCCUUAAGAUUUUAAAAAAUGGUCAUAUAUACUUUGAGUUUUCAAUACGGAACAUCAAGACACUUUUUGACUAUAGUAUUUUUAAUAGAUAAUAAUAAAAAUAUUGAAUUUAAACAUUUUAAUAAAUAUAAAUAAAAUAUAAAUAGUUUAAUAUGUCUAGUAGACUAAUAAUAUUAGAACGUUUCUUAAUAUAUAAAUAAUUUUUAAAAGAUAAAUUAGUAUAUUUAUUUUAAUAAUAUAUUUUUACUUAUUAUAAAAAUUGUAAAUAAAUCUUUAGGUUAGAUAGAUUUUAAAUUUAAUAAAAUACAUGUCAUGUACUAAUAAUAUUAAAACUAUUUUAUAUAAUAUUGAAAAUAAUUUAAAUUUUAAAUUUUAAAAUUAUGCUUCGAUUUAUUUUGAAAUUUAGUUUAAUAUAAUUUAAUGUUGUAAAGUAUUAAAAUAUUUUAAAAAUAUUGAAAUUAUUUUAAAAUGUAUAUAUUGUUACAUUUAUUUUAAUAUGAUACUUCUAUUUAUUAUAAAAUAUUAAAAAUAAUAUUUUAAUUAAAAGGGAGUUUUGGUGUCUCUUACUGAAAAAUAGAGUGUACAUAAUCAUUUUUUCAAAUUUUCAAGGGUGUAUAUGUCAUUUUUCUUACUUUUUUUAUAAUCAAUUGAAUAAAAAAAAGUCAUAUGGCCACAUAAAUUAUUUCUAAUUUAUAUUUUCAAUCAACAAAUCAUAAUGUGUCAUAUCUAUUUGUAUAAGCAUUUAUGAACAUAAAAAAUUAAGUUUAGGCACUAGUCUGGUUGGAAAUCAACUCAUCCAACCCAUGUAUAGUGCUAGUUGGGUGAGUUGGACUUAUCUCGAAGACCCAUUUUCUGUCUUUGAAAUAUCAAUAUGAAAUUAAAAUAAUUAAAAAAUAAUUUAAUUGAAACAACUAAAAAUAUAAUACAAAAUUACAAAUAAUAACUAUCCCUCAAACUUCAUUCUUAAUAAAAAUAAUUAUUUGUAUAGGAUCCUAAUUACACCAUAAAAAGUAAUAGGAUGAAUUCAAGAGUUGGGUUUGAAAAUUUUCAACACCUAGUAAAUAUAGUGCAUUUUCUCCACCCCUAUGAAAUUAGGGGUUGGCUUUCUACUUGAUUUUAAGCAGAGAAAAUUAUCAAAACUACCUUAUUGUUUGUUGAAACUAUAGGGUGAAUUUAAGAGUUGGGUUUGAAAGAUGCAAUAUGUUCAUAUGUAUAUAUGAACAUAUUGCAUCUUCACUAUCUUAUCCCCAGAAUUUUUGCACCAAAUCAUGGUACAAGAAUAAAAAUUCGCAACUCGAAUCAACAAAGUAUAUCACUAAGUUAUUCUGCAAGCCGCCAAAUUGGAAAAUGUCCCAAAUAAUUAAUUAACCACAGCGACUUGUAGCUUAACUUUUUCCAACGCUGAGAGUCCUUCAUUCUUCCCUAUUGAGGAUUGGUUAUUGUAAACGUCUGUUGGAGUAACAUGGGGAUAGUGCGAAUGAUUUUUUUCGGAUAGCAACUAUUUAAUUGGACCAUAUUGUCUCGAGCAACUGUUAUUCAUAUAAAAAACUUCCAAUUGAAAUCGUUGAGCCUCGCCUUCUUGACAACACUCUGUGAUAGGCACUCUUGAACGCGACACUGGUAAUCAGCUGCAUAAACAUAUAAAAGAACACUAUAAUUAAGUUAUAUGAUGGAUUCAUAAUAGUCAAAGUUGUGCAUAACAUCUACUUGCCUGCAUCAUGUAGCCUAAGUUUACAACUAGAGCCCCGGAAACUGGGGUAAUAUCAAACCAUUGAUCUUCACAAAAGACUUGGAGGCCACAAUUCGAUCUUGUAGGAGCAUAGUGACAAAUCCAGGGUCAGAACGUAUUGUUACGCCAAUUGUCAAUUUCGGAUGAGGGCUUUCUGGGUAGUGACUAUUCCUAAUAGUCAUUUCCUCUACAGAACCUGUGUCUUUGAGUAACUGGGGCCAAACCCUAAAGCUUCAGACAAAAGUUCAAACAGAGUGAAUUAGCAAUUGACGUUGUUGGAGAAAAAUAAGUUUUUAUUUUUUUUUAAAAAAAAAAUUUUUUAGAGUCGAUCUCAUACAAUAUAUAAGAAUUCAUAAUUUAGAAAUUGUACCUUGAAAAUAUGAGAAAAUGAACAAUCUUUGCUUUUUCUACUGAAGUGAAACUAAGCUCCCAGAUCACGAUCUGUCACCACCACACCUGUUAGAUCACAAUAUGUCACCACCACGCUUGUUAGAUCACGAACUAUCACCAAUGAUUUUCUAGAUUAUGACUCAGGUUUGAUCUGCACUUGACGUGUGGGUGCCUUUAUCACUAUCAAUAGCAAUUAGUAGGAGAAAAUUUUUCUCUCAAGAUUAAAGAGAAAAAUUCUUUUUCUCUGAUCUGUAUAAUGUGGCCUUAUAUCUUUUCAAGAGAAAAUAAGCCUUUUUAUAUCUUAUCUAGUCGAAAUCCUAAGCUUUAUAUUUUCUAUUUUUUAAUUCUAUUAACACAAGGCCCCUUACACAUAAGCAUAUUAUAUGGAGCCUCCCACUAAAUAAUAUAUUUAGGCUUUUAACCCAAAUAACUAGUUAUCUUGCUUAUUAAUCCAGUAACAGCACAAUCAAUUAAAUGAGCUAACCCAAGGAUCAUUUGAGAACAUACAAUAGUGGCUACAAUAAUUAGGCUUGUAAUCAAACUAGCCCAAUUAUUUAAUUCCAAAUCUACUCCACUAAAAGAUUGGAACUGACCUCCACAAUUGUAUGCUUGAAUAAUAAUUUAUCCCAAGCAACAUUGAUUUCUUUACUGCACAAUCCUUUGUACCACAUCAUUAAUUAAAUCGAUAUCUCAACUGUCCAAUCAAUUUAACUACAUCUUGUUCCUUGAUUCUUACUGGUUUUCUCUAAUGAUCAUUUUCAACAUACUAAAUAUGUCGACACACUCUGACCAAAGAAUUCUAUGAUCAAGUGCCGAAAACUCAUCAAGAGAUGUGUUGUACAAAUUCUAUAUUGUCAAUCUAUAACUCCAAUACUCAUAAUUGCUCUCAUCAAGAUACCAGAUAAUCUUGACUACAAGUAUGUGUCGUGCCCAUUGGUAAUUCAAAUGGAAUAACAAUUACAAUCAUGAAAUCAUAAUUAACUCAAGAUUAAGAUUACAGUAAAAUCAAUGUCUAUGAGAUUUAAUAAGUCUGACAGUAAUUACAAAGUUAAUUAAAUCUCAUAUGUUAUCUUGUUCAAUGUAGUCUUACUACAUCAAUAAAUUCAUACAUGAAUAAGACAAAUCAUUCAAUGAAUUCAUUACAGUCUAUACCUAAAUAAAGUACCCAACUUUAUUUAUCAACUGCGAAUUAAAUUUAUUUAAUCAUAAGAUAACUUGUAUUUAUGUCUUCUGUAAUCCACAUGGUGAUUCUUGUGCAAAUUUAUUGAACUCGCAAGUGCACGAAUAUAUUGUAGAAUAGAUUAAUGGUGACAAGUGUCGAUCCCACGAGAAAGUGGAUUUUAAUUAUGUGUAAAAUUAAUUUUCUAUGAGGGUGGUUGGAUUUGUGGUGAAAAUGAUUUGGAAUAUUCUAAACAUUAAAUUAGAAUGGCAUGAAUAAAUUAAAGCGAAAUCUAUUGAAAUAAAGCACUUGGGUAUCUGGAUCUGCAUUAACAUGCACCAUGUGCUAAAUAUUCUUUAGUAAUGCCAAUUAAAUCAUGAGAGGGGUUUCUACUCCUCAUGAACCACACUCUAAUCAAUAUGGUGUUAAGGGCUUAUCGUGGCAAACAAUAAUAACCUUGUACUAGGGAGUCGGUUAAAUCAGUGCGGUAUCUAGACAAGAUUAUUAUUAUUUGUCGACGAAAAGUCAAAAUAUCAACAAUAAUUAGAGGAGAAGAGAAAGUAAAUUUACUAAAUAAAGCCCAUGACACAUGUUGAGACUUCACCAACCCAAACUUGAAAGAAAAUUAGCUACUUAUAAUUGAACUAAGGGUAAAAUGAGAAUUUAUUAAAAUACAUAGAAAAUACAAGAUGGAGAAGGAAUUACAGAAAAUAGGCUAAAAAAUGAAUUUAAAAAUGCCAAAUUAGGGGGGACCCCCCCUUUUAAUAGAUACACUGAGUAAAUCAUGGCCAUCAGAUUAAAAACAUUUUGGACGCUCAAGAUUGCGCCAUGUCAUCGGUCAACAGUACGUGGUUUGACCACAUGGUUUGGUUUUAAAUAAUCUCGUGUAUAUGCAUGUACCGUACGCACUAUUUUUGAUCCACUAACAUGCUGCCACGUCACCGAUUAACAGUACAUAAGAAUUUUAGUCUAAUAAAAUUGUAACAUCUCAUCAGUCAAUGUCACGUCAUCGUUUCGUAUAUGUGAACAUUGUCGUGAACAGUAACAUGGACAGUAUCGUAUCUGUGAAUAGUACCGUAUAUGUGAACAGUUCCAUUUUUCCUUUUAAACUCCUCCUAAGAUUUUCGACUGUCCUGAUCUUAAAAGUGAUGUCUGUUUUGCUGUAUGAUCUCUCGUUCAUUGUAAAAUGACCAUGAUGCCCCUAAAAUACAUAAAAUAUUUAAUUAUAAUAUAAUACACAUAAUUAAAUCACAAAGAACUUAAAUACAUAAAAGUAUGAAUGUUAGUGAAACUUGAAGUGUAAAAUGACGAUUUUCUCCUUCAUAAAUAUACACUUUCUAACACUCAAAAGUGAUCACAUAAAUACAUAUAAUAUGAUUAAAUGGACUUUAAUCAAAAUAUUAAUGCAAUUAAGAUAUUUGAAUAAAAUACCUUAUUUAUUUUAUUAAUCAGAAAAAUUAUUUAUUACAAUUAAAUAAAUACUUAUGCUUUUAAAGAGCAUAUUUUCCCAACAGGCGUAUCUCAUAAAGCCAACUUUGGUGGUUGGGGUAUCCUGCCGUGCAACGCUGUAUCUCUUAUAGUCAACUUUUACGACUUGGACAAUUUGUAUUUUACCGAUUGUCCAUUGAAUUAAUUUGUUUUUGUUGAAAAUGAAUAUUAAAAAAAGAUUAAAAUAAAUAAAAUUAUAAAUAAUUAAAAUCACAUAUUGUCCCAGACCACCAAUAAAACCUCUAAAACUAAAAUUAUAAGCUCCUCCGUAAGAUCCACCAUUAUAUUUCUUAUUACCACUAGCAUUCUUUCAAGGAUUAAAAUGGUUUUGAGUUACAUUAGCUAACAAGUUAUGUGUGACAUCACUAGCAAUUUUUCCUCUUGUCUGUUCAACUCUAUUCUCCUGAUUUAGCAGUAAAGAGUAAAAUUCAUCAAGACUGAUCUUAUCACCUCCAGCUAACACACUGAUAACUAAAGACUCAUAAUCAGAUGAAUCUAGUCUAGUCAAAAUAUAUUGAACAAAAUCACUUAACUCAACAGAUUUUCUAGCUAAAGCCAGACUGUCAGACAAUCUCUUCAUUUUAACAAAGUAAUCAGUCAUAGACAUUGAUCUUUUUUUGAGUGUUUGAAUAUGCAUCUUAAAGGCAUUAUUCUAGCUUGAGAUUGUAAAGUAAACAUACUUGUGAGUGUAUCCAAAAGCUCUUUAGCAAUGGAGCAAUGAACGAUUGUAGCGAGUAGAUUUUGCUGAAUAGAUGACAACAUCCAACUCAAAACUGAUUGAUCUGUCUUCAUCCAGGCUGUGUAUGCUGGAUUGACCUUUCGAUUUUCAGUAAUAGUUGAGGACCAACUUCAGUGCUAGCUGGUGUGAGAAAUUACUCCGAACAAGUUUGAUCACCAUUAAUGAAAUUAUCCAGAUCGUUUCCUUUGAUGGAUGUUAAAACCUGAGUUUGUCAGACAAUGAAUUAUUAUGAUCUAGCUUAACAGGAUUGAUAAAACUAUAGGAUCCAGAAAAUUGAUUAGAACUGACCAUUGUAGGCUCUGUGAUCAUGAUAGAAUUUGUAAUAUAUAUGUCUGGAAAGCAAGAAAAUUAAGGAGAAAAAGAUAGAAAGAAAAGAAGAAGAAUUUAGAAUAUGUUAAUUGUUCAGUACAUUAAAAAUGUGAUUAUAGCCUUUGUAUUUAUAUUAAGUGAAAUGCUUAACUAUAAUUUGUUAUAACUGGAAUAGGUGCUAAACAGUUCGUUAGCUAGAAGGCUGAGAUGGCUAACUAAUUAUUCCACGUUAGCAAGAGCACUCAUGUAUGGUCCUCAUCCGUACUGUAAUUAUCAUACUCUGUAACAGUUCUUCUACAUCUUCUUGCUCUUCAGGACCAAGUGUACUUCGUGGGUCUAUAAUUGCUGCUUUGUCUAUCUAUUUGCAAUUCAAAGAAUUAAUUUAUUGGUCACUUUUUUAGGAAAAAAGAUAACGAAACAUAGUUGUUUGGUAAAAUAGUCAUGUGAACUCUUUCUUCAAAACAUAUAUAAAAACAAACCUUGGAGAUCAGUAUUGUCUAUGUGAUAAUUUCUAAAAAUAAGAGGUCUACCUGACAAUUUUUUCAAACCAUGGGAUGUUGGUAUAUACUCUUUAAGUAUGUACCUUAGUAAUUUGAUUCUAGGUGACAAGGGUAAUUCAUUUUCAUCAUCAUUACAGGAGAAUUGAUCUGCAAAAGAAGGAAAAUUUAGAUGCCUUUUCUUCAGGGCAGCUUUAAAAAGACAGAUUACAGCAAAACCGUGAAUAAGAGGUAAUUGUUUACUAUGAUAAAAGGGAAUACCCAACAGCAACAAGACCAAACUGCUCCCAUAACCAAUAUUGUGAACCUCAAAGUCCUCCGUCAUGUUUCCAGAUUAUUUGCAGGGAAUGCUGCAACUACAUUACAACACCAGGCAAGCUGCAGCUAUACUUCUUUUUUAGCCUUUACUUAUUUCUCAUUUGGAUUUUUUGUUCUCCCUUCAUCACCAUGUGCUCUUAAUUGAUCGACAAGACAUGGUCCUAAAAGAGGCCCCAUUCCAAAGUCACCCACUGCUAACAAGAUCAUUCCUAUUACGUUGAGCAGUUCAAAUUUAGUUUCUAAGAAUUUACUGGACGCUGUAUAAUACAAUAGCCUUAAUGCCUCCAACAACAAUAGUCGGAACUAAUUGUAUGGCAUAACAUUAUGAUCCUAAAUAUGCUUCUUAAUCAUUACUAUAGUUGGGAGCGGAACAAAAUUGAGAUUUAGGGGGCCAAGUGUAAUUAAGGUAAUUAUUUCAGGAUUAGAGAGUAUUAGUUAUUUUCUGGGGUUAGGGGAUGGGGUUCACGUUUAUGAAGCCACCAUAUAAAGAAAAACAACUAGUUUGAAAGUUGAAAUUACAAAUUUAUAUAGUGUGAGAUUAUUUCAAGCUACUAAAAUAUUUGUUAUUUUAAAGGCUAAUGAGCUUGCGGCUUUGAAAAGGUUGGAAUGUUAUUUGGUUGGAGAGGGACUCGGUUUCAACUUUAGCUUGUCUUACGAGUACCAAAUUCAAGCCGCCGUAGCAUCUGCAUAUCAUAUAAUUGAAUUGUUUGAGAUUUAUUCGUGGAAUACACUUUGCUAGUUUACACAUCUAGAGAGAGGGGAUUCAGUGGCUGAUAGUCUUGCAAAUUUGGAGUUAAAUCUUAAUGCUCAUAAUUGGUGGGAUAAUCCUCCUAUUUCAAUUCGUCAGAGUUUGCAUGAGUAUGCUUGGGAUAUCCCUAAAAAUCAUUUCAAAUGAGUGUUUUUGCAUUCUUUCUUCUCCUUGUUUCCUUAAUAAAAUUGAGUAUCAUAAAAACAAAAACUACCAAAAUGCUUAAUAAAUGUAUUUAUUCAAUAAAUUCAUUUAAAAAAUUAAUUUUUUUAAUUUUAUUUUACCAACCAAUUUUUAGUAUUCAAUAUGUCCUUAUUUGAAAUUCACAUAAUUCUUUCAUCUUUCUCUUUCAAGACUUUUAGGCUUUUAAGACUCUUUUACAUUCGUGUCUCCCUAAUAUUCUAUUUUUCACUAUUUCAUAAGCACAUCUUUCUUUAAAAUUGUGGGCAAUACUAUAUAAUUUACGUAUGUACGUAAAUUAUAAAUAAAUAGAUUUUUAAACGAUAUGAUUACCUAAGGUGCCAUGAGCAAAAUGUUACCUGGGGUAAAUGCGGCAGCCCUACAAAAACAGAUGUGAUGUCUUACCUGUACAUGGAAACGCUGUGGCUUCAGAAAUUGCUUAUUUUAUUUGCAAAUAUUUCCACCUGUGAAUCCUGAUUCCUGAUACCGUGGAAAUUUGUGUGGGCUCGAUAUUUACCACCUUAUUACGUCAAGGUAGUGCAUUCGAACAAUAAAAGUUUAUUAUUUUGAUAGGUUUAGUAGGUUUAAGGUGGGACCCCACUUAUUUAAUUAAAAAAUAAUAGAUAUAAAAAGUAAUAGUACUACUUCAUCACCGACUGAAUUAAAAAAUAACGGAUCUUGCUUCAAUUGUCUUUGAGACUUAACUAUCGUGGACAGACCGUGGAAGUCUACCUCCUUAUUUUUAAGUACAAAUUAAAGAAUGAAUUGUACUUACUAACAAGCCAAAAGCAUUUAUUGCACAGCUAAAUAUAUUUUAGAUGGUAUAGAUGACCAGCAAUAUAUUGCCAGUUAGGUGCUCAUACAAGAUCAUAUUUGGCUUAAGUAUCAUAAAUUAGGAUAACGCCUAAGAUUCAAACCUAAGUUCAGAGAAUGUCUAAUCACAAAACACUUUUUUUUUUUUUUUUGAGGAGAACUAUUACUUUUUACGCCUCUCAAAUAUUCGAGGGACGCCAACUCCCCUUUUGAAAAAAAAACUGCCUUCGCUUAAGCUCUGGAGCUCUAAAAAAAAAAUUUAAAUUAAACCCCCUACAAUAGGUCUGCAGGGGCUCAAACUAUUUCUUUCACACUUGUGAGAGAGUGGCUUUAGCCACUUAGGCCAAGCCCUAGUGGUUCACAAAACACAAUUAUAAACACUAUAAAAUCUAAAAUUGAAAGGAGAAUAAAGAUUUUACACAUUAAAGUCCUAUGAAGAACUAUAAAAAUUUUAAGGGACUAGCCUACCCGUCUUAGUUAUUAUAAGUAAAAACUACCUUCUAAUCAAAAGAAAAAUCCAGUACAGUGCCCGCAACAACGACAUACACUACCACUAGUACCACUAAACUAUUACCAACGUCACAAAACAACUCAAAUAUGAAUAUACAUCUCAAACAAUCACUGUUAUUCUACAAAAAUAGAGUAAAUCAUCGGCGGUUUAAUUAACAUUUAUUAAGGGCUCAAAUAAUAUUUUACAAAGGCUAUAAAGAGAGAAAAUUUUCCAUUGGGGGACUUUAGUCACUUGAGUCCCUUUAGGGCUUGAGAGUAACACAAACAGCCAAGACAAUAUAUAAUAACAAAAUGAAUGAUUAGAAGAGUCUAUGAAUAAUAAAGCCUCGUAAGGAUUGUGGAAAAUUUACUGGGAUAUUUAUCCAUUUUCAUUGGCAACAGGUCAAUAAUACAACUGGCAACUUCACUCACAAAAUGCGAAAAUCCAAUUCAAUAACCAGUUAACCACAAAGUAAUGGACUUGCAUGCCACAUUUCAAGUAUAUGAAGCAUAUAUAUUAGAAAAGUUGACAAAACCCAAAUUAUCACUUAAUUAAUUGUUAUUUAACCCCUCUCAAACUACAAGGGGGGAAAAAAGAACUUACAAAUGUGCAUGUGAAGAUUGUUUAUCGGGGCUCAUUUUGUCAAAGUCAUCUUCGUCAAUUCGAUCUGUUUUGAUUUUGGGCUUUCUAAUUAUAUAGCCAGUUUGAGCUUCUAACAUCCCUUUAAAAUUCUUGUGAAAUCCUACUGUUGCAUUUGUAACACUUGCUUUUAAGAAAUUAUUUAAAAAGACAGAAUAAUAUGAUAGAGUUAAUUAAAAUUUAACAUACUUUUUUAAAAUAAAAAAUCUAUCAUUAGGUAAUUUAUUUCUUCAUUGUCUCAAAAUUAUUUGAGUUUGUAUAAGAAAUUUAUUAUAUCAUAAAUUAGGAUUGGUGAUGAUACAGCUACAAACUCUUGUACAAACUUAUCUUGUACAAAUUGAUUUGACAUUAAUUCAUUGGUUGAAUGAAAACAUAAAAUAAUAAAAAUAGAUCAUGUGGGUCAAGAAAUAUUUAAUUCAACCAAUUUUAUCAUACCACAUCAGUUUAUAUAAAAUAAAUUUGUACAAGAGUUUGUGGCUAUAUUAUUACUCAUUAGAAUUUAAAGAUGGGAUAGUUCAUAAUUAGCAGGUAUAAAGAUAUUUUAAUCUAGUUAAAUUCAUAAUUGUCCUUCUCUAGCAAUAGAACUAUGUUCACAAAAAAUGCGGAUUUACAAGGAUUUUAAAGGGGUGUGAAAAGCAUUAAUUACUCUUACACGACAUCACCCAAAUAAUCAAAUCAAACGCACUCGGCUAGAUUUGUUCCAAGAUUAGACCUUUUGACACCCCUCAAAAUUCCUCAUAAAACCCCUUGUUAAUAGAAGUUACUUAAAUAAUCAAAGAUAAAUUAAUUCAUUUCUUACUUUAACUAGAAAUCCAAUUAAACAAUUAAAAAAUUUCUAUUAAAUUUUUUUUCACCCAUCCCAUUUCAUAAUUUAUAUUUAUAUUUAUAUUUUAGUUUUUAAUUUUUAAAAACUUAUAAGAGUUUAGAAUUAUGGAGAUAGAAACUAUAUAAUAAAAAGAAAAUAAUUUAAAUUUUAAGAAAUUUUAGUACUUUAUAAAUAAAACUUAAAAGAAAUAUUCAUUUAGAGUUGGUAAGAUAAUUGAUUUUAAUAUAUGAAUUUGUAUUUUAUAAAUUAAACUGUGAUAUUUUAAAAAAUAAAUUUAAAAGAAUAUUAUAAGAAUUUUAACGAAGUGUUAAAAACUCCACCCUUAUCUCAAAGAGUUAGUAUGCAAAAGUAAAAACAUAAGCAAUACCCGUUAACACCAUUGGACCUUUGACCUGGUGAUAAAGAACCUAUUGGGGUCACAGGUUCAAGUUUUUGUUUUAUUUAUCCAAAUUGAGUGAAAGUAACAUCAUUGAAUCAUAUAUUACAUAACUGCAAAAUCAUAGAACUAAAAAAUUUCGAAUUAAUUCAAACAAAUAAUAGAAGGGCAAUCUAGAAAUCAUAUUAUCUUGAACUAUUACUUUAUCAACUUUAAAUGAAUACUGCAACUUAAGUCCAAAAUCAGUACCAAUAAUGACACAUGGACAGCCUUAUUAUGCUGCUCUUGUUCUGUUUUCAGCAUAAAAAGCCAAUUCUGCUGUUCUUAAACUGUUUCUCAACAAGAUGGAACAUGAAGUUGUAUUCAAUGACACAUGGACAUUUCAUGAUUAUAAAAAAAUCUAUUUACUUCAGCUAACCUCAAGGAAAUAAUCUAGUAUUGUAGUCAGUGAUGCAUAGAAUAUAUUAAAUGAGAACAUAUUUUUCCAUAACAACGAAAAAGGAAUUGCUAUUAGAGCAGAGUACAUCAAACGGAAAGAUUACUCACAGUGAACACUGGAACUUGUGUGCCUUGCCUUCAAUUCUUUUCAAUUUAGAUUUGUUCAAGAAUGUGCAAUUGGUAUCAGCAAUUUUGGGUUGUAAGAAUAGAGACAGCAAACAACUAUCAAAAAAAAAAAUGUGGAACUUAGUUGAAGAAAUAUUGUGGAUCAUAUCAAAUGCCAAAUGUUGGAUAAUCUUUUCCAAAUGUUGAAUAACAAGAAAAGGGAUGCACACAAGACCGCUGACUGAAAACAGAAAUAAUUGGACAAAUAAAGCCCAAACCACAACUCAUCCUAAUCUUUAUGUUACUAAUGGAAGCUAAAAGCACCUGAGUCAUCAACUAUUUACAUUUUCUGAUAGAUACGGAUGCUUAAUACAUUCAUCAUGAUAUCCAGAAACAAUAAAAUUAAGCUAGUACAAAGAUAUCUAAAUGAAGAUGAUAAUAUCAUAGGCAAAAUAUGGUCCAAUUGAUUAGGAAAAUCAAGCUAAGGUCAUUUUUUUAUACUAAAUGCUUAAUUAAAAAGACAUCAUUAUAUGUUUUAUACAUGCACAAAUUGUCAUUUAUUUGAGGCAUGUCUAAUAUUUAGUGGAGUGACAAAUAUACUUGAAAAUUUAUAAAAAUUAUCAAAUAAUAUGUAAGAAAUAUAGUUAUUUUUGUUGUAAUAUUAAUGCAAUAAACUUUUAUCGUAUCAUAUCGGCAUGUUUAAAGAGGAAAAAAAAAAACUCAGAGACUCAAAAAAUCCAAACUUUAAUGUAUACCUGGCAUUUAUUUGUAGGCUCAAUUGAAGUACAGAAGUCACAAUUCCAAACAACAAACAAGCUAUCAUCACUAAUCCACCAAAUUGGAAAACAUCCUCAAUUAAAUUAACCACCGCGCCUUUCCAGCUUAAGUUUUUCCAACGCUGAUAGUCCUUCUGUUGAGGAUUGGUUAUUGUAAAUAUCUUUUAAAGUAAUUUCAGGAUAGAGCGGAGGAUUUUCUUCGGAUAGCAACUCUUUAAUUGGACCAUAUCGUCUCGAGCAACUGUUGUUCAUAAAAAAACUUCCGAUUGAAAUCCUUGAGCCUUCCUUUUUUGACAACACUUUGUGAUAGGCACUUUUGAACUUGUCAUUGGUGAUUAGCUGCAUAAACACACAAUAAAAAAAUCCACUAUAAUUAAGUUACAUGAUGGAUUAAUAAUAGUCAAAGUGAUACAUAACAUGUACUUGCUUGCAUCAUGUAACCUAAGUUUACAACUAGAGCUCCGGGAACAGGGGUAAUUGCGAUAUGCAAUUUCCUAAUUAAACUCAUGCAUGCCCGAGGCUUUUGUUUAUCCUAGUUUUCAAUAUAAAAAGAGGCGGGCAUCACAUAAUACGGCGGCAAGGAAUUAUCAUUAGAAAAAUUGGAGAGAAAAAGAAGAAGAAGAUCAUAAUUCAAGGGAACGGCUGCAGCAUCAUUGAAGAAUCCAGCAGAGUUAUUUGGAUUCACUUUUUACCGUUCUCGACUUAUACCUUUCUUCUUUCUCUAACUGAUCUAAUGUAUUUCAUGAACAAUAUGUUGCUGAUUGUUUAUCUCUUUCAGAAUAUGAACUACACUUGCUUGUAUUUGAGUGACAAACAAUCUAAUGGGUUCUUGACUGUUCUUAUGAGUUGCUAUGUCAUUGCUGUAGCAUUUUACUCUAGUAGCUAUUAUUAUAACUGUUAUUUUGGUUGACCACCCAUUUAAUGGUUCAAGUUAAGAUAGGACCGUAAAAGGGCAUGUCUUAGUGGAUAUUAUUAGAGUAAUACUUGAUCUUAAUUUAAGUUUCCUAUAUUAAGUUUAUCUUGAAUCCCAUAAGGGCCAUACUUGAAGUUAAGAUUUGUGAUAAACUAGACAUAAGUAUUCACCUUGUAGGGUGGAGAGAAUGGAUGUUCAUAAUGUCAUGCCAUAGGUAAAAUAGCAACUGGUCAUUGCUAAGAUGUUUACGGGUAUGAGACUUCCAAUAUGCGACAGCUGAGGAUGCAAAUUAAAUUCUGCCCAGUGCUAUAGAAAUUACUGUAGCAUCUGGUGUUAACUUGAUGAAAAGCAGUCAGCCCAUAAAGAGAGUUUGAUCAUUCAACUACCUUAUUCUCAUUUGAUUCUUCGAUGCAUUUUAUUUAAUUUGUUUCAUUACUGCAUUGUUUAACUUUAUUAUCUCACAAUUAUCAAUUUCAAUAGUAACCAACUUUACAUUUGUUAAUUUAGGAAUCAAGUUAGAUUACACUAUCGUGAUUGCUGUGGCAUUUCUAGUAACAUCAAUCCCUGUGGAGACGAUCUUGAAUAUUAAUCACUAUUACUUGUUGUGUACACUUGCACAUUGGCAUAAAUAGAAUUUGAUAAAAAAAUACCAACAAUGAGAUAGGGGUAAACUUCAGGAUGUGCUGCCGUUUUUAAUUGUUGUGCAGAUUCUUUUGAUUCCUAUCUCUAGUGGAGAACCAGAUGUGAUUUUGUGGGACCUUUCUCCUGAUGGUAGUUUUUCUUUAAGGACAACUUCAAAUAUUGUGCAUUGGACAAUGCCAAGUGAUGAGGCUUUUUUUGUUAUUUGGCAGCGACAUAUCUUUUCCUGGAUAUCUUUUUUUCUCUACAGGUUGUGACACAAAUUCUUGACCAAGAUGAUGCCUCGUGUUCGGGGGAUUUCUGCAUAGUUUCUUAGUAUCUUUGUAGUUGGGCUUAUGAGACUUCUAGGUAUUUUCUUUCUUGAUUGCCCUCGAUUUGCGCUAUGUUGCUUUUUUGUUCCCCCGUACUUUAUUUCUUAAUUGGUAGUGAUGUGCCCUUUCUUGGAGCCAUAUUCGAGUUCUUCUUCCUUGUUUCAUUUUGUGGCGAGUUUAGAAGGCCUGUAAUGCAUUGAAGUUUGACUCAAUGGCCUUUUUUGUUGAUGCUGUUAUUUAUCGAGCAAUGUUGGAUCUUAGGCUUGCCGAUUCUGCCUUUGGUCUUAAACCAUCCCAACUGUGAGGAGUUUGUUAGGUCCCAGUCAGAAUUUAGCGAGAAAUAACGAGUGAAUGAAUUGUUCUUCUUAGGGUGAGAACUACCACAAUUGCUAAUAGUUUUGAAUGAAUUGUUCUUCUUAGGGUGAGAACUACCACAAUUGCUAAUAGUUUUGAAUAAAAAUCUCAUAUGCUUUUAUUGCGAUUUUGGAGUCUAUUUAUAGAACAAAGUUAAUGAGAUAAAGUAGUUAAUAUCAAAUAAACUACUUCACUAUAAGUUCGAAGCAAAUAACAAUCUUUAAAGGAAACAAGUUUAAAUCUAAAUUCUCCACCAAAACCAUUCGGCUUGACGAAGGAAAACCUCCCUGCUGCACCCUUGAAGAGUCCUUGAAAGAAUCAACUUCAAACUCAGAAGCAUAUUCUCACUUAAAGAACAUACUUCCACGUGAUGCAUACCUCAUGCAUGACUUGCAUGGCUGCUUGCAUGUGCCCAUGCAUACUCUUUAUACUUGCUGUUGGGUUUGGAGGCUCGUUUGGACUUGCAUAGCUCCUUAUCAUCACCUCCCCCUCGAAGAGAACCCUUGUCCUCAAGGGUCAUGUGUGGAAAUUGUUGCUGUAGCAAUGCCGUGUCUUCCCAGGUUGUUCUCCUUUGUUGUCUUCUCCAUGUAGUUCCUCUGCAACUUCUUCACAAGUGAUCUCGUUGGUGUCGUUGUAGCUCUCGAGAAGCAGAAGUUGAGGCCCUUGACAUUUAUGACCCGCAGUGAACCGUUCGUUGCAAGUGAAACACAGUCCCUGAGCUCGUCGUCGUUGCAUUUCAUCCCACGGUAAUCUUUUGACAGGCACGGUUGGUGAUGCUUGAGUAGGUGGCAAUGUUGGCUGUGCGCGGUUGGAGGGUGGCUGGAAUAAUCUCCGUUGGCGUGUUAUCUGGUCGUCUUUCAUACGAGCAAGGCUGAUGGCUUCCUUUAACGUACGUGGCCUGAACAUCCGUAUAUCCUCCGCAAUCUCCGGUUUCAAUCCUCCCAUGAAAGUGCCUACCAACGCUUUCUGUGACCACCCAUGAACUCGGUUUCCCAACCUUUCGAAUUCCUUCUGGUAUUCUCGCAGAGAAUCUGUUUGUUCGACCCGAGACAGUGCUUCAUCAAAGUCUUCACAAUCCGUUGGUCCGAAGCGUGCCCACAGCUCCUCCAUGAAGAUUUCCCAUGUUACGACUCGUCCUUCCUCUUGAUAUGACCUCCUCAGCCACUGCCACCAUUGGUUAGCUUCUCCCUCUAAGUGGAAUGAAGCCAAGACAACUUUCUGGUCUUCUGUUGAUUCCUAAUAUUCGAAGAACUGGUUAAUUCGGUUGAACCAUUUGGUUGGGUCAUUGCCGGCAUAGCGUGGAAAAUCUAGUUUUGCCACUUUUGAUUGAAACUACUGUCGUCUACCAUCCUUGUCUUCACAGUUUGGCCGUGAUGUUGCUAUGUUAUUAUUGGUGCUUGGUGCGUCUUUGGAUGUGUUGAAGGACUCUGCAAGUUUGCUCAAGGUUUCCUCAAUGUGAGCCAACUUGUCGUUAAUUCCUACUUCCAUGCGCUGCAUCUUAUCUUGCAUUUCUCCGAGCUCCACUUCCAUCCGUUCGAUGCGUUCCUUGUUGGUUGUCAUCCUUGCCUAGCUCUGAUACCAAUGUUAGGUCCCAGUCAGAAUUUAGCGAGAAAUAACGAGUGAAUGAAUUGUUCUUCUUAGGGUGAGAACUACCACAAUUGCUAAUAGUUUUGAAUGAAUUGUUCUUCUUAGGGUGAGAACUACCACAAUUGCUAAUAGUUUUGAAUAAAAAUCUCAUAUGCUUUUAUUGCGAUUUUGGAGUCUAUUUAUAGAACAAAGUUAAUGAGAUAAAGUAGUUAAUAUCAAAUAAACUACUUCACUAUAAGUUCGAAGCAAAUAACAAUCUUUAAAGGAAACAAGUUUAAAUCUAAAUUCUCCACCAAAACCAUUCGGCUUGACGAAGGAAAACCUCCCUGCUGCACCCUUGAAGAGUCCUUGAAAGAAUCAACUUCAAACUCAGAAGCAUAUUCUCACUUAAAGAACAUACUUCCACGUGAUGCAUACCUCAUGCAUGACUUGCAUGGCUGCUUGCAUGUGCCCAUGCAUACUCUUUAUACUUGCUGUUGGGUUUGGAGGCUCGUUUGGACUUGCAUAGCUCCUUAUCGGAGUUCUAGGUUCUCGAUUUGCAAAGUGCUUGAGAGUUGUUGUUUCAUCCAGGAGGCUGAUUCUUUUAGUUUUUUGGUUGUGGUCACCACCUGGGGUGGUGAAGCUGACUAUUGAUGGUUGCUUUAGGAGUAAUCCUAGGAUGGCUGCUUCAGAUAGUAUUUUACGUGAUGAUUAGGGUGUGGCUUUGGCUGCUUUUGGUUCCUUCCUUGGGCGCUAACUGAUCUUUCAUGCAGAAUUCAUGGCUGUUUUUUAGGGGUUAGAGUUGGUGCUCAGCUCCAUUAUUCUGUGCUUGACGUAGAGUCGGACUCAGCCAUGGUGGCUUCUUGGAUUCUUUUCUAAGGCCUUGUUCAUACGGACUAUACCUAUUCUUUGCGUCGAGUGUGUAGUUUGACAUUUUCUUCUACUUCAUGGUUAGUCAUGUGCUUCGAAAGGCUACUUCUACUGCUGAUUUCUUUGGCCUGCUCUCUUCAAGUUCAUCGGCGUGUCUUGGGUUCUCAAGAUAUCUCUGCUGGCUUAUCUAAUAAUCUUCGUUUGAAUUGUGGGUAAUUUAACAUAUCAGGCAAUAUAAUUGAUUAUUUUUGUGUUCUAUUUUUUAUCUUGUAUUUUUCACUUUUCCAUUCUUAUGUUCUUGCAAUUGCGGUUUUGAUUUAUAUUCACCUCCUUAUGUAUUUGAUUCAUUCUAUGAUUUAUAUGAAAGAUAGGGGUCCAACCUAACCCUACCUUUUUGGUGGUUAAAAAAAAAGUCAGGAAUCAAACCUAGGUCAUCAAGGUGAAACAUCAAUCAGGUUGUAAAUUUAACAUAUGAACAUAAAAGCUUAACAAAACAUUUGAAGUUGCUUGACAACAUAGAAAUACAAGCAAAAAGAGAUGCUAAACAACACAAAAUUUUGAUUGGGUGGGAGUAUUGUUCAUGCUAGCAUAAUAAUGAGGUGCCUGAGAAUACCUAUGACUUUCUUGAUAAAUAAUAUCAUAUAAAAGGUUAGGAAUCACAGAUAAUUGUCCACGUAUGAACAAAUCUGGCUCAAAAUGUGAAAUGUAUUAAGAUUUUCAAACAUUUAAAUUAAUAGUUAAUAAUUUCGGACAAAAGAUACUUGGAGACCCUAAAGUUCACUGAUUCUAUGUUAUGGCUCAUUGUCUCGCUCAACAAUUUAAUUUCUAGAUUAUUUGGCUCCUAUCUAUUAAAAGACAACACCGUUACUAAAAUUAUAAAUUAUAACAGUUAAACCUAAACCUACGUCGUUUAGCAAUUUACAAAAGAAAAAAAUAUAACAAAAGCCAAUUGUUGGAGUAGCAACGUGCCAACGAGAAAAUCUCAAGCCAUGUAAUAUCCUGUGUCAACAACUAAAGAAGAACAAACCACCACCCUCUAGGCCGUCGCUGCACUAACGCUGGACCCGAUUUGAAUAGUUAGAAGUUGUAACAUUAAUUAGGGAUUGAGGGUAAAAUUUUGGACUUUGAUUUAAUAAAAUUGAUUUAAAUGAGUCCCAAUAGAAAUAUGAUUAUAAAUAUAUCAAUACAAUUAUAACAUGUUAAAAGAAAAAAAGUUUAUUUUCACACAAAACAAAAAACACAACCCUUGGAUGUGGGAUGUGUCUAAAAAAUAAUAGGGUGGAAAUAUUAUCACCCUCAAAUUAGAUAUAUAAAUAUUUAAUGUUUUACUCUUAUAAUUUUGUAUUUAUUUUUUUGAAUAUUGUUAAGAGAAAGAUAGAAAUUAAUAUAUAGACAAAUCGAGUCCUUUAUUUUAUUAUUCAUAUCCAUAAAAAGUAACCACUAUGCUAGUCCCACGAACUUUGCAUAAGACGGUAAUUUAGAAAAAAGAAAAAAAAAGGAACGUUUUUAGACACCAAAACAAAAGCAAAACAAGCACAAAGCGAGACAUACAAACAAAAUUUAUGCUACUGCAUUCAAGCAGAAGCCAUCAACUGUUCACGACGAAGUUUGAGAGCAACCAAUAGUUCAUCCUGAUUAGGAAGAUUUUCUUCAAUCACAGGGACUUGCUUGAAAGUUUCAAUCCAGGCAUGCAAGUGAGGGAAUUUGUGUGAUUCAAAUAGUUUAGCUCCCACUAUAUCUUCAAUGACUUGCAACCAAUAAACAAUUGAACCAAACGCUAGGUCCACUAAGCCAAUAUUGUCUCCAUUGAAAAAUUUCUUCUCUCCCAAGCCAUGCUCUUCAACGGUUUGUAGCAU